UUGUGCCAACUAGAUACCGAUUCAUCUAGCUUUAUUAGAGUCAGACGAACUUCUUUCGGAUGUUCAGACAGGUGGUUUGGAUACGACCCUUCGAAGUUUAAGUCAUAAUCUAUUAAGAACGAAUCCAACUAUUUUGAAUGGUUAUAUAUGUACAUACCGUACUUUUUUCAUACUUCUCGAAAGUUUUUAUAGAACAAAUGUCAUCAUAGUUAUAACGUUGAUUGUACAUUCAUGCCUUUAUGAUGAUUGUCAUCAAGGCGAAUAACAAGUUUUAAUAAGACAAUCAAUGUCAUCAUCUCAGCGCAGACUGAGCAAUCAUACCAAACAAGAGCUAUUGACUGGUGUCAUUUGUUGGUUGUUAUGUAAGAAUCUUGGACCAUAUAUUUAACUGUUCAUUUACGUUUGCCAAUGUUGCUAAUUGCGUGUAACGACUAAUUGACAUUGAUUUUUGGAUGUAAAUGUUGUCUAAUCCGUCGGUCAAGCAUCGGAUGUGAUUAGUCAUUUGUUCAAUGCUCGGAAACUUUAAUUGGGUUGGUUUGUUUGUCUGGAAGUCCCAAUUGAUCCAUUUCAUCUAGCAUUGAAGAAGAAGGAAAUCUCUCACCUUUUGCACUAGACGGAGUUAAUCUUGGUCUAGAUGGAUUAUCUACUUACUUUCAACAGUCAAAAGUUUGGGAAUGACAGGUGGAGGGAAGCUCCCCACAUUAUUGAGUCUCAAAAGUAUAAUUUUUUUUUUAAUUUAUUAUUCAUGUGUAAAUGUAAAAUUUUUAAAAAUAUUUUUUAUAUUUUCAACUAUUAUUUAUAAUAUUCCACAAAAAAUAAUUAAAAACAUCUUAAAUUUGUUAUUAAAAAAAUCGCAUUUUCCAUAAUAACUAUUUUUUAUAAUAAAAAAUUGUCAAAUUUAUUUUCUAAAUUAUACAACCAUUUCCAAAUUGUCUCAUCUUAAAUAGUAGACUCAUUCUCUACUUGAAUUCAUUGGGUUUUUUUACUUGAUUAAUGAAAUUAUUAUGAUAAAAUUAUCUUUCAAAAAUAUUACUUUAACUCGGUAUUUGAUAAACCAACUUAAUAAUUUAAAGUUACUUAAUAACUUAAUUUAAGUUAUUAAGUAAAUUAAGUAUAUUUGGUAAAAUAACUUAAUAAUAUAACUUAAAAUAAAAAAACAACUUUAAGUAAUAAGUAAAAAUAAUUAACAUAUUCUUAAAUAUAUGUCUUCAUUUUAUCUUUUUACUUUUAUUUGUUUUUAUUACUUCCACGGUCUCUUUUACUAUUCCACAACCUUUAUUAUUAUUCGACUUCUUUUGCCAUAAUUUUAAUUUAUGAGGAUAAAUAUAUCAAUUUGAUGAUUUAUAAUAAAUUUUAAGUUAAUUUUUUUAAACAACAUUAAUAUUUAAAAUAAUAAAUUAAAUAAUAAUUUUUAAAUCAACAAUUUAAGUAUAAUUUAAUUUAAAGUUAAUUUAAUAUAAUAUGAUAAGAGAUGUUAUCUUGUAUUUUUUUUUUCCAUAAUUAAUAGAUGAAAAAUAACAUUAUUAAAAACCACAAAAUUAGUGACAGUAUUUUUAUAAAGCAUUUAAUUAUUUAUUUAUUUAUCAUAAACAAAAAUAUAUUUAAUUGACUUUUGUUUUUUUAACUGUUUUGUGUAUAUUGUGUGUGAUUAAAAAAUAAGUUAUAUAUUCGUAAUAACAUAAAAUUAUUUUUAAAAAUUCAUAUUUUGUUUUAAAAAAUUCAUAACAUCAACUAUCCAUAUUUUGUUUUCAAAAAUUCAUAACACCUAUCAUUCAUAUUUUGUUUUUAAAAAACCCAUAAGAGAGAUAGAUCAUUAUUCUAUGCUUCCAAUUUAAAAAAAAAAUGAAAAAGAUAAUAGUUUUUAGAGAAUAAAUAAAAGUUGUUUACUUAUUAUUUAUUUUUUUUACAUAUAAUUAUAUCUUUAUAAAUUUUCUCAUGGUAUAAAUAAACUUCAAAUCAAACGACACUUUGUAUUAAAUUUAUUAAUAAGUUUAAUAAUUUUUAAAAAUAAUUUGGAACUCAAAAAAAUAUAUCUAAUCACUAAAAAAAAAUAAUAGUCCAAAAUUGAUAUAUUAUGAGUCAUGAUUUUAUUAUUUCUCUUACACACAUAAUAAAUGACAAUUAUAACAACCAUGUAACAAAUAUAAUGAAAAAGUAAUUUGCAUAUAAAAUAUAGUAGGAAAGAGAACUUGCAAACACUUGUUUUUAUUGCGGUUUGAUGCAACCCAACCUAUGUUUACACUCCUCAAGCUUAUAAUCGAGUGAGGGUUCCUCUAACAAGAUUUGCAACCCGAGUCUUCAAACUUUACCAUUAGAUUAUGGUUCUAAUUAACCCUUUUGAACUUAUGGUUUUAAACACCCUCUUGGAUUAUAGUUUUAAAUGACCUUUACAUUGAGAAUUCUCAAAAUAAAGUCUCUAGAUUAUUCCCUUUGGAUCAUGGUUCCACAGCACCCUCACAAGAUAUAAAAAUGAAGAAAAAAUUCUCAAUUUACAAUAUAUACUUAAGUGGAAUACAAAGAAACUAUGGCUGAAUGGUCACUAAAAUGAUAUACAAGUUUGUAAGUUAAUACAUUCUAAAAACACUCCUCACGGGCUCGAAUAAUAUUCAAUAAUGAUUUAAAACUCUUUUUCUAACCAUAUAAGAAGUUGGAAGCCUUUAAAUAGAAGUUGAACAUACAAAUUAGCCAUUAAAUAUACUUUAAGGUUGACUUUUCGAUCAAUCGAUCAAACCAAUUGCUAGCCAUUGAGGUUACCAUUACCUAACCAACUCAAUGAGUGUUCAACUAGUUAAGAUUUAACCUUGACCGAUUGAAUAUAUGCUACUAGAAGAGAAAGAGUACAAGUGUACCUCUACUAGUCAAGCCUAUAAAGUGCACAAAAGACCUUGACUUGAGGCUUUGAACUUUUGGUAACUUGUAAUUAACUUUACAAUAAUAAUAAUAAUAAUAAUAAUAAUAAAACAUAAAACCAUCCAAAAUUUUAAAAUAAUAAUAAGAUUGAUUUAUGCACUUUGAUGAUUUUAGGUAUUUAAGUAAAAAUGAAAUGUAUGAUCUCAGUAUAUCAACUCUUACAAAGAGUUUCACGACUAAUACUCUUAAUUGAUUUUUUUUCUUUUAAAGUCUUCUCAUUCUUAUUGAUUUGUCUUUAGCUUUAUACAUAUUUGAUUGUUUAUUUAUAAAUAUUCUUAAAAUACAUUUAGUAUGAGUUAUUAGUUUAAAACCUUCUUUUACUAUCAUUAAAACAAAAAUUAACCAACCUUGGUUUUACAAAAUCUUUUAAUUUUUAAGAAUAAUCUAGAAUUCAAAAAACUAAUCAAAUUAAUUGUAUGUUAAAUCAAAAUAUUAUAGAAUAUUAUGUUUGUAAUUAAGUAUUAAAUAUGUAUAUAUAAUAAAAAAACUUCCCUUAUUUACAUUUUAAAAAAGUUAAACUUUAUUCAUUAUCCAUUUUAAAUAAAAUAUUGUUAACAUUUAUUAUUUUUAAAUCAUUAUUAUUCUUUUUUAACAAAAAAAAGAAAUCAAUUAUGCUUCUACCAAUAUGCUAAUAUUCAUAUUUUUCUAACAUAAACUAAAACAAUGUUUUUUAUAUAAAAUAUAAUUUAUGAUAUUAUAAUAUUACUAUUCAUGUUUGAAUGAAAAAACUAUUUAUUUUUAGAUUUAUUUGUAAUUACAAAACUGUUUUUGUUUGUAAUAAGAUGUUACUUUAAUUUAAUUAAACUAUAUAAAUUAAAUUUACAAUGUUUUAAGAAAAUUAAAAUAGCAAAAUAUUUUUAAACACAAUUUAUUCAAAUAAUUUUAUAUAUAUUUAAAACAACUUUCCAAAUAAUAUUAUAAAACAAGGCUAAUUACAUUAAAUAAAAAUACAUAAGAAAGAGGGUGAAUUGAGUUCAAAAACUUUUUUUUAUAAACACCUUUAAUUAAAUAAUUAAUAACUCAAUAAAAGUAAAGAGAGAGAUAGAGAAAUGCAAGCUCUAUUUUUGUUGUGAUUCGACAAAUCCAACCUACAUCUACUUUCCUCAAACUCAUUUAAGAGAGAGGGUCCCAUUAAACUAAAGUUUUCAAUCCAAGCUUCCAAAUGAUAAAAUUGGAAUUGAGACUCCAAUAUGUUAGAUAUGUGAGUCCUUGCAAAUGUAGUCAUGGGUCUCACAUGGAUCCUAUUUUAUGGCAUAGUUUAAUAAAAAAUAAAUAAAUAAAUAAAAAUCGUAUGGGUCUCAGAGUACUAUUCAGAAUGUACAGUCGAUAACAAAAAUUCAAGACAUACCUGAAGUUCCUCCUGCUCAAGUUAUGGAACCGAUUCAAGUUCAUGAAGCGGUAACUCAACAACCUCAAGAACCUCAAGUACAAGUGCCACUGAGGAGAUCCACUAGAGAACAGAGAAGUACAAUUUCAGAUGAUUAUGUUGUACAUCUCCAAAAACAUGAGUUUGACAUGGGUUUGGAAGACGAUCCAAUUUCAGUUAGUCAAGUCAAACAAAGUUCUAACUCUGAAAAGUGGAUAGAAGCCAUGAAGGAAGAAAUGAAAUCAAUGAAAGACAAUGGUGUUUGGGACCUAGUAGAGUUGCCUGAAGGUGUAAAACCGAUUGGUUGUAAAUGGAUUUUUAAGACUAAACGGGAUUCAAAAGGCAAUAUUGUUAGGUAUAAGGCGCGCCUAGUCGCAAAGGGUUUCACUCAAAAGGAAGACAUUGAUUAUAAGGAGACCUUUUCAUCGUUUUCGCCAAAGGACUCCUUUAGAAUCAUCAUGACACUUGUAGCUCGUUAUGAUUUAGAGCUGCAUCAAAUGAACGUUAAAACUGCGUUUCUUAAUGGUAACAUUGAUGAAACAAUAUAUAUGGUGCAACCAGAGAACUUUAAGUCUAAUGAUUCAAAGCAACUUGUAUGCAGAUUAAAAAGGUCCAUAUAUGGUUUAAAGUAAGCAUCCCGACAAUGGUACCGAAAGUUUGAUCAAGUGAUCACUUCGCUUGGUUUUAAGGAGAACACCGUUGAUCAAUGAAUAUACCUCAAGUUCAGUGGGAGCAAAUUCAUUAUCUUGGUGCUAUAUGUUGAUGAUAUUCUAUUGCAAGUAGUGAUGUGAGACUUUUGCAUGAAACCAAGCGAUUUCUGUCUAGUAAAUUUGAUAUGAAAGAUAUUGGUGAUGCAUCUUUUGUGUUGGGUAUACAGAUCUAUAGGGAUCGUUCAAGAGGUAUACUUAGGCUAUCACAAAAGGCCUACAUCGAUAAAGUUUUAAGUAGAUUUGGCAUGAGCAAUUGUGCACCAGGAGACACGCCUAUGGCAAAAGGCGAUAAAUUUAGUUUGCACCAAUGUCCGAAAAAUGAACUUGAAAAGAAGGAUAUGGAAAAGUUUCCCUAUGCCUCGGCAAUAAGAAGUCUCAUGUAUGUACAAGUUUGUACGCGUUCGGAUAUUGUGUACAUUGUUGGAAUGUUAGGCAGAUAUUUGAGUAACCCAAGUAUGGAUCAUUGGAAAAAGGCAAAAUGGGUUAUGCGAUUUUUACAAAGAACUAAAGAUUAUAUGCUCACAUACCGUAGAUCCAGUCAUUUAGAGAUCGUGGGAUAUUCAGACUCCAAUUUCACGGGAUGUCUUGACAGCAGGAGAUCCACUUCAGGCUAUAUCUUCAUGUUGGCUAGAGGAGUAGUUUCAUGAAAAAGUGUUAAACAAACACUUAUUGCUUCUUCCACCAUGGAGGCAAAAUUCAUAGCUUGCUAUGAGGCAUCAAACCAUGGGAUAUGGCUGCAAAAUUUUAUCACUCGGUUGUGAAUUGUUGAUGGGAUUGAGAAACUAUUGAGAAACUAUUGAGAAUCAACUGUGAUAAUAAAGCCGCAUAAUUGUAUUCUAAGAACAAUCGAAGUUCGUCAAAGUCCAAACACAUUGACAUCAAGUUCUUGGUUGUGAAAGAAAGAGUUCAGAGUCUUCAAGUAUCGAUUGAACACAUAAGCAUAAACUCCAUGAUUGCGGAUCCACUCACUAAGGGUUUGCCACCCAAAGUAUAUCAUGAGCAUGUCACACAUAUGGGUGUUGUACACAUUGAUGAUGUGCUAGUAUAGUGGGAGUUUGUAUUUAGAUUUUGUGUUUGUUUUCUUGAUGUGAUAUUAUGUUAUGUUAUCUGUACACACUUUGUUUUUAAAAGACUAUUGUGUUUGAAUACUCUGAAUUAAAAUGAUGACUUUUAGAAGCAAUUUAGCAUCAAGUGUUGAAAGUGGAAUUUGAUUAUUUUUAGUCAUAAAUUAGGACCAAUUGGAAAUAGACAUAUUAAAUAUCACAUUCUGUGUAAUUUCCAUGCUACACAUCCAUACUUGAUCCGUGUUGCUAAUUUUUGUUAAUGUUGUGAUCAUUGAUGGGUCUAGUUAAAUUAUGAUUAAUGAAGACCGUUUUAAUCCUAUGUUAACAUAAUUAGUAGACCGGAUUGUUUAAGGAUAUUAAGAUAGAAUAGCAAGAUGAGCUCAAUAAAGUACUAUCAUGAACAUUGUUUUGUAAUAUAUGUGGUCCAAGUGGGAGAUUGUUAAGAUAUGGACUCACAUAUCUAACAAUAAUUCACGACUAAGCUAUUCACCUCUUUCUAUUUGUUUUCUGUUUGUUCAAGAGUAUGGGCCACCUAUGUGUAGAGCCCAAACGCCAUCACGAGCCUUAGAUGAUGGACCUAAGACUCGUGAGGCCCAAUAGCCCAAUGGGUAUGGUCCCUAAGGCAGGAGGGUAUAAAAGGUCAAUGGUCUGUUCAUUUUGUAAUAUCACAUCUUUGAAUAGAACAGAACCCUAAUCUCUCCCGCUUCCCAUUUCCAGAGAGAAUCCAGUGACGAUGGUUCCCCUCCUCAGCCUUAGAAGAUCCAUACAUCUUCAACCAAAAAUUAGAAAUGGAUUCGGGUAUGUUCCAUGUGAAUAAAUGCAUGUUCUAAAUGAAUUGAUAAAUAUAUAUUGCAUAUGUUUUGGUGAUAAUGGAGAUCAAAGAUAUAUAACACAAUAGACUUUUACAACCACUCUUUAAAGUUCAAUUCCAACUAGAAGUUUUGACACUCAAUUUUUCUCAAUAUAAUGAAGGUUAAACCUCACUCAUUCCUGCCUAAAUAAGUGAACAAGUACAAAAAAAAUUAUGAUGAAUAUAAGGGAUGUACUAAGACCGAUUUGCACAUGAAUGAUUAAUGUACAAACAAAUAAGAGCUUUGAAUAAGAGAAAAUGAUGGAUAAGGAAUUCAAUACAAAUUUUCUUUUAUCAAUAAAUGUAUAAGAGCUUUCCAUUUAUAAAAUUUCAACCUCUAAUAUCUAAAAAAAAAAAUAUAAACUAGCUUCAAUCAAUCGAGUUUCUAUUUGAUCAGUUCAUUAACCAUCAAACAAUAAAUACACAAGAAGUGAUUAUUUGUCCUUCCUAAAAUUCAACUAGCCCUCCAUCGAAAGGGUAAUCAAUUGAACCUUUUAGGCUCAAAAACCAUAUUUUUCCUUUCAAAAGUUUUUUUUUAACACUUAGACAUAGUCUUUAGGAGCAUGUGUAACUCAAUUUUGGAGAGUUUUGCCUAAGAUCUUUGGAUCUAUGCUCAUAUUCAGAUAAAAAUAUGACUGUUUAAGUAAGCUAAUAAAAAAAAUUGAGUACGAAGAAACGCGUGAACAAGUUUAAAUCCUAAGUACACCUAAAGUAUUCAUCUUAAGUUUAAUAAGUAUUCAUGCAUCAUUGAUUUAAUUUUCCUUGAAACUUUUAAGUGAAUUUGUCAUUUUCUUUUGAUUUUCUCGUUAUAACCUUAAAACUUAACUUGAUUUAAAAUCAUUAGUACACUUAAUUAUGUUUUAUUAUUAUCAAAACUUAAUUAGAAUAACUCUUAUGUACAAACAUUAUUUUCACAAAAUACUUAAAAAUAAUUUUUAAGUAUUAAAAAAAGGAAAAAAUUAUUUAAAAAAAACGUUAUCAUGUUUUGUUUUAUUUAAAAAAAUAUGAAAAAAGUCAAAUAUAAUUAAAAUUAAUAAAAAUUUAUAUACAUUUAAAUUAUUUUAUUUUUAUAUUAAAUAAUUAAAUAAGAAAAAUGAUUUGAAGGAGGGUAUAAAAAUAAUUUAUUAAUUUUAAAUUUAUUUUUUAUUUUAUUAAUAAUAAAACCUUCUAUAGUAUUUUAAAUAAUAUGUUAUAACAAAGUGAUUAGAAACAAUCAUUUCCCAAAUAAUUGUCGUUUGUCGAUUUUGAAAGCGAUUUUCAAAAGAUUGUUAAAUAACUUACUUGCUUCCAAAUAUUUCAAAACACUCCUAACAUUCUGAAAUCAUUCCCAAACACGGUCUUGACAGAACUACACCGAAUUAUAGGUAUGUCUGGAAAAUUUGGUUGUCAAUAUUUUUAAAAUAAGGAUAAAGAUAAAUACGCGCAACAAUGAAAGCAAUUUUAGAAAACAAUUUCAAAAAGUGUUUUUUCACGAGCGUGUAUAGUUGUAUAGUAGUAUCUUCUCUCUCAUAUUAAAUCCACACCAGCCAUUGAUUCACAGCCUUUCUGUGGAUCUACACUUCUCCGUUUCUCUACUGGAAGCCUCCUUCUCUGCUUCUCCAGGUUCUCCUCUUGGUUUUUCUCAAUGAAUUUCCUUAUCCUACAUUUCUAAACCCUACAAUUCGUGCAGAUCCAUCAUCAAUUCCACCAAUUCGAUCCACUCCGUUGCAGAUCCGCCAUGGAUUUCAUGAAAGUCUUCGAUCAGACGGUCCGAGAAAUGUGAGCUCCGAAUGCGAUUUUCAUUUUCUUAGAUUUAGCAAUGUGCUCUUUCGAGUGAAUAAGAUUUUAAUUUGAUUCGAUUCAAUUUGAUUUAAUCUCUAUUCUCUUGGGGCAGAAAGAGGGAGGUGAAUCUGAAGGUUUUGAAGGUUCCAGAGAUCGAGCAGAAGGUAAAAUUUUAUUUUUCUAUUUGUCCGUUUGGUUGCCGGGAAAACUGAAGGAAUGGAAAAGAAAAUUGAGUUUUAAAUCUGAUUGUGUUGAUUUGGUUUCUAAAUAAUUUGACAGUCCUCCUCAAUUACAGCAAAUGAGGUGUAUUACGCUUAGUUGAUAAAUCUAACAUUCAAAGUUGUCUUUUCUCUCUUCAAUCAAACGAAGUCUAGGUGUGUGUUUUCCCUCGUAAUUGGUUGAUUUUUGUCUCUCUCUUUUUUUUUUUCUUUUUUUUUUCUUGGUUUUUGAGAGGAGGGGGAUUGGGUGGGUGGUGCGAGGAAUACGGGAUAGUGACAUUUGAUGCUUGCCGUAUUUAGGUGCAUGUGUGGAACGUGAAACCUUUUUUCACUGCUUGUUUGCUCAAUAGAAGUUUUAAUUCCUUGUUUUACAGUCAAAUAAUUGAAGGACAUUUUGAUAUUUCUUUCAAAUAGAUUGUUCAAGAGUGUCGGCUGGUUUGCUAGUAAAGGAUUAGGAUUGUGUUGAAUGGGUGGCUGCCUUCAUCAAGAUUGGGUUUGUACAUGGGUAUGAGUGUGUAGAGUUUGAAUAGGGGAUUUAGGUAAGAAAAUGUAAUCAUCCAUUGAUUUGCAUAGAGACCAUCUACAAAAUUGAUGUAAUAGGAACAGUGUAGGAAUUAAUGGCAGUUUGACAAUCACCUCAUUUUCUUCUUAUUUAAUUUUCAUUUAAAAUUGGGGGGAGACUCUUGAGUUACUGGUAUGUUACUCUGAAUAGCGUUUUUAAAUGGCAUAGAAUUGUUUUAGUGGCUAGAGCGCAAUAUGAAUGCAGUUCUAUCAAUGAUCUGCUGAGACAGGAGGAAUGGCAAAGAGGUAUCAGUUGAGGUGGUGGGAAGAGACAUUCAAAUGCAAAUUUAAGAGGAUUCCAAUUAUAUAACCCUCAAAUUUGUGUUAGUUCAUUAUUUUGUGAAAGAUAACAUGGGGUCCUUCAUCAAGUUCAUAGGAUGAAUUGAGGGAAUGUUCAAAACCAAUCUAGUAUAUUGCUUAUAACCACUUCCCUUUCAUUGGUGUAUCGCUAGAGUGUGUGUAUUCCAGACUGUAUUUUUCCAUGUAGCUAACACGCCUCAUACACCUUAACGGCCAGGAAGAGGAUAGUAGUAAAAAGGUAUUAGAUGAUGACCAUGUCCUGAUGUCCUCUGAUCUGGGGUUUAGCUGUAGGCUUUAACAUCAUAAUAUAAGUGCAUUUUGUGUGGAUGCUUUACAUAACUCGUGUAGAUCAGACCUGUUGAAUAUAUUCAAUCGGUAACUUUAUCAAUUUGACCCUCAAACAGGUACUGGAUGCAACCGACAAUGAACCUUGGGGCCCUCAUGGCUCUGCCCUGGCAGAAAUAGCUCAGGCCACUAAAAAAUUGUAAUUUCUAACCUAUUGCAUACUUUCUUUCUCAUUUUAUUCUCUUUUUUUUUUCUCCCAAUAUUAUUCUCAGAAAGAAAAAAUGUUUUGCUUUUUGUUUGCAUACCUGAAAUGUUGUAUGUUCCAGCACUGAAUGUCAGAUGGUUAUGAAUGUUCUGUGGACAAGAUUAAGUGAUUCUGGCCGAGACUGGCGCCAUGUCUAUAAGGUAUAUCUGCUGUUAUUUUCAAAAUAUCCAUUUUCAUUUAGAAGCUUCGCCAUCAUUCCCCACCUUAUAGGGUUAUAUUGUGUUUGGCCUCUUCCAUGCCCUCAAUUUAUGAUAUCAUUUUCUGUCUCAGUCACUGGCUGUUAUAGAGUAUUUGGUGGCUAAUGGAUCUGAACGUGCUGUUGAUGAUAUAAUUGAACACACUUUCCAAAUCUCAGUAUGAAUUCUUCUCUACUAUUCUGUGAACUUUGCCCAUACAAUUCUUAGCAAUGACUAAAAUAAGGUUGAAAAAUUGUUUCCAACAUGUUUCCUCUGUUCUUCUUGUGAAGUCACUUUCAGGAUUUGAGUAUGUUGAACCAAAUGGGAAGGAUGUUGGAAUCAAUGUGAGGAAGAAGGCUGAAACCAUUGUGGCUCUUUUGAAUAACAAAGAAAAAAUACAAGAAGUUAGAAAUAAAGCUGCUGCAAACCGCGACAAGUAAGUUUGUGCUUCAAGAAUUCAGAUUAUCUGUUUAGUUAAACUUCUUCGCAUUCUGUUUUUGGAUUAUUUGUCCAUGAAUAAACUGUCGAAUGAUGCUAUCUUUAGGUUCUUUGGACUUUCCUCAUCUGGAGUGACAUACAAGUCUAGUUCAGCCCCAUAUGGCAGCAGCAGCUUUCAGAGUGCUGAUCAGCAUGGAGGUAUGAGUAGCAAACGAGAAAAUGAUUCAUUUAGGGAUAGUUAUAAAGACAGGGAUCGGUUUGAUGAAGAAAAGGUCGACGAGGAUACUUCUGCUAAGUCACGUCAAGGGGUUACCAGUGAGAAUGAAGGGAACACCUUUAAAAAGGGAUCUGCACGCUAUAGCAGGUUAGGGUUUUUCUUUCAUGCAUAUAGGUCACAGAUUGUAAAUUUCACCACAUGUAUAUUAUGAAAUUUGAACAUGCUGUUCAUAGUUGGUAAACACUGGUUAAAUUUACUUGUUGACGCCAAAAAGAGUUGCAGGAACGGGUUCAUUUUCUUGUUAAUAUAGAUAAUAUAGCAUUACCUCUGUUAUCUUUCAAUUUCUUGCUAUUUUCCUAGUUUAUGAAUAUUCUUUGUUCAGCAAGGAUAAAGAUACUUUGUCAACAAAGGCAAAUUACUCUGACAAGUACGGGUCAAUUCCCUCCCACAGUUCAAGUGUGCCUUCAAUUAAUGAUGAAGAUGAUUUUGAUGACUUUGAUCCCCGGGGAACUUCCAGUACCAGUAAGGAUUCUAAAAUGAUGUAUUUUGAAGUUCUAGUAUAUUUAUGUACUUUGUAAAAGAAAAGGUAGUGCACAUAUGCAGAGAUAUUAAUAUUUGUGGAGACAUUAAGUAAAUAAUUUUGUUUUUUUUGUUGCUAUUUGAUAAUUGUCUGCUUUUUAUCUAUUAUAUUUGUAAAACAGAGACCACUGCUGGAAACAUUAACCAACCAGACCUGUUUGGGCAAAGUUUGAUUGGUGACCUCAUGGAUGCACCGGCACCUGUUCCCACAGAAAUGUCUGCCAUCAACAGCAAUUCUGCAGAGCCUGAUCUGUUUGCAGAUGCAACUUUUGUUUCAGCGCCACCUCAUGUAGAAGAAGGUUCUAGUUCUCAGGUUGAGGUAGAUGCUUCUUCACCUCAGUUUCUGAAAGUUCUGUAAAAAAUGUGCUAAUUUAAAAUCUCUACCAGUCUGGGAAUGGAGAUUUCUAUUCUGCAUUCUACUAGUUUGGUGAGAAGAUUGGCAUUCCCUUCACAGUCCUGCGCAAACAUGUGGACAUGUGCAUGCAUGAUAAAGAUUAUUGUUCACUAUUUUUAUAUGGUUUCGGUUUUUCAGCAAUGGGUGACUGAGUACAUAAUUUAUAUGAAUUCUACAAUGUCCUGGAAAUAUUUUUCUCAUUUUUAGGAGCAAAUAUUAAUGCUGUUUUUGCAUAAUUAAGAAAUGUUUCUCCAAAGUGUUUGUUAAUGAUGCCUAUCUAAUUAAACAAUGAGAAAUGAUAAAAUGUUUCUCCAAAGGAAUUGCAGACUCUCCCUCUCUCUCUCUCUUUCUCUCUCUCUUUCUCUCUCUCUCUCUCUCUCUCUCUCACUCACUCUUUCUCUCAGUAGAAAUGGUUCUAUGUUUUUUCCCAUUUGUCAAAAAGGCAUUACUUAAAAUGUUAUGGUUUGCAGUCAGUUUUCUUAUCAAAUGCUCGCUCUCUCUCUAGAAAUGGUUCUUUGUUAUUUCCCAUAUGUCAAAAUGGCAUUGCUUUGAAAGUUUAUGACUUUCCUUCUAUUUUCAUAUCCAACAUGUAUUGCACUAUGAAAUAUCUACUUCCAACACCAUUGGCAUUUCUCUGUGUCUCAAAUCAGUUAAUAGAAUGAUUCUUUGUUGUUUCCCAAAUGUCGAAGGGCAUUACUUAAAAUUUUUAGAAUUUUCCAUCUAUUUUCCUAUGCAAUAUGCAUUAUACUAUAAAAUAGCUACUUAGAAAACCAUUGCCCAUCAUUUUGAAUUUCCGGGGGCAUCUAAUAAUCAUCAUUUAAAACUUAUAUGGAUUCAGUUUAUAUUUUUUCCACGGUAUGUGCUCAAUUUUUGUCCUUCUGUGCUAAUAAUUUAUCAUGGCUAAUUGAGCAGGCGAAGGUUGAUCUAUUUGGGUCUCAACCUGCUGGUCCUUCUGCGAAUCCUCCAGCAUUUGACUUUUUUGCUGCCCCUGAUCCAGUUGUGCAAUCAGAAACCAAGUCUCAAAAAUCUGACACAGCCAGCCCCGACAUUGUUGAUCCAUUUGCUGCAGUUCCACUAAACAGUUUUGAUGGAUCAGAUCUUUUUGGUUCAUUCACUUCCCAUACCAACUCUGCAUCUACAGAGCCUACACAAAGUCCUGCAAAUGAUGGCAACCUUAACAAUUUGAAUGGAAAAUCCUCUGCAGAAUUUCAACCUCCACCCAAGAAGGAUGCUUUCCAGGUUAAAUCUGGAAUUUGGGCAGAUUCACUGAGCCGUGGACUGAUUGAUCUUAAUAUAUCCGCACGUAAGUCCUUAUCUCUGAAUUUCUAUAAUCCCUUUUCUGUACCAUAAUUCAUUUGCAUGUUUUACAUCUUCACAUUUAUCAUACUGUUUUAGUUUUUAUUUGAUGCAUGAGUUUGGGACUCCAUAUGUGAUGAGGGGAAAUCAAAGUCUAUUCAAGAAGGAAAGGAAAGACAUAAAUAAACUUUAAGUAGGAUUAAGAUUACUUGGAAUUAAAUUAGAAUUAGUAUCAAUUGGAAUUAAAUUAGGAUUAGUAUUUGUUGGAGUCAAAGUAGGAUUAGCUAAUUAGGUUAUAAGAUAAUUAGAAUUAAAGUCAUAACAGGUUAUUAGAAUCCUAGUAAACUUUGGAUUUCUUAGAGAAGCUUAUAAAUAAGGUUAAUCGAUGUAAAUCAAAGUAAUGAAUUGAUUGAUACAAAUAAUAUUAUGUUUUUUUUAUUACAAGUAUUACAAUUCUCAAUGGUGAGACUCUAUUGAUUUUCUUUUACUAGGUGAGACUCCUUCCUAGAAGACUUUAGUGAGACUCUAAGACUCUAAGGUUUCCAUCUCUUCUUCAUUGUAUCUUCUUUUUCUCAAUUUUUUUAUAUUUUAUUUUUCUCUUCCAUAAACUUUAUUCCUUAUUCCUCUAUUUACACCCUAAAAAAUAAAAACCCUAAUCCACCUACUUGAGUAUAGGCAACCAUCCUAGAGUUGUCCUACAUCAAGAUGCCUUGUAUGGUUAAAGAUGCUUGGAUUUCUGAUGUGUUUUCAUGUAGUGCUAGACUCUUCUUUUGGUCUUAUCCAUUUGUUUUCUUUUGUCACGUCUUUUGAGGAUGGCUUCUCAAGGACCAAUAUGUUUGAGCAAUAUAGGAUCCACCACAAAUGAGGCCUUAAUCAGGUCUUAAUUUAGAAAUUCAUUGGCCUCAAAUUAGUUUGGGCAUCUCAUUGGGAACAUCUCCAUUGCAUUUGGGCAUCCAAUUAGGUGACAAUGACAUCUCUGAUGCUCUCUCUCUCUCUCUCUUUUUUUUUUUCCUUUCAAUUUUCCACCAUGUACAAUAUCAUAUGUUGAAACAUGAUUUCCAAUAAAAAUUGAACCAUAUAGUCUAUGACACCCAGAUCCUUCAAUUUCACUCAAUGUACCCAUGUCAACAUGACAUGACAUUCGUGUGGGUAUGGGAUGCUUGUUGGAUACUCCUAUUUUACUUUGGGUAUGGUUAUUUGAUCUUUCUCAUUGAUAUCCUUUUAUUCUUUCAACUUAGUAAUAAUUACAUUAGAGAGGGAAAAAAAAGAGUAAGCUGAAAAGUGCAUUUUUGUAAGAAUAUUUAGGGAUAAAAGGAGAAAAAAAAGGGUUAAAGGGAAAAGAGGGAACUUUUAAAAAUGAUACCUUCACUUCUAAUUUAUUUUUAGUUGAAUUUUCUUUUAUUAUGCUAUAUCCCAAUACCUGUAGCCCUUUUUUGGACCAUUUUUAGCUGAGUACCCCCGUAUUUCAGAAUUUGAGUUGUGAAGGAUUAGAUACUUAGACACAUACUCACACCCAACACUCAUACCUAAGGACCCGUGCAUCAUGGCAUAUAGUCACAUCUAAGGUGGCAACGAUUUAUUUGUUAGAUUUUAGUUCUCUUUCAUUAUAGAAUGUUGUUAUUUUUAAGGAGGAUAGGACUGAUAGGUCUGCAUGCCCAUAUGUAUGUACUUGUAUGUGGGACCUUGGUACACACACUGUUUAUAUUGUAUCUUGUAUUCUAUCAUCCUCUUUGUGAAACAAAUUUAGGAAGUAUUAUGGUUAGAUUUAUUUAUCUGCUUCGAAUGUAUAAUAGAUGAAAGGCUUCCAUCAGUUGCUUAAAUGACAAUGAAAACAAAACCAUUUCCAAAAGUAUUCCUACCCUAAAUAUCCUUGCCAUCACCUGUGAGGGAUUGCAUUGAAACACCUGCCUGUCAUUCUGACUGUACAAAUCUAUUGUGUGUGGAUCUUUUCAAGAAUCUGCCUAAAUGCCACCCUCUUUUACCCAAAAAAUUUAAUCACAUUUAACCCUGAGGGGUAGCUCAGUUGGUCCGGCCUUGGGUUUGCUCCCCAAUGGUCACCAGUUCGAGUCCCCUCAGGGCCAUUGAAGGUUUACCCGGUUGUUAACAAGCUGGCCCGAACAUCCACGGUUAUAAAAUAAAAAAUAAAAAAUUAAUCACAUUUAAAAUAAAUGAUGGCCCUUCAGAUUCCACCAACAUGAGCUCACAUGAAUAAAUUAGACUUAGAUUGCUUUUUAUUUAUUUAAUUUUUUAUAUUUCCUCCUCUUUUAAUUGUGGUCAUUUGAACCCUACUUGCAGCCAAGAAGAUAAAUCUAGCAGAUGUUGGCAUUGUGGGAGGAUUGAGUGAUGGAUCGGAUGAAAGGGAGAAGGGACCCCAAACUUCGUUUUCCAUGGGACAAGCCAUGGGUAUUGGCUCCGGUCUUGGUAAAUCUGGGUUUACAUCUCCACCAACAGGUGGAGUUGGUGGAGAUGACAUCUUCUCAAGUCUCGGCAGCCAGCAAUACCAAUUCGGAGGCUUCAAGAAAUAAUAAUAUAUUUUUUUUUUCAUUUAUCCUAUUUCAAUCUGAUUUUUCCUUAUAUUCAUUUUCUCAUUCGAAGUCUUGAGCAGAUUGGAAUGCUUCUUUGUUGUCAAUAUAUGCACCUAUACAAUAUGGAGAUCUGAAAAUUGUCUUGUUUUGCCUGGUUUCCCAUGAAAAGAUUGCAUUUAUUUCCAUUUAGCUUUGAACAAAUCUGCGAUUUGAUGUGUGACCAAAAUUUUAUCAUGAAACCACAGAAGUUGAAAUGCAUAAAUUCAGUCUUAUAUUGAAACCAAAUGGAUUUACAGGUAGGUAGAUGAUGAUCGAUCCAUGAAGGUCUCUUUCAAGUUUCAGAGUAAGCCAAAAGGCUCAAGACCUCUUAUGCUAGAGUUGGUUUGGAGUGUUUUCCAAAGAUUUCAAGUCAUCAACCUUCAAUAGAAACGUAAUGGUAGGUAACAGGGAUACGAAGUAGCAGCUCAUCAACCUGACUGGUUCAUCAUUUCUGUACAAAUGGAUAGUAAAUGAUGGCAGGGAAGUUUGCACAGCUGGCUAUUUGUCAAGUCUUUCUGUUUAUUAUUUUUAGAGUGUUAUAAUUUAAGACACAAGCACUACAAGUUUUUCCUCAAUACAUUUCCAGCAUUCGUCCCCUUAAUAUGGCUUCUGCUUUCCUCACCUGCUUCACCGGUCCGAUGAUGAACACCUGCACCAACAUAAUAUAUAAUGCCUAUUUAGGAAUUACGAAUGGAAGGGUUAGAUGUCAAAUUGGGAAAGUUGGGACACAUGGGAACUCAAAAAUUUGCAGAGAAUUUGAGUUAUUUGUGCCUCUCCUCAUAAUCAAGUUUGUGUAAAGUCACAUAGAAGAAAGAAUGUCCUUCUGCAAAUUUGUGUAGAUUUAACAGACUAACCUUGUCAGGUGGGCCCUUGGCACCUCCAAUGAGAAUCUCCGCACUGCAAAAAAGCAUGCUUGUCAGGUCAAGAAGCUCCAAAAAUAUCAACUCAGGCUCACAUUAGAUGGAGAGAGAGAGAGAGAAAGAGGAACAACUCAGGCUUAGAUUGGGUGGGGGAGAAAAAGAGAGGGAGAGAGGGAGAGAGGGGGGGGGAGAGAGAGAGAUUACUUGCAAGAUUCCUUGACUGACAAAAUGGAAGCUCCUCGUCUUCCAAUAACACGACCCAUUUUUCCAGGGGGAACAUGAAGAACCGAGAGGAUUUCUUCCUCUGGAGCAUUUCCUUCUACAAUCAGGUUAUCUAUAAGGAUAAAUCACAGCUAAAUUAGUAUACAACUGAUGUAUACACUGUACAGCCACUUUUACAUGUAUUCACAGUUCAUCUCUGAUACACAAUUCAAAGCCAAAACAUAAAAACCUGGAAUGGGAGGGAGAGGUGGCCAAUCAGCAUAAUCAUUAUCAUUGAUGCAGAAACAUCGGCAAUACAGUGCACCACGAACAGCAAGAUACCAUAAGGAUCGUUCAUUCAAUUUUUCCAUCAUCUUGUGAUAGAUGUAAAGAAGGAAACGUACAUCGUCUGCAGCUGCCCGGACCAUCAGGUCAGAUAAGGGUCUGUGCGUCCAAAAAUCAGGGUUCUGGGAUGACAGAUAAGAUGGUUAUCAAUUCCUCAGAAACCACUGGUUAGAGGAUCUUGCCAAUAUGAGCAUUUGCUCAAAGUCCAAUUAUUUGUACACACAAAUCUAUAUGGUUCCAUAUAUAGAAGAGACAUUCACAUAAAACAUUUCAUAAAAAAUUGUUGUAAAGCAAUUAUUUAGGAAUGGUUCUAAAUUUCUGUUGUUGGAUUCUGUGGAAAUUGUCUUGAAUGUUCUGCCUCUAGUCUAGCAGCAAUUGGCAACUGCACUGGUUGAAGUAUCAAUUCAAACAAAAAAUUUAAAGAUGCUCUUUAAUGUUCCCAAGCAAUAAUCAGUUGUCAAAUGGUAAAGUCAAGGAAGUUAUCUACCCAGUAAUGCCAAUCAGCGUAUUAAAAAAGAGAUACAGGAACAAACCUGCCUUAAGAGGUCACGAACUUCUUGCUUCUCAAGAUAGGAUACACCUGCAUUCAAAUCUUCAAUGUAAAUAUAAAAGCCAAAAUGGUGGGUGCGACUUGUACAGGUCAAUUGAGUAGUUCAGAGCCUCAUUUAUAGUAAAGAAGCAUAGGUUUUUCCUAUAGGUGUUUAGUAAAGGAGCUCAAGAAAGCAUGAGAAAUAAAGAACAACAUAAGGAGCAUUGAACCAAUGGUAAAUGCAUUAGAGCAGUUGAUGAUAUUAGGGUCCAUUUGAAAACUGUUCUUGGAAACAGUUCUUUAACUCAAAGGACAUGUUUGAUUGACUUUUGAUAGAAAACAGUUUUUUAAGGAUGUGUUCUAAAAACAAGUUUUUUUUAUAACAAAUUUGAGGUGUUUCAGCUGUUCUUUGUAGAGUGUUCUAAGCAACAAUUGAAAAUACGAAGAAUACUUUGAAAACUUUUACACUAUAUAAAAACGUAUGAUAUUCUUCAUGGAGAAUAAGCAGAGAAAACUAUUUUCAUAUUUGGGUUCCCAAAUAGAAUUUUGUUCCUACAAAAAAAUUAAGAAUUAUUCUCAAAAACUAUUUUUUGAUAACUGUUUUCGAAAACAUUGUCAAAUAGGUCCUUAUUAAUCUAGAGCAUGGAUAAGUUAUAGAAGAAAAAUAUACAAUAUAUCUUAUCAUGAGUAUUGGCCUUAUAUCAUGUUUAUAGUUGCUUCCCCCUUUUUGUUUCUUUCAUCAAAAGCAAGUGGUUUCAUCAAUCAAAUCACAGACAUCAAUACUGCAAUUGAAAACUAGAAAAAAAAAUGAUAAAAUCUUUAGCAAGCAUUGAUAAUCUAUAUUCCAGAAAGUGAAGCAAAGCAAGAACCACAAAUAAUUUCAAAUGGAUGCCAAGAAAGAAUUAAUACCACAAUAGCGUGGAUCUGCUAGGAGGCCAACAAAUGAUAUGUAGUCAUCCACCAAUCUUUUCCGUCCUUCCUGCUCCUCUAUUAGAGAAUAGGCAAUCUACAUGCACAAGAAAUUACGAAGUAGUAUCUGAAGUGAUAUACAUCAAUCACGACCAACUGUCCAAAUCAUUAUCAUUUAUUAUAUCAUGGUGUUCCUGUUAAAGAUGCUCACUUGGGUAUCCACAACAUUGUGCAGCUUGAUGCCAAAUUGAAAAUACAAUGCCUACAAAAUAACAAUAAGAUUCAAAGACUGCCACAAUGUAUGUGCUGACAUGCAGAAGUAAAUAAAAUCAAUUAGAGACCUCGCUAUCUCGUUUGCAAUCGUGAAUAACUUUUGUGAUGUAACUAGAUUCAAGUGCAGGCUUACAGGCUUUCAUAAGCAUCUCUCCCCCCUGAAUAGCAUCAACCAGAUAAAUAGCAUCUGGAAAAGCAAUCUGCCAAAGAUAAAAAUCUUUCAUAAUUAUCAAAGUGAAAAUCUCAUGACACAGAAUAGGUAAUAAGGAACUGGAUAAACAUUUGACAAAGAUUUUGAACAGAAGCUGAAAACAGAAAAGCUGUCAACAAGCUAAACUACCACAUACUGUCUUGAAUAAAAAAACAAAAGGAAAAUUUGAAAGUAAAUAAGUGCUAUAUGAAAUUCAGAAAAGGAAACCAUCUUAUACAAAUCAACGACACAAAAUAGGUUAGUGGACGAGAAGUUAAAAACGAACAUGCAUUUAACUUAUUGAUCAGAAACAAAAUAUUCAUUUAUAUGAAUUUAAGAGUGCAAGUAAAGGAUGAGGGAUCCUUCCAAAAUAUGCAAAAUCCCAUCAAAAGAAGAGGUGGAUAAACUUUCUCCGAUAUACUAAGAUGACAUGUACAUCAAUAUAGUACUUCAUGAAACCAUACAAGGAAAAGUGGCUCAACCACUCAUAGGAGUUAAUACACCUCCCACAAAAACAAACUGAAUCAUUGAUCCUAUGUUGCUAUUUUAACCCUUAUGAUCAAUAUACCAAAUUUCAAUCAGACUGAAUAACAUUGAGAGUAGUGCCCUUGAAACUAGUAGUAGUAGAGGCCCAAAAAGAGAAAUAGAAAUAAAUUAUGUCACAUAAUGUCUCUUAAGUCUUUCACUUGUCCUAAAAAGUCCUUACCUUUCUUUCCUAUCAUACCAUCCAAAUUAGUGUGAGACAAGUGAUUUUUCAUAGAAUUUUGCCUCUAAUAGUACUUCCUUAAACCCCUAAAGGAGAUGGUCAUCAUGUCAUAUAUACUCAUGAGGAGUUUAAUCCAAUUUGACUAGUUUGAAUAGCUUUUGUCAUAGCCCUAAGGUCAACAAAUAAUAUGCAAAAAGACCAUCAAUCAAUUCUUCACUCCCUAUACAUACAUAGUACAACAGCCAAGACUAAGGGCUUUCUAAAGUCACCUUGUCAUUAACAAGUCAUUGGUGUUGACCUUAAUGUUAGUUGUUAGCCAAGCAAAGGCCUUGACCUUAAAUGAGGCUUUAGAUUUCCAUAUGAAUUUUGUUAGAGAGAGAUGAAUUGGAGUUGAUAAAUUGAACAUGGCUAAGAAGAAAGAUUUUAUUGUAAAUAAGCUUGAAGAAGAUAAUAACCAAACUCUCAUUAUCUAGGAUAGACUUGACAAGUACACACAAGUGAGAGAGGAUAUAAGUCUUUCAAGGUCAUCUAUCUCCAAGUCAAUGAGGUUACGACGAGAGUAAAGGUUCCAUGAAAAAGGGGAAAAGAUGUCAAGAAUAGAUGAAAUGGAACAAUUUCUAGCUGUCACAACUCUGAAAAUAUUUGGAGAUUGAGAGCAUAGAGAUUGCUUCCCCCACCACAAAUCUUCCCCAAAUGCAAAUCUUUGCCCCAUUCACCCAUUACAAAACAAGUAGGAAUUAGGACAUAUGUUACAUCAGGAUUUGUGACUUAGUAACCAGCUUAUGGAUCAAAGAGUGGAUAGAGAGAAAAAAUGUGUUUAGGAUUUUUUAUUUAUUUAUUUUUGAUAGGUAAAGUAAGCAUAUAUUAAUAAGAGAAACGCCAAAAAAGUGCCCCAAAAAAGUGUAUAUUAAAAGCAUAUUUAGGAAAUUGGAACAAGAGUAUAAGGAAAUCAGAAUAGGGUGGAAAUGAAAUGGAAGGAAUUAGAAUUAGAACCCAAACUAGAAAUGUCAUUGAAGUGCUUAUGAAACUACCAAAAAACUAAAUGAGAAUGGAACAAAUUCUCAUUGAGUCAUCUAUUAACUAUAUGGGAGUUAGAAUAAAUCUACACAUUUAUUAUAGUGUUCUUAUACAAAGGGAUAUAAAAAGAGAUAUUUUCAUGCUACUUUUAAGAAAACUCCACUUUGAUAUUAAUUUUUGGAUAACAUUGGAAAGAUUAAACUAGGACUCAUUAACAUUUUGAUCUUCAUAUCAUGUAGCCUUGAAAUGUCGAGUUUCAAGAUUAGAUUUUCUCUUUUAAUUGAUAACAUAUUUGCUAAUCAAUAUGAAAUGCUUUUUCAAAAAUAAUAUCAACCUUCAUGUGGAUGAAAUAUGCAGACAUCUAAAAUUCAUGUUUGGUUCCAUCUUUGUCGAAUUAGAGUUGAAGUUGAAUGAAUAAACUCCAUAAUUCAAUGGGGAAAAUUCUUCAUGCAGACAGAAUUCUAUCAUCUGAGACUCUGAGCUAACAUGGUCCAAGAAAGUCAAUUACCUGCAUGAUACAAAGUGUUCCAUGGCGACAUAGGUCAACACCUUCACAAUCAAAACCAAUGACCAAUUUCCUUUCAGGAGAGGGCUCCAGGAAUUCAAUUGGAAGUUGAGAUGGAAGGGUGACAAUGUGGAUAGGGACCAGUGGCAAGAGACCUUCAUGAUCUAUGGGUUUGCCACCUGCAAAAUACAAAGAACUCUUACAGAAACAAAAACCACAAAAAAUAAACGCAAAAAAAGUAGCUUUCAAACAAAAGCAAACAAGUCAUACAAGUGAAAUGCAUACUCCCAGAAGAAGAACAAAAAAAAAAAAAACUAUUUAGUUUUUCUGUAUGACAAUAUUAGACAAAACCAUUCAUGACUAAUUGAUUAAUCCCAGUUCCUUUUCACCAGGUGAUGUGUGACCAUGAAUAACAUGAAAUUCAGAAAAAAAAAUCGAGAACUGAGAAGAGAGAGAAAAGAAACAAAGCAUGUGUUUUGGUAUAUUAGGGCAACUUAAGUUUGCCCAUUUCCUCCAUUCUGUUUUCUUACUGUUUUUUAACUAUAUGAACCUGAGGGGACCUGAAGAGCUAACACUUGUACAGCUAAACCUACUACAUUCCAUUUCUUGGCACUAGGAAAAAUGAAGUUGUCAUGUAGGAAAAAUGAAAUUGUCCAGUUAAUUUCUUGGCAUGUGGAGGAAUAGCAACAAGUACCACAUUCCGAAUUACCAAAAUUUCAUGUAGUACAGUAAUUAGUCACUUCUGAGACAAACAAAAACCCUUGGAACUCUUAGUUUUGAAACAGAGGGAGAAACCUCCAUUUAUUACCAAAAAGACUGAAAAUAAUAAAAAGGAAAAGUAAAAAGAUUGACAGUUUGCGCAGGAACCAAAAGCUAACUCGAGAAACCCAAUCAAUUCUCUAGGGCGCCAAACGAUUGAAACUGCAAGUUUCUCGAACUCAGAAUAUGACUUUCGAUCAUUUUUCCCACGGUUUCUCGGCAACCAAACAGCUCCGAAAUGAACAUAAAAUCAAAUUUCAAAGAAGCGUGAACAAACCCAUGUCGAAGAUCAACCACAUUAAUCAAAAUUAUAUGAAAUCACAUGCAUAUAAACCCAAAUCAAAUAUAAAAAUCUCAAAAUAAUAGCAAAACCCAGAAAGGAAAACACCCAGUAAAUUGAAAAUAAAUGAAAAAGGGAAAAAAAGAAAAGACCUGGGUCUGAUGGCAUAGGAAUGUAUGUAGGUUGAGACGGAGAAGGUGAAGCCAUGUGAUCGGACCAUCCAAACAGACCAAUUUUCUUCUGAACCCCCUUUUGGGCAUAUGUAUUUUCAUUUAGGGGCGUGUUUGGCAUGGUUUUAAAAUCGUGUUUUCUCCCUUUUGUUUUAUUUGUUUUAUUUUAUUUUACUAAUUUAUUGUUUUGGUGGUUUCCAGAAUUGAAGAUUGAAAAUAAUUCAAAACAUGGCUUUACAAUCACUACUUACUAUUUCUGAAAAUAUUAGGAUUGGUCUGCACAUAUUUUCUGAAAUUUGUUUUAAAAAAUUAUUUUUUAUUUUUUAACUUAAAAAUAAUUUCAUAAAACAGCUUCUAUUUAUUUUUUAAAAAUUAUUAUUUUUUAUUUAUAAAAAUUAUUUUUAGAGAAUAACGAUUAAAUAAUAUUAAAAAAAUUUAAAAACAGUUUUUUAUUUUUAAAAGCAAAAAACUAUUUUUAAAUCAAAUAACCAAACAAGCUUUUAAUUAUCUUUUUUUUUAUUUUAUUAUUCAUUUCUUUGGAUAAUUAGGAAAAAAUUAACAUCAACAAUUAUCAAAACCUAAUUAAAUUUUAAACGAGAUAAUAAAAUGAUCAAAAAACAAAGUCGCACUUAUUUUUCCACUUCAUCUUAUCUGAAAAUUUUUGUUCAAUUAUUCCGAUAGUAAAAUUUUUUGAAAAUAUUAAAUAUUUUGACAAAAGUAGUUGAAAUUAACUGCUUUAUUCAUUUUAAUAAUAUUCAUUAAAAAAAUUUAAAAAAAAAAUCAAACAUUCGGAGUCCAAGGGCCGAUAACUUGAGUCCUGUGAUUCAAUAUUUAUGAAAUCGGUUCUAAUAUAAUAGACGUUUAUCGAAUCAAAUGAAAAAGACAUUAUCGAGAAAAAGACGAGUUUGGAUUCUAUAAUUGAAAAAUGUUUUUCAAAAUGUGUUUUGUAAAACACUUUGCUUUCCACGAAAGUAAGAUCUUGAGUUUGAAAGUGAAACACGCAUGCCGACUAUAUUGUGCCAACCAUGGUCACGUGGGUCCACGUGACGCUUAAGUGGAGGUCAUGCUCUGAUGUGACGCCAAUUUAUUUUGUAAAAGCGAGAUUACCCAACAUAUAAUUGACUUUCCGUUUUACAAUGAUUUUAAUAAAUAUUUUUAACACUUAAAAAUAUUUUAUCAUUCAAAUAUUAAAAAUAUUUUUAAAAAUUUCUAUUAAAUAUAUUAUAAAUUGAAUUAGAAUGGAAUUAAAUACAUCCCCUAAUACUUUAAAAUUAAAAUUUUGAGGGAAAAUGAAAAUGACAUAAAAUAGAAAGAAAAAUAAGAGGGAAGAAAAAAUAUAUUUAAAUUUAAUAAAUUAUUUUUAUAUAUUAUUUAAAACUCGUUUCACUUAUUUUUAAUAUUUAUGUAUGAUAUUAAAUAAUUUGAAAAUGUAUAAAUUUUUAAUUAAUUUUUAUUUUUUCGUAUCAUAAAAAAAUUAUUUCACUAAAAAAAAAUUACACUUUUUGAAAUUCGUAAUCUUUUUCAAUUUAUUAAUUAUUGAAGGACAAUAAUGUUACUACCUUUAAAAUACAUUUAGAGUCCUUUGAGAUUGCCUAAUAUUGAGAUGUAGCUUUUUGUAGAAUACAAGAUUACCUAACAUGAAGGGACAUUUCAAAAUUAGAGUAAAAUAUGAUGAAAUAGGCUAAAAAAAUAUUAUAAAAUUCACUUAAAACCCCUUUUAAUAGAGAAUAAUUUUUUCCCCCAAAUUUAGCAUAUGAGACUUAUGUUAUUGCUUCCAAAAUACGGUGAAAACCCAUAACCUUGCAAGCUCAUGUCAUUAUUGCAUGUUUUUACUUCAAGUAUUUUUAAUUGAAGUGUUUUCUAUUUGAGUGUUUUUAUAAUAAUUAUUUAUCAAGUGUCUUUUUAGAAUAUUAUAAGUGAAUUUUUAGAUUUUUUAAAAGUGUUUCAUAAAUUUUGUCAAAUACUUUAUUUAUCUUUAAAAGCACUUCUCAACUUAAAUAUGUUUUUUAAAAACAUUACUGUACUCUUAAUAUUAUUGGAUGACUUUUUUUAUAGCAAACAAUGAGAAUACUUAUCAAGAAUAACUUAAAAUUGACAUAUCUUUAAGCAAAAUUAGGUCUUCACAUCAAAUAAGUAAAAUUGACAAUUAAAUAAAUGAUCUAAAGUCAGAUGAAAUAUGCAUUCCAAUUCACACCUACCUCGAUGUUAUGCUAAAAUGUGAGAAGAUGUAUUUGGCAACCACGUGAUUAAAAUUCUUUUAUCAAAGGGUGUUGUAAACAACAUUGUUGGAUAUCUAACCAUCCUUCAUAUGAUAAAAGCAAAUUACAUUUAGGUUUUGAUGGUGAAAUAUUUUAAAAAAUAGUUAUUUUGUUUUAAAAAAUUGUUAUAUAAUAUUUUGUAUAAUAAAAGUCAUUUGCUAACUUGAAAUGGUUUCAACAUAUUUUUUUAUAUUUUAAAAAAUAAGAAUAACUUUUAUAUGAAUAUUUAUUUUCAAUUAUUUUUCAUAUUUUUGUAAUAAAUUUUUUAAAUAAUCAUUAAAAAAUAAACAAAAACAAUCAAGAACAAGUAAAUAUAUGCUUGCCAUAAAUACCUUAUUGUUUGUUUUCUAAUAAUCGAAAUUGUUUUUUUUAUUCUUUUCUUUUAAAAAUAUGAAAUUAUUUUUUAAAACUUCCUAACCUGUCCUUAUAUCAAAACUAUAUUAAAAUAAAAUGAGACGAUUCAAAGAAUACUCCAAAAUACAUUGAAAAAGCUUUACUUUAAGAGCAUCAAAAGCAAGUAUCAUUGCAAAUCUAACUAUGGCUACCUUGAUAAAAGAUAGAAAUUACAAUUAAAAGUCCAUUUGAUCAUGAUUUUAGCAUGUGUUUUUAGUCUAUAAAAUGUUUUUGAAAAAAAAACUAAGUAUUUGAUAAAAUUUAAGAAACAAUUUUAAAAAUCUAAAAAAUCAUUUAUAAUAUUUUUUAAAGAAACACUUGAUAGAUGAUUCUCCUAAAAACACUUUCAUUAAAAAUACUUUUAGAGUGUAUUUAACAAUAAUUUUAUAAAAUAUUUCUAAUAUUUUUAAUAUGUUAAAAUUUUUAUCUCACAAGUAUAAAAAAUGUUAUAAGAAACUUAUUCUUAGUAAAAAUAUUGUCAAUCACGGUUGUGGACCCCGCAUUUUCGGCUCAAUGCGUUUCCCACUCGAUGGUGAGCUCGAUUUUUAUUUUGAAAAUUAUGAUUUUUAUUGAUUAUUUGAAAAUGACUUGGAGUCGCCACUUAUUUUUGUUUUAUUUUUAAAGGGUAAACAAAAUAAGAAAGAAAAACCCUAAGUGUGACUCCUUAGUUUGGAAAAAAUGGUCUGCGAAAAACCGGAUCGGGUUCGGGGUCAGGUUACUUAUCGGGAAGGUACGGUAAAGACCGUAGCACCCCUCUAAGCCCCUAAAGUCGGGUCUCUACUAAUAAAAUGAAGCAAUCAUGGCAGUGGACGAUGAAAUCAAUGGAUACUCAGAGUGAUCAUGCACACGUGAGAAUCUAAACAUGCAUGCAGAAAAUGACCAGAGUGGAUGUGGAUGCGUACCUGGGCAGUGAUCCAUAAAGCGCUAUCAAGAAGUGAGGUUAGUGCACAAUUAAGGAAUAAUUCCGAGCAUGUCAUAGAGCAGAAUAACAUCAAUCACGCAUGACAAUUAAAUCAAAGAAACAAUCAGUCAAUCAUAAGGAAAACAUAUAUGUUGGGCCCCCACCAAAGCCCAUUUAUUUUGCAUGAAUUAAUAUCACAGAUUCCAUUAUUCUGGAAUUAUGAAAAUUGCAUUCACACUUAUGUAAAACCAAGGAAAACAUAAGGUUUGAGAAACGGAAUAGAAUUAAAAUUGUUCACGUGAAAAUCGGAUUUUUGGAAUUUAUUUGAAAAUUGGAGCUUUGGGAAUUAAAUUUGAAAAUUGGAAUUUUGGGAAUUAAAUUUAAGAAUUGGAAUUUUGGGAAUUAAAUUUGAAAUAAAUUAGAAUUUUGGAAAUUGAAAAUUAAGUUUGAAAGUCGAAAAAUUAGAAUUUAAGAAAUUGGGAAUUGGGAAUUGAAUUUGGAAAUCAGAAUUUGUUUGAAAGAUUUAUUUUAAGAUGACAUUUUAGAAAUUAAAUUUGGGUAUUAGAAUUUUUGAAAAAUUAAUUUGAAGAUUGAAGUGAUUAAAAAAACUGAAAUUUUGAAAGUUGUUUUAAGAAUUCAAUUUGUGAAAACGUGUUCGCCAAAAAGCAAAAGAAAGAAAAAUGGACAUAAAUAUUCAAACCCACCAAAAAGUCUUCUGCCAUGUUAUGAUUUCCAUGCAAGAAAGGAAUAAUAAAAAGAUAUAUAUAAAUGGCUUUGAGAGCUUUUCUCAAAGUAAAAAAAUAGGCACGGACCCAAAUGCCUUGCUAGUGAAACAAUUUGAAUUAAAAACUUUUAAAAAGCAUCCCAUUGUCUUAUAAUCCCCCAGCCGCCCAAUUCUUUUCUCUCUCGGAAAGGCUCCUCCCAAGCACAACUUUUUUUUUCGUCUCCCUCAGACUGUCUCUAUCUCCCUUUUCUUUGUUUUUCUCCUCUCCAGAUAUCACCCUCUCCCCUUUCAGCUUUGGUUUUUUUUUCUUUCUAAAAAUCCGGACCUCCACUCUCUUCCUCUGAAAAAAAUCCCUUCUUUUCCAAAACCUCAGAUCCUUAAACGCCAGCCUCAAAACGCCCUCAAAAUAAUCUUCCCCUCUUUCCUUUUCUCUUUUUCCAGAUUUCUUCCUCCUCAAAUCUCCCAACUGCUGCUCGUCUUCAAAAACCCUUUCCCCUUGAGGAUACAAAUGACUAUCGAGAACAGAGUAUAAACGAGAAGGGAGCAAGCAUAAAAAGGAAAAAUAAAACAAAGCAUCCAAUGAACGGGUGGGAAGAAUGAGAUGAAAACGAGAUCCAAGAAUGUGACUCAGACGCAAAUAGGAAAGCUAUGAGGAAUUAAAUCACUCUCAAUCAAGUAGCAUAUGAAGAAAAAAGCAUCGUUCAUUCAUAUCACAAUCACCAUAAUACUAGUGAAAUCAACCACAAUAGAUAUGUAGUCUAGUACGCGCACCUGAAAAAAAAACUUCCCUUCCAACGGGACUUAUGUAUCCAGAUUCUCUACUUCUUCUUCCCCCUCUGUAGCCUCCUUUCCCCUAGAUCACAAUCUCUCUCUGUUCUCCCUUUUUUUUUUUAGCCGUCGCCUGCCCUUCUGCAACCCGCCUAAUGAAAAAAAAACAAUGUUUCCCCCUCAAAACCCAAAAGAACUCCCCCCGAAAACCCACUCUUCUAUCUCUUUUCUAUCUCUUUCUCUCCAGCCGAUUCCUACCUUCUCGGGCAAGCCAUUACCUGCUUCCCUGUUCAUCUCUCAGCAGGUAUGGGUUCCUCAAACUCCAACAUGACAUCCCUUGCAGCUGGUCCCACGCAUGGAGAGGGGUCCCCUACACACCUCUCGGGUGCUGCCAGCCCCUCUAAUAUAUAUAAAAAAACUAAAUACCCCUUGGCUCUUCAAAGGGGUCUACAACGGUAUUAAGUUAAAAAUAUGUUUGGCUCAAAAUUUUGAAAUCAUUCGCAGAAAACCAUGAGGGGUAUUGUUGUAAAUUUAACAAUCCCCUUUCUUAACACGAGGAUCCUAUAACUUUAUCGUUAAUUCCUUUUGUUAGACUGGAUUUAUGACAAGAACUAAACAUUUUUUUUUACGGUAAUCUCCAGGGAUUACGUAGAGGUUUAAAAACUAUUUUUUUUAUUCAAGCUCUUUACUUUUAAAAAUAGAAAGUUAAAGUACACUGAAAUAUCAAAAUAAAAACAACACAAAUAUUUAUAAAUAUUUUGAAUAAUUAUUUCAAAAAUAUAUUUUUAUAAACUACAAAACUAUUGUUUCUCAUGUUUUAAAUAUUUUCAUUUUAAUUUUUUUUAAUCAGACAAGGAGUGAAUUCACGAGAGAAAUAAAAAAUAAAGAAUUUAAAAAAUCCACCUAAGCAGGAACAAAGGUUCUAUGAAACAUUAAAAUAAUAAUAAAAAACGGAAAGUCCAUCUCAGAGUUGAGCUGUCCUGAAUUUUUUAUUGCUGAGUGGAUAAACUUUAAGUGUACUUGUCUGAUGACACGUCUUCAUAGUUUUUACCUUUCUCCACUCUAUUUAAACUUUUGUAAUAAUUUUUAUGAAUUUAAAAAUAUUUGUGUAGUAUUUCUUUUGGUGCGGAAUAUCCAUUGAAAGAGAUUUGGGAAUAGGCGAAUCACUUCUACCAUUAGACACAUCAAACAAGUUGAUUGCGACAAGUGGGGUGAGACCAAUUAGAGGCCCCGAACCAAACCCAUGCUACUAUGGUUGGUGCUCUUCGAGCUGUCCUCUCCAUUAUUUGGCCCCACGGUUCCGAGGGCCAAUAUCACAUGAGUGGAAAAACAAUUAUUGGGUUAAGUAACCCCACAAAAUAUCUACAAUAAUUACCAAAUAUUAAGGGUAUGUUUGCUUACCGUAAAAUUUGAGGGAUAAAGAAAAAUCGCCGAAGUAAAGAAAAAGUGAAUGUAAAUAAAAUAUGAAUUUAAGUUAUACGUAGUUGUCAAAUAAUAUUAAGGAAUGAGAAAAAAUGAUUAUUGAAAAUAAUUUUUUCAUGUGUUGACAAUUUAUGAGAAUUAUUAAAGAAAAUAAGAUGUAAUUAAAAUUAGUUUAAAAUUUAUAUAUUUUUAAAUUAUUUAAUUUUUAUAUUGUUGAGUUAAAAUAAGUAAAAUGCAUUUAAAGUAAUAUAUAAAAAUAAUUUAUUAAUUUUAAAUUUAUAUUUUAUUUUUCUUUCCUUUAUAUUUUCCCUCAAUUUUUUUUGAAAUCAAACAUAAUAUUAAAGUUAAUAAAUUAUUUUUACAGUUAUUUCAAACUCAUUUGAUUUAUUUUAACUUAUUAAUAUAAAGAUGAAAUAAUUUGAAAAUAUAUAAAAUUUUAAUUAAUUUUAAUUAUAUUUAAUUUAUUUUGCAUUUUCACAUGACAACCAAAUAUGAAAAAAUAAUUUUUAAAUAUUUUUUUCUUUAAUUACUUUGUUGGAACGAAGCAUAACGUAAAAUUAUCUUUAAAUGAAUUUAACUCGAUGAAUUUUCCUCCUUUAUUAUGUACUCUAUAUUAAUGUUGCUUUUGAAAUUGAACUUUAAGUAAAAUAUUAUUUUUAGACUUUUUUAAUAUAAACAGUUUUUUUUUUCCUUUUGUUUGAAAUUUAAAGAAUAAAAGCGUGGAUUAGGUUUUUGAUGUAAUUUAAACAUAUUCAAAUUUCAAAUAACAAAAACAAAUAAAUAGUGUUUGAAAAACUAGAUGGUUGCCCAAACUUCACAUUAGAUCCAUAAGUACAUUAAUUGCAUAAUUAUUCAAAAUAAAUUGGUAUUAGUAAUUUGUAAGAAAUUAUUAAAGAAAAAUAGUUUUCCUAGAUUAUUUUCCACCAAGUUAUUUAUGAGCAUGUUUGGAAGUGAUUUUAUAAAGUAUUUUUAGUGUUUUUAGCACUUGAAUGAUAAAAAUUGUUAAGUAUUAGAAAUAUUAAGAACAUGUUUGUUAGUAAUUAUAAAAAAUGCUUUUAAUAUUUAUAAUAUUUGAUUUUUUAAUUAUUUAAGUGUUAAAAAUAUUAGAAAUAUUUUAUAAAAUCAUUUCCAAACGUAUUCUAAAAGUAUUUCCUCAAAUCACUACCAAAUGAAUCUUAUAUUUAUGUAUAAUAAAAAGAUUUUAAAAGUAUUUGUCUUUCUUUUAAUUAUUACUCAAAAUAUUUUGUAAACAAAUAAAUAAAAAUAUUUUAAAUUUAUUUCGAAAAAUAAAUUAUUUUUAAAAUAAAUUAUAAAGAAAUUGUUUUAUACUAUAAGUAUAGCAAAUAUGUGUUUUAAGUUAAAAAAAACUAUUCUUUAUUUUCAGAAAUACUUGUAUCGACAACAUUUUUUUAUUUACGUUUGAUAGAAAAUAGUUUUUGAAAAUUUAUUAGGAAAUUGAAUAAUUUUUAAAAAUUAAUUUAAGGUGAAUUAUUAGUAAGCUGCCAUACUUGCAUGGAGACUAGGUUUAAAAAAAUAUAAUUUAUAUUUCAAUUUUCAAAUAAAAAUUUGAUCCUGAAAAUAAUUUUAAAAAUGAUUUUCUGAUAACUGUUUUUGUAUCAAACAACCUUAUAUUUCCAUCAAGAAAAAACAUACCUAUAUUACAUGCCUAUAUUUUCGUUAAAAAAAAACCUAGAAAAAAAAUUAUUUUUACUCUUAGAAAGGAAAAAAAAAAAAUCUUUAAGACAAAGCACAUGUUGAAAGUGGCCCGCAUGGAGAGGGAAAGGGCAAGAAAGAGUAUGCAGAUCAAAGGGGAUGACUUGGACAAAAAGACCAAAUUCAUGGUUAUUGCCCUUUGUAUUUUGGUCACAGAUCUCCAAAUCUAGCGCAAAAAUUUCUAUGCCAACACGGGUGUUUUCAGUUCUAUCCAAACAUGGCCCACACCGAAGCACUUUUCGCCUUUUUCCCCCUUUUGCAGAUGAGCGUGAAUCAUCUUCUAAGGAAUCCCUAAAUAAGCCACACCAAUACACCGUCUUUUUCUCAUAGAAUCUGUUCUCGUUUCUCUCUCUUUUUCUCCGUUCUUAUUCGUUCUUUUAUUUCUUGCAUCGUCGCUAGUUUUUGUUUCUUUAUCUGUUCUCUUCAUCAUUUCAGCUACAGAGCGCCUUUCCACCCCAAUUAGGUCAACCCGGUUAUUGAGGAAUUGGUGCAAUUUCGAAGGAAAAGGGCCGAUUUUGGUACCUGGGUUUGUGUGUUUCCAGCUUUCUGUAAGUGGGUUUUGGUUUAAUCGUUGUUUUGUUCGUCGAUUUUCUCUCAAUUUCGGAGGUGGAGAAUCGAUUUUGGCUUCUGGGUUUGCGAAAUUCUGGGUAUGUGCAAGUGGGUUUUCGUUUUGGAGGUCUGAUUUAGGUUAAUUUUCGAGAAAGAGAAUUGGUUUUGGUAUCUGAAUUUGUCUAAUUUUUGUUAUCUGCUAGUGGGCUUUGGUUUUGGAGGUUCUUCACAAAUUGCUGGAAUACUCAGGGAAAAGAACCGAAUUUGUUAUGUGGUUUUGUGUAAAUUUUGGGUGUCUGCAGAUGGUUCUAGGUUAUGGGAUUUGGAAGCGAAUUUCAUGGGGAAACUAGCUUUUGUAUUUGGGGUUUUGUGUUGAACUGAGGGUGAUAUAUAAAGAGAAAGAAUGAAGAGAGGGAAAGACGAGGAAAAGAUCAUGGGGCCUAUGUUCCCAAGGCUUCAUGUUAAUGAUACAGAGAAAGGAGGGCCAAGAGCACCUCCAAGAAACAAGAUGGCUCUCUAUGAACAGCUUAGUGUACCAUCUCAGAGGUGCAAUCCUGGUGUCAUGCCUCUCAAGUCUAACAACGCUAGCAACUUGGUGCCUCCGGCGUCAUCGAGUCAGGUAACUUUGAGGAUUUCAUGGUUAUAUCUUCAUAUUCUUUGUCCAUUUUGUUAAGGCUUCUUAACUGGUUUAUGUUAUGAUGCGGUUGUUUUCUGUUUUUGAAGGAGAAGAUUGAGUUUUGUUCUGUCGUUUUGAUUGAUUUCAGUUUUAAUUAAUGGAUCGACAUGUGACCUAGAUUUCAUAUGAGGAUCAGAGGUUGUCUAAAGGGGAAAUUUAGGGAUUGUAUGGUUCUAGCCUUGACAUUUGCUAUAAUAUUGAUUUGCUUGUUCCGAAUAAAUAUUGGAUCUUUAUGUUCAUUCUAGGAUUUUGGGUAUCAAUUUUGCAUUUUUCUCAGGCUCAUUGCUCACUUACAUUGUUAAGCAGCUUCUGUGCAGCACAGUUAACCUUGCUUUUUAUUUGGGACCUCUCCCAAAUGGGACACCUAAAUCCAUACCCAAGAAUCAUUGCUCCUCAACCGAAGGAUAUUACUCCCUUAACUUAGUCUGGAAAAUUGAUCAGCAAUUGAUUUUGGCUUUCUUGUUAUUUAGAGUAUAUUUGGGACUAAUUCAGCUUAGUGUACAAAAUUUUUUAUGUUACAGUAAUUUUUAGUUGGCACUCUUUUUGGAAGUCAAUGGCAAGCAAAGCAACUGUUUUGAGGGGCAAGUUGUUUAUCUGUUUGUAUUUUAAUUUUUUAUUAGUUUGUUGGUGUGGUGGGGUCUGUAAAGCUCUUAACUGGAUUUGUGAUCGGCAAUAGUUGUCAUCUCUGUUGUAGUUCACAGAUGGGGUCUUGUUCUUGUUUUUCCUGCCUGUUCCUAUUUUACAAUAUUCUCUUUUGAUUUUUCUAAAGAAUUUUAUGACGGGACAAGAUCUGUCAGUUAAUGUUUUUAUUCAAAGAAGAAAUCUUAUUGUUGUUCUUGAUUGCUAUAGCAAUUUAUGGUUGCAGGGAAGUGGCCAUGAAAGAGGUGUGUUUUUUCCGCAUCACAUAUCUCCCUCAACUCCAACUCAUCUACCAGAGAAGCUUCAUGCUCGCCAUUCUGAUGCAGUGAUUUUGAACACUCCAUUGGCUCAAUUUGAGCAGAGAAAGAAGCAAGGAGAUGAAGAUGAUUUUAGAGUUCCUAUAUUUGUUCACUCAGGGACAGAAUUUCAUGGUAGAAACCAGAACAGCAUAGAUAGGGAAAUACUUACUCCCAGCAGCUCAACUUGUUUGGGUCAUUCAAUAAAUCUCCAAAAUGCUUGUGAGAAGGAACUAAAACAAACUAGCUCCAAUGGUCUUAGUGUGAGACAAGACAAGAGGAGCCAGGGUGAUGUGAAUCGGAAAGAUUAUGUGUCAAGUAGGGAGUACUCAGAAAAAUCUGCCUCAAAUCUGUCAACUAAAGAAAAAAUUGAUGAAUCUAUGAAGCAAGUCAAUAAACCUUCAAGUGAAGAUUUUCGGGAUCAAUCAUCAGCUAAUUUUAGCAGCUUACAUGAUACUGAUGGUUGUUUACUACAAGGGAAUAGAGCAGGGGCACAAUUAGGAGAACCUGAUCAUGUUGAUUGUGUUUCAGUUGAGACUGCAAGAGAUGCAUGGAACGCUUCUAGGGUAAGAAGUAGUUCAUAUUCAGGAGAUGGUCUUGGUAGUCCUAGUGAACCAGAUAAUGACGGUGCAUGUCGUGGAGACAAGACAUGUGGUACAUUACAAAAGGGAAAUGUAGACACAAAUGAUGACUUAUCUGAGACCUCCAUGGUGGAUUCUAUGUCAGGCUUGGAUAUAACACCUGAUGAUGUGGUAGGAAUAAUAGGUCAGAAACAUUUUUGGAAAGCGAGAAGAGCAAUUGUCAAGUAAGUUUCCAUACCCUUCUAUUAAUGGCUACUUCAUUGUGAUGCUUUUGGCUUAUCAUAAUUGAGGUUGCCUUGUGAAACUUUUCUUGGUAUACUGAAUGACAGUAUUGACUUAGUGAAAAAAAUGUCAUGGCUAGACUUAAGCUUCAGGGUACCUCAUUUUUUUUCCUUGUCAAAAUAUCCAUCUUUGUUAAUAGGUGAUCUUAACCUCUUGAUUUGACUGAUUUUAUUUGAGGUUGCCUUGUUAAAAUUUUCUUAAUAUACUCGAUGAUAAUAUCUACCUACAAAAAAAAUUAUUAUGGCUACAGACUUAAGCCUCGUGAUAUCUCUUUUUCUUUUAAAUAUCCAUGCUUGUCAAUAAGUACUUUGACUUUUUUGGGUUGCCUUGUGAAACUUUUGUGAGUUUACUGAAUAAUAGCAUCUAAUUAUUGAAAAACUUUCAAGGUCUCAGGCUUUAUCUUGAUGAUGCUUCAUUUUUUAAUAAUGGAAUAAUGUAUUAUAAAUGAGAAAAUUGCAGAAAUGUCUCAAUUGCCGCACAAAACAUGCAGAAACAAUUCAACCUUCAUAUUAAACAAGUAACAAAUUUUUUAUUAAUGGCAGGCUUUAGGACUGACAAGUAGUUACAAUCAAAUCAUGGAAAGUUACAUUACGAGCCAAUGCGCUUGCCCCCAAUUAACAGUCAAAUAUUUUUGAAAGAUGAAUGGCUAAUGUGUGUUUGGUACAAGGGUUUGAUGAAAUUAAACAAGUUGAAUAGAAACAGUGUUCUUGGGAAAUAUGAUUAGGUCCUUUUGGGGUAGUGAAAAACAGUUAAGAUAGAUGAUUGUAAGAGGCAUUUGCUAGGAACUUGGAAUAUUUUCUAUGUCUAUAUAGAUUGUAGCGCCAUGAUCCAUUUAGUGUGAAUUUUAGAAAGUGUUAAUUGCCUUGGAGGAACUGUGAUUGUUGUGGUGUAAAUUUUAGAAAGUGUGAUUGCCUUGAAGGAGCUGUGAUUGUUGUACUGGGAAAUGAUUAGGUAAUCUUAAUGAGUCUUUGGGAGCUGCAGAAGGUUUGUAUUUCUUGGGAUUGUUUCUUCCUCCUUUUCUCAGAAUUCAAAGCUGGAUUGGAUUGUUGAACAUCAUAUUAAAUAUUAUUACAAUAGGAGUAUAGAAUAUUUUAUCGUCUUGAGUAUAAGGGUUGUUAGUAUGGCUUGGGAGAGGAGAUCUCACGGUGUGGGGUCCUGCAGUCCCCUCAAAGGUGGCCGUUUUUUAAUUAUUGACAGCCCUUACAAAAUUUUAAUGAUCAAUCAUCUUCUAGCAGGGAGAUGGACUUCCCUUGUUGAGGUGCUUUGUGCUGGCAAACCAUGAGAAGAUGGAUCAUCUCUUCAUUUGGUGUCCUCUGCCCUUUUGGACGAACAAAAAGGGCAACAAAUUGUGAAGGAUAAUCCUUGGAGCUAUUUUUCCUUUUGGGAAGAGGAAUUUUGACAAUUUGAAAUUAUUUGGGGGACAUGGUGGCAAUGAGUAUGGUCUCAAUAGUAUCUUGAUGGCUUCUAAUUUGAGGAUUUUGUGGGGUUGAGAUUCAUACUCUUUUUUAUAUUUGUUCUUUAGAUUAUGAUUUGCCCCACCUGUACUCUACGUGCUGUAAAUUUUCAUAGUCGUUAAUGAAUUGAUUCUUUAAUUUUUUAAAGAAAUCUGUAAAAGACUCUAGAAAUGCAAAAAGAAAAAGAAUUUUGCUUUUAUCUUUCAAUCUGCUUCUUCUUGCAUUUAGCUUCCAUGUUUCCAUAUAAUUUGUUGUACUGAAUAUAACAUUUGAAAUACUUGCAAAAAUGAUUGUGGUUGGGAAAUAUGUCGAAGAUCUGGAUUUGUAAGCCAUAAAUUUUUUUAUGUUCAUCACUAGUGUAAUAGUAUUUCUAUGCCCAUAUUUUACUUUCUUGUGUUUGAUUAAAUCAUUUUCAUUACAAUCCUAAUGACAAUGGAGUGCAAUGACUGUAGCAUGUAGAGUUAGGGAGAGGUUUGAGGACUUGGAGACAUUUGAGAAGAUAGGUUGCUAUUUUGUGCUUUGUAGAUCCUGUUCCCACAUCUUCUUGAUUAGAAAAUGGUUUAGGUUUGCUGUCCGCACUAUUUCACCUGCAACAGAACCAAUAAAACAAAUUUAUUCAUUAGAUCACCCAAACAAGAACCUAAAUAGCUUUAUAAUAGAGGGAGGAUAACCCAAUGGAAGUUGGAGAAUCAAUUCAACCUAUUCAACCAUUUUCGAAGCUUCCGCAUGUGGUAGAUUUGGAUUGUAUGAUAGUCUUGUUAAAAUGAUACCAUAUAACGCCUGAUAGUGCAUGUGCCUGGUUGAUUAUCGCUCUACAUGCAGUUGUAUAUGCAUUGAAUUUACCAAUAUCAUGUGAUUUUUUUAAUUAAUUCCUGUUACUCUGCACAGUCAACAAAGAGUAUUUGCUGUACAAGUGUUCGAGUUGCACAGACUGAUAAAAGUAAGGCAGUUUCUGUCCACAGAUUCUAGAAUGAUCUGGCAUUAUUCCUGUAUAUAUCCUGUAGAUUUUGAAAAAUUCAGUUUGAACUUAAUCCUUCAUAUUCAAACAGGUUCAGAGAUUAAUUGCUGGAUCACCACAUCUUAUGGUCGAUGAGAGUGCUUAUUUGGGCAAACCAUCUUUAAAGAGCUCUCCUGCAAAGAAACUACCAUUGGAAUAUGUUGUAAAACCACCGCCAAAUAUGGUCAUGCACAAAGAUGAUUAUGAGAGGGCAAGCCAUCAAUUGGAAUGUUCUGCGGAAAAUGCAGUUGGGAAGACACAUCUUCCAUCUGUGAAAAAUGGUAAUCCACCUUCAAAUUAUGGGCCUUAUAUAGGAAAUCCACCACCAGCACCUGCGCCCACUGAUAGCAAAAUGGGUCCUUGGUGUUACCCUCAACCUCCUGGGCAUCAAUGGUUGGUUCCUGUAAUGAGCCCUUCUGAAGGACUUGUGUACAAGCCGUAUCCUGGCCCUGGAUUCAUGAGCACAGUUUGUGGAGGAUGUGGACCAAUGGGGUCAGCUCCCAUGACAGGUAGCUUCAUCAAUCCAGCAUAUGGGGUUCCAUCAUCUCAUCAUCAUCAAGGAAUCGGUGUUCAUCCUGGUACUCCUCCCAUUGGUCAUGGUUAUUUUCCCCCAUAUGGCAUGUCAGUGAUGAACCACCCAACCAUCUCAGGUUCAGCUGUUGAACAAAUGAAUCGGUUUGCUGGACAUGGUUCACUCAGUCAAAGUGGUCAGUUAUCAGGUGGAGGAGCCAGCUUUAACAUGCAACAUCAGAACUCAUGUAAUGUGCCAACCCCAAAGAGAGCUAUUCCACAAGGUGUGAAGUUUCCAAUGUCGAAGGACAGUGAGUUCCAAGGAAGCACAGCCAGUAGUCCAAGUGAGAGAGAGCAACAAGUUGGGACAGGUGACACUGCUGAAGGAAGAGACCCGCUUCCUCUUUUUCCUAUGGCUCCUGCUGCCAUUCCAGCAGGAGAUCCCCAGCCUAAUGGUACUGAUCAGCCAACACGAGUGAUCAGAGUUGUACCUCACAACCCUAGAUCUGCAACAGAGUCAGCUGCUAGAAUUUUCCAGUCCAUACAAGACGAGAGAAAACAGUUGGACUCUACUUAGUUCAUAAUGUGGCAUAAAAUUAUGAAUCUCAUUCGGUGAAUCAUCUUGUGCUCAUCUAACUGUUGUAAUGUUUGGUUAUCUUCUCUGUACUCCUUUUUGGCAUGAUAUCUUGUAACGGGAUUUUCAUUUUAUGAUCUGAUUAUAGGUUAUUCAUAUGUAGAUAUGUUUCCUUGAAGAUCAUAUGAAAUCAAUGUUAUAUCAAUAUAUUGUCCUUCCUGUUUUCGGUACCCAGUUGGUUUUAGGCAGAGCGUGCAUUAGUCACUGCUUGAUUUAGGAAAAGGGUUUCUUUUUUCAACACUCGUCUGUUAUCUAUGUAUCUUCAAUUGACCUCUACCAUUUAACAGCGACUCUAACCCCAGUGGGUUGUCAGGUUUUGCAAUGAUGGAAAGAUUGCUGUAUGCUGUAGCCAGUCUCUGUACAAGAAGUUCGAAGGAAAAGGUCUGCAACUCAAGGGAUUGUUCAGGAAGAGACCUUCCACUCCAAAUUGGUUUUUUUGUUUUCUAUGUUUCUUAAAGGAUUCUAGUGGGAGAAUGGAGAGCCAUGAUCAUCUCCCAUUGCUGAUUUUUCUCUGCCUAGUUGGUCGAGAGACCAAGAUUUGCUUCUGGUUGUCCUGGAAUCAAAUCAUUGAUAUCCACUUGACAACCCUCAAUACAUGAUCAUCUCUUUCAAAAUUUCAUCUGAUGUCCUUACUGAGAGUUGUUGUAUGGAUCCACUCCCUUCUCAGAAUGCAUUUUGUUCAUGGAGGUUGAUGCUCUGUCAAUGUAGUGGUCCAUUUUACGGGCUUUUGCCUGGUUCGAAAAGGAAGAUACCACGCCCGGCUGAUUUGGAAUAUGGGUUUGUGACUUUACAUAAGAGGGUCGUCGUACUUCUAGCCUUCUAGGAUUAGGACAUCCUUCUAACAAAACUCCAAAAUUCAGAAUUCUCAAACUCAACCUUCACUUUAUUCAUCAUCACUUUGGAUUUGAUACUGAUGCUAUUCAUUUACAGUCAAGCCACCCUCCAGACCCCGCACAGUAUAAAAACCAGCCCCAGUCAGCAGACACUUCUCCCUCAUUCUCGUCAUAGCAAUUUUUGUUCGUUAUAUUUGGCACCAGAAACCAUAGUAUUCUAGUGAAAAACUUGUCAUCUAUAAAUUGGAUACCUCUGAUGAAACUGGCCCUCAGGUUACCCAUCGUAAGGAAAUGACCGCUACCCAUGUCUGUCUGCGUGUGUUGCCCAUGUGCUCCCAUGUGAGCUGAGUUUAUGACCUUGCCUCCCCAAGCCAACGCCUCGGCCCGGUGACUCAAGCUGGUGAACAGGGUGGUUGUCCAGUAUCCCACUGGCUCUGCUUGCACCAGGAGCCACCAAUUUGUACUCUCCUUGUCCUCAAACAUUCCUCAAAACCCGAAAAAAUGACAAACAUGGUUGCAACAAUUGGAAGCAGAUGAAUACGUGGUACAUUGCCAGAAAUAUGGCGAAGAGAAGGACUUUCUGUUUGUCAAGUCGUUAGUAAACUGAGGCCCCUGUCUCCUUCCCAAUGUAGGUGAACAAAGCCAGGGCAUUGAAAAUUAUAGCAGCCUGCGUUGUUGCCGCCCUGAACACCCACAAACCAUUCCCAAGAAGAAUACAUGGUAGUCCCAACUUACAGUCCAAAAAAGGAAAUUCUUGUAUGAUUGUUUGAUAUCUCGCCCAUUGUAUUUAUAUUUUAAAUUUCUAUCUGAGGCAUAAUCUUCAUGAUGUAGAAUAUUUAUGAAGAUAAUUUUAAAUAGCUGAUUGGAAGGGGAUUCCAAGAGGAUUCUGAGUGGGGUUAAGAAUCAUUUCAAAAUGAUUGGAAGGAUUUCUUUACAAAAAUAAGUCAAGAGAAAACUGAUUUUUAUUUUUGAGUUUCCAAUUGGAUUUUUCAAAACCCGACCUUUCUCGGAUUUCCAUCACAAACAAAUUCCCAAUGAUCAGAAAGGUAAUCCUCAUCGUCAUCUCCAAUUACCAUAUCAUCAUUUUCUAAAAAGUAUUAAAAAAAGGAAAAAUUGUUAAGAAAAAUGAUUUUUAUUUGGUGUACCAAAAUAUUAAAUAAAAUCAUAUACAAUUAAAAUUAUUUAAAAAAAUAAUAUAUUUUUAAAUUAUUUAAUCUAUGAAAUAUGAAAAAUAAGUUAAAUAAAUUUAAAAUCAUAAUUUAAAAUAAUUUAUUAACUUUAAAUCUUUUUUUUUUUUUUUUUUUCUUGUAUUCUUUCUCUUUAUUUAUUUUUUUCACACAUUUUCUUUCAAAUUUUCUAAAAACCAAACAUAAGAUUAACAAAUUAGAAUUUGACUUGUAUUUUAUGGUUUUUAAGGGAGGAAGAUUAAAAGCAGAUUCCUUGUAGAUAUUAACACAAUCAAUAUGCAUCAAAACAAGACUAAUGGAUAUUGAUGUGAAGAAGGUAAUGAAAAUUCCCAUAUAUGUUGACCAUUGAAAAUUCAAAUCACUUCCUAAGUAAAGAAGUUAAAAGUUUUGAUUUUGUUGAUUAUAAAAAUAAUCCUAUAUUUAUUAGUUUAUUAAAUUAGAUUUCUUUUUUUAGAAGUUAAUCAUGUCUAUAAAUGGGAUACAAGAAAGUGUCGAGUGAUAUGCCAAAGUUUUAAUAUUUAAAAAUGAUGAAAUAAAAUGGAAAAACUUUUUAAAAGACUUUUAAAAAUUGAUUGUAAAAGUGAAAAAGUAAUGAUUGGGUUGGUAAAUGGGCAAGCGACUAAUGAUUCAAAUGACUAAUGAUCAAAAAUCCAAAAACCAAAAUGAGAGACAUUGCUUUAUUCAAAGUAGAUGAAAGAGUUCUCAAUACCUUUCAACUGCAAAUACAAUAACAACUAUGAAAUUCAAUCCUCAACAAUGACCAGACCCUCCAAAAAAUAAUCGUGGUUCGUCCCCCGGUCCGCUCAGAGCAUUAAAGGUAUUAUAGCAUUGAAGCUCAGAUACAUAAGUUUCUUUAUCUCCCGGAUACUUCCAUUGAAGAGAAAAAUCCAUGUUCCUAAUGCGAGCAACAUAGGAUGCAAUGCCAUAGAGGCUAGUUGGAAAAGCUCCACUCCCCAUUUGUGUUGUGGUGUGAUUGGCCUGAGAGUUCAACACCCUUGAGCUAUAAACUUCUCCUCCCCAUUCAGCCACUAUGGCACUGAAGUUUAAAUUUUGAAAAAGGGUGCCUGGCCAAUACCCUACUUUGGUCUCGGAUCCGUAGUCUAACCACCAGUUAGAAGUGACCGGAUCCUGCAUUCAAAUAAUUGAUUGUAACCACUCACACCAUAUUAAGCCAAUGAGAACUUAAACUACUGUUGGAUUGGGUUUAAAGAUCAUCCAAACCUUUUAUAACAUUUGACAUUAUACUUCGUGACUAAGUUUAAAGAGCUAUUAUUUGAAUCAUCUCUUUUUAGACUUAAGAGCGACAUUGUUCCACCCUAACAUAUGUCAAGUUAUGAAAAAAGCUAUUACCAUAUAAAUGCUAACACCGAUCUCGUAUUGCGGUCCCGAUGCAACCGACACGGGGUCCAAAGCCGUGCCAAAUGAUAUUUUGUUGUUAGUUUGCACAAACCCUGCACAGGUGAGGUCAAAGCAACCUGUAGUAUGAUAUGCAUCACUCUACAAAAAAAAUUCCAAAACAAGAAAGAAUGGAAUAAGUAGUAAGCACAACUUUAUUGCUUGGAACUUGUUCUUCUCAUUUUGUUAGCAGUAGCUUACAGUCCAGUGUAUGAACGAUCGAGGCUGAUCAUUGCCGUAUAAGGCCGGGUACACCUGAAAAACAAAAAAGAUAUUAGAUUUUUUAUUUUUUUUUCAAUUUUGGUAUUGGAUAUGUAUAUUAAUUUUGACUAACCACCCAUCCUGAUUCCACACUAUCAUAAUUUGACAGGUUGCCGCUCUUCAGCCAAAUUUGACCACUACUGUAAUCAUCAGGUAAAUCAACUGUUGGCUUCCAGACAUUAAUCGCCCCGCUCGCUCCUAAAAAUUGGUAUUCAUAGGAAAGUAGGACCGCUUUCUGAUUCAAGAAAGAUCAUAAAAUGUUCGAAGUUAGAUUAUAUAAACAACCCGGGACCUCUAGUUAAUCAAAGCUCUGAUACCAUGUUGAGUUACCAAUUAAUCUAAAAGCUUAAACUGUGCUUACAGAUCGAUUGGUUUCGGGACCGACUGGGACAUCUGUGCCGUUAGGACCUACUGAUUUGUCCGGUUCAAUAGUAUUUUCUUGGAGAGGAUGGGAAGGGGGCUUCCUCCCAAAGUGUUGAAGAGAAGCAGCUCUCAACAGGUCCUUUUUUUGGAUUCUACGAAUGGGAAUUGUUCCCUCCGGACAACUUCCACUUCUUUGCCAAAUCUGUUUCACCUCAGACCCUCCAGUUUUGGAAGACUCCUUCUUCAUUGCUGGAGACACCCCUUCUGGGACAUAUUUGGGUGCCAUCUACAUUUUCUCAAGAAACAAACAGGUAACAAAUGAGAUUAUCAAGUUAGAAUAAUAAAGCAGGGAAAGGAGCAAUGACAGAGACAAACCUGAAUAAUGUGCUUUUUCAGUGCAGGAUGAUCUAAAGCGGGUUGCUUGUGAAUGUCAACACAGUCGAUAAUAUCUCCAUCUUCACUCUACAACCAACCAUGAAAUUAAUUUUCUAUUCAUACCAUAAACCAGAAAUUUCUCUGUCCGAUUUUCAUGCUAAAUAUCGAAUCUUCUAUUGAAAGCUCCAUAAAAGUUCUGACCAAGAUAUCGUCUUAUGCAGAUUAGAUUGCAACUAUAGUUGAACCGACAUGAUCGGUUAGAUUGCUUGAGGUUGGUUCGAUUUAAUUUAGAUGAUAAAUUGGAUGCAUAUUAAUAUAAGCUUCGACUGCAAUUUAUUUUUAAAAAUAACUUAAAUUUGAAGUUUAAAAUAUGUUUAUAAUUCUUAAUAAAAAAUAUAAAUUUGAUUGAGUUGGAUUGGUUUACCGGACUUUCACUUAUACACGCUAAAGUCAAGUUACUAACUCGGUUGAUGAGAGGAUUGGAAGAUGAUGAUAGAAAAGAUACCUGAAUGCUCUUGACUGCAGGCUUGUUUAGAAGCUUCAAUUUUCUGUCAAUUUCCAUUUCCAUGGAGGCUUUUCUUUCUUUGGACAUCCCGUACACUCCAUUACUAAAAACAAUCAAACCUAUUCCCAACAAAAGAAACACAUUUUCCAUUCCCAACCAAGAAGAAGAAGAAACCCUUUUGCCCAUUCUCUCUCUCUCUCUCUCUCUCUCUCUCUCUCUCAGGCUCAUUAGCAACAAUAUAUACAGUCAACCUGCAUGAAUCUUUCUCUGAAUGCCAAAUGAUAUACUUCCAUUUGCACACGAGCAUAAAAGGAAUAUGAAAAUACUCAGAUAGAAAGUCAAAUUUUUGGUAAAUGAUACAAAAGGAAUACUUAAGGAUAGUUUUCUUGCAAAUCUUCCUUUUGUUUGCACACAUACAUCCUAUGCUCCAUAUUUUCUCAAUUGAGUAAAUCCUUAUUUUCUCUUUCCUUGCAUAUUAUCCUCUGAUGCCUAUGCCAUAUAUUGUCUUUCCAACUGCGUCUGCAAUGUAUACUAAACCAGCACUUUUUUUGGGGUUUCCUUUUAAAAUCUUUGACUAUAUUUCAUAAGGAAAAAAGUUGUUAUAUAAUAAAAGCAAGAAAAAUGUUACAGUAAACAACUCCAUUGAUCAUCUGCAAGUAUCCCUUCAUGGGCACAUGGGGUUCUUACCAGGCCCUCCAUAAUAGAAUUCAGGAUCGUCAAUAUAAUCUCCAACAUAAUAAACAUCAUAACACUCAUACUCGUCAGCAUAAGUAAAAACCCGCUCAGGGAAUUUCAAGGGAGCAAUAUUUUCUCAAACCCGCAUUCUUCUUACGCACCCUGAGCCAAAGAUCGGGCCAGGAAAUUUUCCACUUCCCAUGGCUGUUGCAGUGUGGGGAGGAGGAGAAUUCCCUAUCUUUGAGCUGUACACUUCACCUCCCCAUUCAACAGCUUCUGCCCCAUAACUUAGCAUCUUGAACAGCUUGUGAGGCCAAUACCCUAUGUUGAUUUUCCCUCCAUAUUGCACCCACCAGUUAUUUGUGUAUGGAUCCUAUCACCAAAAACAAGAUGAUAAGAAGAUAGUGUCAGUAAUUUAUGAUCAAACCCUCAAUCUUCAAUCAAGGAGAUUUAUCUUGACCUUAUAGAUAUAAAUUGUUAUUUGAUAAGGGAGCCCUCUGGGGACUGAGAUUGGAUAGAUUGCUGCACCGAGAGCAAUCUCACUACUGGUUUGAAUAAAACCCGGGCAGGUGAGAUCGAAACAACCUGUUGUCUUUGAAGCAUCAGCCUGAUAUAUACACGCAGAAAACAGAUAUCAACAUUUCAUUAUUAGGCCUAAUUUUAAGUUAAAGAUCAAAUUUAGGUGAGUGAUUCUAUGGUUGACAGUAGGCAGCUUACAGUCCAAUACACAAACAAUCGAGUCUUUCUGUCCCCGUAAACACUUGGAUUUACCUGAAAGGUAUUAAAAAAUUGUGAAUCUAGUAUAAGCUUUCAGUGUAAAAGACCACAGACAAAUACGGUCAAGGGGUCGGUUGGGAUAAUUUCCUGCUUUUGGCUUUAUCCAGGAGCAGAAGCUGAAGCCAAAGCCAAAGUCAUAAGUUUCAAAGUUCUAAAAAUUUUAUUAAACAUCAAAUAACUUCUUGCAUAAUGGGUGUAGAAUUAAGAGGAAUUGGAGAUAGGUUGAAGAGACUACUAACCGCCCAUCCGGAUUCAACACUCUCAUAAGCAUAAUAAGGCCCAUGCUUUAGGCAAACUUGAGAAGUACUGUACUCAUCAUCAGACUCAACAUAAGGGUUGAAAACUUGGAUAUCUCCUUUACCGCCUAAAUAAUUGAAGCCUUCUGUAAGCAAUACUGCCUUCUGAUUCAAGUUACAAUGAGUUAGGAACACACAGAAGGAACUGAAAAAGUAGUGAACUUCAUAUAUUGGCUUCUGACUAUAAUAUAUUCACAUGAAAAUGGAAUAACUAGGGUGCAUACCGAGUGAUUUGCUUGUUGAAGAUAUGAAUUUUCACUGUCAUUACCCAGUGUAAGCUCAUUGGUAAAUCCUGGUUGUUUCUUUCUUCCAUAUUCUCCAACUGAAUUUGAUUUUAGUAGGUCUUUCUUUUGGAUCCUUAGGACUGGGAUUGUUCCCUUAGGGCAGCUUCCACUUUUCUGCCAUAGCUGUGAUGUAACAGUCCUGGAAGACUCUCUUUUCCUGCCUCCAAGCUUUGCUGCUAUGGUUUCUGCCCUUGUCUCUGUUGUUGGAUCAUAACUAGGUGUCAUCUGAAUAAGAAAACCAAUGCAUUUGAAUCAAAAGAGGAUGCCAUAUUCAUUUAAAGAAGGAAUAACUAAGAAUUCUUUUAACGCAUACCUGGAUGGUGUGGUUCUUUAGAGCAGGAUGAUCAAAAGCUGGCUGCUUGUAAAUGUCAAUGCAGUCAAUGAUAUCCCCAUCUUCACUCUACAAGUAAUAUACUCUGAGAAUGGUUAGUGAUGCCAAACUCCGUGAACUUGUAUAAUGUAAAAACAGAGUUCUGUAACUUUCUAUCAAACCAAGCGCAUUGGCCCUAUUUCGGUAUUUCCCUCUAUCCCAUAGAUAUUCAAAGCACUACUCAAGUCAAGUCAAGUCAAGUCAAUAAAGUGUCCUGUAUUGCCAUUCCAUUCUAUCUAAACCAACUUUGGUAACUCACACUCUAAGGCAUAUAUGCAUUGCUAAAUUUUACCUUCUCCUUUUGUUUACCCAAAGAAUUCACUUCAUCCAAGCACUUUAGAUGAGAUACAUUCUAAUCUCAGCACCUCCUUUUAUCUGGAAAUGGGGGAGGAGUAUAGAACUAGUUCACCAAAUCCCCAACUUGGCCAGUCAAGUAACAUGUGUAAAACAGUUUUGUGAAAAAGGCGGUCUCGCAGAGGGCCGAUUCCUGGCUUUUAAGUUUUCACAUUAUGAUUGAGUGGUAGAGGCUCCUUAAAACAUUGCACCUUAGAGGCGUUUCAUCUUCUCAAUUCAAGAUUUACUAUGGGCUAUGAAGUAAAAGCAUUUCAGGAAUCAUCAAAUAAUAUUCGAAAAUGUGGCAGGAGAAAUGAUACCUGAAUGGUUUUCACUGCAUGCCUAUUGAGAGUAUCUACAUUCCUUCCAACUUCCAGAGACUUCUGUCCAGCGACUAAGUUACCCUCAACAACCCCAUAACUCACUCCCAUGAAAAUCAUUCCCAACAAAAUGCCCACACCUCUGAAUCCCAGCUCAAAACAACAAACCUUUUUAGCCAUUUCAUACAAUAUAUCUCACACCAAUCAACCCAUUUGAUCAUAAAAGCAUUCUACACAAAGAUGCAGGCAAACAAAUGUUUCUAACCCAGUGAAAAGCUUCUAGGCGCUAGAAUAUAACGAAAGUGAGAAAUGAAAUACACACAAAUUUCAUGAUUUACCUUCUUAUCAUCCAAAUUUCAUUUCCAUCUUAAUCAAAUUGUGUCACAGAUUAAUGAAGAAUACUAGCAGUUACAUGUGGAAAUGAUCAACAACUUACAGCUGGAUGAUAAUGUAGACCGAAGCCUGAAGUAUGAUCAUGCAGAAAACCGCAUCAAUCCUCUGUUCCAACUUCGACAUUCAUGCCUAUAUCAACAUUACCAAAAUGCCUUCUUCAAAAAAUGUGUUUGAUUCUAGCUUUUAUCAACUGAAAGCCUUCAAUACCUGGAAACUGCCCAGUUAAAAAUCGGUCCCCUCGAUUUAGCUUCAAUGACCUCAUUCCCAAAUUCUUGUUAAGCAAAAUAGGGAGAGAGUAAUUGAGAAUGAGGUAAAGGGGUGCUUGCUGUUAGAUUAAUUUUUGUAAUUAAUCUAUAAUUUGGGCCACACAUGUAAAUAAUUAAAAUGUGUGUGCUAUCAUUUAAUUAAGCCUAAAUAUAGUGAUCUAAUUAAUAAUUGAUUAAUUGGCUUAAGGGUAUAAUUGUCAUGAGAUUAUUGUGUAGAUACCAUUAGACAAUUAUUAUUUAUAUGAGGGGCAGAAAUAUAAUUGUGAUAAAAUUAAAACUGCCCUAGCAGUUUAUAAAUAGGGUUAUGGUCCCCAUUCUACGACUACGCAUUCCAAUUUCUGAAAAUCCUCUCAGAGAGAAAUUGACACAGAAUCUAGUGGCUAGAAUUGGAAGACCAUCUCAAAGGGUUUUUUUUUCUAUAAGGUUUCUCCUUCAAUGGAUUCAGGUAUGCUUCCGCUAUUAUUUUUCUACUCAUUGUUUUUAAUCAAUUAAGGUAUUCACCUUGUUAAAUAUUCCAGUACAUAUGUAGUUAGGGUAUUCACCCUAUUAAAUAUUCCAGUACAUAUGUAGUUAGGGUAUUCACCCAGUUAACUAUUCCAGUAUAUAUGAAAUCAGGGUAUUCAUCUUGGUUGAAUACUAACAAGUGGUAUCAGAGCCUACUCCUUGAUUAAUUCUUUGAGUUAUUAUUUUAAUAUAUGUCAAUGGAUUAAGAUUUAUGAAAUAUUGAGUUGAUAAAUUUUUUUUAUAUUAUUAUUACUAUUAUUAUUAUUAUUAUUAUUAUUAUUAUUAUUUAAUAGCAUUUUAUGAUAUUAAUAUUUAAGUUAUUGAUCUAGCAUUUUAAAUAGGCUAAUUAAAGCGGAAAAUCACCAAAGUGACAUCUUCCGUGUAGAUUAGUCUGUUCGGGGUGUUAGAUAUUUGUGUGUAUGUGAUUCAUGCGGGUAUUGACUGGCCCAAAGGAAAGUUAAUAUUUGGUCAAAUUGCAUACAUACUUGUGGUGAUAAAUAUGUGAUGAUUAUAAAGGUAACUUAAUGUGAAUAAUAAAUCAAUCCAAAGAUAGAUUUAUUAUUUGACAUAACUUAUCAUCAAUGUUUGAUCACUACAACAAGAGUACCACUUACAGUUAAUAUUACUAUCCAAAGACUUGAUAUUAAUGUUGUGCUAGGUAUCUUGAAAUGUCAUAAUUUGCUUUUAAAUUUAAAGAUUAUGUGUUUAAUUGCUUAUUUAUGUGAGCAUGAUGUUUAUUUGAUUCAUUUUAUUUNNNNNNNNNNNNNNNNNNNNNNNNNNNNNNNNNNNNNNNNNNNNNNNNNNNNNNNNNNNNNNNNNNNNNNNNNNNNNNNNNNNNNNNNNNNNNNNNNNNNAGUGAUGCUGAAAGAUGCAUCUAUGUCGGAGACGGUCAGUCGGUAGAAGUAGAGGCAAUAGGGCACUUUAGAUUAUUAUUGAAAUCUGGUUAUUUUUUGGAUUUAAUAGAUACUUUUAUUGUACCGUCUUUUAGACGGAAUUUAAUUUCAGUUUCUGUUUUGGACAAAUCAGGUUAUUGUUGUUCAUUUGGAAACAAUAAAUUUACAUUAUCUAUUAAUUCAAAUGCUGUAGGAACCGGUUUACUUAAUGUUUAUGAUAAUCUAUAUUUGUUGGAAACUGUUCCGUCCUAUAAUGAAACCUUGCAUGUGGAAUCACGAGGUACAAAACGUAAAUUGAAUAAAGAUAAUUCGGCCUCAUUGUGGCACAAACGCCUAGGUCAUAUCUCUAAAUCUAGAGUUGAGCGACUUGUGUCCGAUGGGAUUUUGGAUUCACUUGACUUUUCAGAUUUUGAUAUUUGUGUUGAGUGUAUUAAAGGAAAACAGACCAAAACAAAGAAAUUAGGUGUCAAUAGAGCUACAGACGUCUUAGAAUUAAUUCAUACAGAUAUCUGUGGACCAUACCCUACGGCAUCUUGGAAUGGUCAACAGUACUUUAUAACAUUCAUAGACGACUACUCAAGAUAUGGCUACCUAUUUCUUAUACAUGAGAAAUCACAAUCAUUGGAUGUGUUCAAAACAUUUAAAGUAGAAGUUGAGUUACAACUCAACAAAAGAAUAAAGAGCGUCAGAUCUGAUCGUGGUGGUGAAUACUAUGGUAGAUAUGACGGAUCAGGUGAACAACAUCCAGGACCAUUUGCUAAAUACCUAGAGGAAUGUGGGAUCGUCCCUCAAUACACCAUGCCAGGAUCACCUAGCAUGAAUGGUGUAGCAGAAAGACGAAACCGAACCCUUAAGGACAUGGUAAGGAGUAUGAUUAGUCAUUCUACUUUACCCGAAAAAACUCUGGGGUGAAGCACUCAAAACGGCAGCUUAUAUCCUAAAUCGGGUGCCAACUAAAGCAGCUGCUAAAACGCCUUAUGAGCUUUGGACGGGUCGAAAGCCCAGUUUAAAGCAUUUUCAUAUUUGGGGAUGUCCAGCUGAAGCGAGACCUUAUAAGCCUCAUGAAAAGAAAUUGGACUCUAAAACAGUUAGCAGCUACUUUAUUGGCUAUGCAGAGCGAUCAAGGGGUUUUAAAUUUUAUGAUCCUGCUAUUAGGUCAAUUUUUGAGACGGGAACUGCAACAUUUUUUGAGGAUGUUGAGUUUGGGGGGAGAAAUCAGGCUAGGAAUAUUGUCUUUGAGGAGGAAGAGGGAUAUACUAUUGCUUUUGAUAAUGUACAGGUUUCACUACCUAUCAUUGAUCAAGAAGUAAAUUUGGAUCCUCAACCAACAGACAAUAUUGUUCAACCCUUAAUUGCAAAUGAGGACAUUGCUCCUGAAGAACAAACUCAACAACCUCAAGAAAAUAUGACAUUAAGAAGAUCCACUAGAGAGAGGAGAAAUGCAAUUUCGGACGAUUAUAUCGUAUAUCUCCAGGAACGUGAGGUAGAAAGUGGAAUGAUGGAAGAUGAUCCAAUCAACUUCUAGCAAGCCAUGAAAAGUUCCAACUCUCAGAAAUGGAUUGAAGCCAUGAAUGAAGAGUACAAAUCUAUGCAAGACAAUAAAGUUUGGGAACUUGUCCUAUUACCAGUUGGUACGAAACCCAUUGGUUGUAAAUGGAUAUUUAAAACCAAGCGGGAUUCAAAUGGUAAUGUAGAAAGAUAUAAAGCACGUCUUGUAGCUAAAGGCUUUACUCAAAAAGAAGGAAUUGACUUCAAAGAGACCUUCUCUCCAGUUUCUACGAAGGACUCUUUCAGGAUAAUCAUGGCACUAGUUGCACAUUAUGAUCUCGAGUUACAUCAAAUGGAUGUUAAAACAGCGUUUCUCAAUGGUGACAUUGAUGAAACAAUUUAUAUGGUACAACCAGAAAAUUUUGUGUCCGAAGACUCAAAGAAUAUGGUUUGUAAAUUAACUAAAUCCAUUUAUGGGCUCAAGCAAGCUUCUCGUCAGUGGUACUUCAAGUUUCAUCAAAUUAUUGUCUCAUAUGGUUUUGAGGCAAAUCUUAUGGAUGAAUGUGUGUAUCACAAAUUCAGUGGGAGUAAGUAUAUUUUCCUGGUUUUAUAUGUCGAUGACAUAUUGCUAGCCACAAAUGAUAUUGGCAUAUUGCACGACACCAAGAGAUUUUUAUCAAAACAUUUUGAGAUGAAAGAUCUUGGUGAUGCCUCUUUUGUCUUAGGAAUCCAGAUACACCGAGAUCGUUCUAGGGGUAUUUUAGGAUUGUCACAAAGGACCUAUAUUGAUAAAGUCCUCCAAAGGUAUGGCAUGCAAAAUAGCAAACCAGGUGAUACCCCUGUCGCUAAAGGAGACAAAUUCAGUCUUAAUCAAUGCCCUAAAAAUAGUUUAGAAAGUCAAGAAAUGCAGAAGAUUCCUUACGCUUCGGCUGUGGGAGUCUAAUGUAUGCUCAAGUAUGUACACGUCCGGAUAUUGCGUACAUUGUUGGCAUGUUAGGCAGAUAUCUAAGUAACCCUGGAAUGGAUCAUUGGAGAGCAGCCAAGAGGGUUAUGAGAUAUUUACAGAGAACAAAAGAGUACAUGCUUACAUAUAGGAGAUUGGAUCAGUUAGAGUUGAUUGGGUAUUCCGACUCCGACUUUGCUGGAUGCCAAGACAGUAGAAGAUCCACAUCAGGCUAUAUUUAUCUGUUGGCUGGUGGAGCAAUUUCAUGGAGGUCUGCCAAACAGACACUCGUAACUUCAUCCACCAUGGAAGCAGAGUUUGUAGCAUGUUAUGAGGCAUCCAAUCAAGGAAUAUGGCUACGAAAUUUUGUCACUGGGCUGCGUGUUCUGGAUGGUAUUGAAAGACCACUGAAGAUAUUUUGUAACAAUAAAUCAGCAGUUUUAUAUUCCAAUAACAACAGGAGUUCUACAAAAUCAAAAUACAUUGAUAUCAAGUUCCUAGUUGUAAAAGAAAAAGUAUAGAGUGGACAGAUAUCCAUAGAGCAUAUUGGAACAAACUCCAUGAUAGCGGAUCCGCUUACAAAGGGAUUACCACCCAAGGUCUUUCAUGAGCACACUGCUCAUAUGGGUGUUGUCUCAUUUGAGGAUAUCCAAAUUUAGUGGGAGUUUGUAUUAUUUAUUGUAUAUUGCUCUAUGUUAUGUUUAGACUUUAUCUAUACAUUUGGAUUGUGUUCUGCAGAAAUAAAGUAUUCAUUUUAUUGCACUCUGUUAAAUUAUGCUAAAGAUUUGAUCUCAGUAAAGUUAAGUUGGACCAGUUGGAAAUAGGCAUGAAUAGAUCACAUUGCAUGUAAUUUCCAUGCUAUGCACUCAUGAUUGAUCUAUGUCAUUUAGCUAUGCAGAUAUAUGUGACCAUUGAUUGGUCUAGUAACAAUUGAUGUAAUAAAGGCCACCUUGAUCCUAUGUCAGUAUAGUUAAUGGACGAGAUUGUUCGGAUAUACCCUAAGGACAUGAUAGCAAAUUUUGAGCUCAUAAGGUUAAACAUAUUUAUUUGAUUACAUAUGCAUGUGGCCCAGUGGGAGAUUGUUAGAUUAAUUUUUGUAAUUAAUCUAUAAUUUGGGCCACACAUGUAAAUAAUUAAAAUGUGUGUGCUAUCAUUUAAUUAAGCCUAAAUAUAGUGAUCUAAUUAAUAAUUGAUUAAUUGGCUUAAGGGUAUAAUUGUCAUGAGAUUAUUGUGUAGAUACCAUUAGACAAUUAUUAUUUAUAUGAGGGGCAGAAAUAUAAUUGUGAUAAAAUUAAAACUGCCCUAGCAGUUUAUAAAUAGGGUUAUGGUCCCCAUUCUACGACUACGCAUUCCAAUUUCUGAAAAUCCUCUCAGAGAGAAAUUGACACAGAAUCUAGUGGCUAGAAUUGGAAGACCAUCUCAAAGGGUUUUUUUUUCUAUAAGGUUUCUCCUUCAAUGGAUUCAGGUAUGCUUCCGCUAUUAUUUUUCUACUCAUUGUUUUUAAUCAGGAGAUUCCAGUGUAUAUAUAAAUUAAGGUAUUCACCUUGUUAAAUAUUCCAGUACAUAUGUAGUUAGGGUAUUCACCCUAUUAAAUAUUCCAGUACAUAUGUAGUUAGGGUAUUCACCCAGUUAACUAUUCCAGUAUAUAUGAAAUCAGGGUAUUCAUCUUGGUUGAAUACUAACAAUUGCAACCCACCUCCUUCACAGUCCAGAAAGUAAGAAAUUGGUUCAGAGGCUUCACAUUGAGACCUCCAAAAUCUUAAAUCGUCACUACCAUUUGGUUAGGACAUGGGUCCACUGCUUCUGGGCCCAACGAUUUUCAUGCAUAAUUUGCAGGCAAACAUUCAAUGGGACAGUGGAAUCUUUAUUUCCUAGCCAACCAAACAGAACGGGAAAGUUCAUCAUUAGCAAACGUAUGGUUUCUACAUGUUUCCCCAUUUUUGGGAAAAAAGGAAAAAACGUAAAUUUCCUCCUAAUUACCAUCACAAACAAACAAAUGAAAUUGAUUUUCUUCCCCUUUUUUAUUCUUUCCCUCUCGCCAAACGGACCCCAAAUGAAAAACUCACGUCAAAACCCAACUACUGGAGUUGAAAACUUGCAUACUCAAAUCACACCCAUCAAAUACCUUCAUGUAUACAAAUGAAAUUUGUCAAGGAAUGAAGAAUAUACAGACAGAUUGAAAAACCCAGAACAGAACAAUAGAUUGAUGAUAGAAAUUCACCGAAGCCAAAACGGAGGAAGUAGGUUGCUAAACGGUGACGUUUUAAUGGAAAUACAGCGAAGCGGUAAGUUAAUACGACGUCGUUUUAUUGAACGGAGAAGUAUGGGAUUAAGGUGACAAGUAAGGACUUGUUUGGAAAAGGUAUUAUAAUUGAACUUAAAAAUACAGUUGACAAUUUUUUUAAAAAUAAUAAAAAUAUUUUAGAUUUUUUAUAUCAUACAUAAAUGUAUAUUAUCUUCACAUAAAAUAAGUUAAAAUAUCUUUUUCUUUUUAUUUAAGUUUUUAAAUAAAAUUUUGUUUAUAAAAUAAAUUUGUAUGAUCCAAUCGAUUGCAUAAAGCUCGUUGUAACAAUGAAAUCGGGGGAAAGUUAUAAAAAAGACACUUCUUUUUUAUUAUAUUAGUAUUAGUUAGUGAUAUGAUUCUAUGAUUAAUUUCAUUCAUUUCUAUUAAGAUUUCAACUAAAUCUAUCUACUCUCAUAAGUUUAAAUUUUUUUCAAAUACCUUAUUUAAUUUUUUUAUUUUUACUUACCUCCCCUUUCACUCAAAAUUAAAGAGGGAUGUGCACAAAGAAAUUUUAAACCCAUCAAAGCUAAAUAUAUUUAGCUAAAUUAAUCAUUUUAAUUAUUAAAUACAUACUCUAUAAAAGUUAACUAAAAAUAUCUUAAAUUUGUUCUAAAAGAUAUGUUUUUAAAAUAAAUUAUCAAAAAAUUAUGUUGUAUCAAAAAAUUGUAGAAUGUGAGCGGAAAAAAAUGUUUUGUUCCAAAUAAUAAAAAGACACACCCACAUAAAAUCUUUUUAAAAAUAAAUUUUAUAAAUCCAAUAAAUUUACAAGGUGUUAACGGUUGACUAAACCUUACGGGUAUAAUGAAAUUCACCCGAAUAAAAAACCUUUUUAUAUAUAUAUAUCAUUCUUUAUUUAUUUAUUUCUAUUAUUAUUAUUAUUAAAAAAAAAAAAAACUCUCUCACACAACAAUCUUCAGACCUGCCCAUGCGCACAGUUCUCUUAGGGAAAAAAGCCCAAAACCCCAGCAAUCAUUCACUGCUGAGUCUGGAGGCGGACACCAAUCCUCGUGAGGAUCAAGAGGGAUCUUCAUUUCCACGCCAAACAUGGUGAACUACAUGUUGAUGAUCACCGGCGAGCUCGAGAAUCUCACCAAUCUCCAGCCUCAAGGCGGCUGCGACGAUCCUGAUUUCACCUACUACUUCAAGGUCCCUCUCUCAAUUUCUUCUGGGUUUUUUUUUUUUUUUUUUUUCAUUUAUACGUUUGGUUGCCGAGAAAUUGCACGAAAAUGGAUUCAGAAAUGCCAUUUCGAACUUAAUCCCCUGCAGGAAACGGAUCGCUGAAGUUUAGUGUGUUUCUUGUUUUGACUUUAUAUUUAGAUGAUUUUUUUUUUUUUUUUUUUGUGUAAUUUGUAUUUUUGGAUGUGUAGGUGAAAUGUGGAAACUGUGGAGAGGUGAGCCAGAAGGAGACGUGUGUGACAUUGAAUGAAACGGUUCCUCUCCCGAAAAGCAAGGGAACUACUCAUCUGGUUCAGAAGGUCAAAUCUCUCCUAAUAUGUAUACGUUUAACUCUAUUUGGUUGCUGAGAAAAUUGAGGAAAUGGAAAGAAAAAUGUUUUAUAUCUUAGGUUUUAUGUUAUUUCUGCUACCAAGAGACGGAAAAGAAAAUCAUCUGAACUAAGAGAAUAAAUCUAUGUGGCCAGUUGAGUGUGUUUAAGCUCCUCUUCCUAAGGACGGGGAAAUACUAACCUGGUUCGGAAGGUGAAAUCUCUUUCUGUAUAAGCAUUUACAAAGUUUGGUUGCUGAGGAAACAGAUUGCAAAUAAAAUUUCUAAUCUUAGGUUUUGUGUUAUUUCUGCCACUAAGAAAUGGAAAAGAAUCCUCUGAACUGGUGAAAUAAUUAUAUUAGGUUGAUUCAGUCCCUCUCCUUUUCUCUGUAUAUGUAGAUACAUAUAUCUACACCUGUUUGGUUGGUGAGAGAACUUUGGGAAGUGGAAGAAAAUAAAGUAAUCCAGGGUCUUGUUUUAUGUUCUCAUCGAUUCACACAUUUUAUCAAAUUUGUGAGAUUGAUUAAACCAUGGAUUUACUCUGAACUUUGAAGAAUAAGUUGUAUCUAAUAAAAAGUGGGUUAGAUUAGAUGAUUAAAAUUUGAGUGAAUUCUGAAGCUGGUUGUCGUUCUGAUAUUUGUACCCCGCAUGAAUCUUGGAAGAUGCAAACAAAAAUAAGAGAAAAAGAAAAAAAGAAAGGAAAGAAGAAUGGAAGAAGAAUGAAAAAUAAGUUCGAGCUCAACAGUAUUUUUCUUCAUUAUUAUUUAAUUUGAUACUUUCUUCAAAUAGAGAACGAAGAAUUUGGAAACGUACAAGUUUUUAAAUAAUUUUCAUUAUAUUUAUUUCACUUUGUAUUCUUCAUAGCAAACCAAAAAGAAAAUUUGAGAUUCGUAUUUCUUAUUUCCCAUUCUUUCUCUUGUUGGUUUUCACGAUCCAGAAAGGGAGUCUUAAUGAAUUCAUCCUGAACUUUAUGCCCUGUGAUUUUCCCCUUCAACAUACAUGUAUGCAAGCAUUCUUGCUUUUCAUCCAUGGCCUCAAUCUCUGUUAUGAUGUUCCUUUCAAAUUGUUUGACUGCUUCUACCCAUCCAUAUGUUUAAGCUAUUACAGAAAAUGUGUAACUAUCUUCAUGAGUUGCAUCUUUUCUCUGGUCUACAGUUUACUAAUUCUCUUUAUGAGGCGUAUUAUAUGAGUCAUACAACCAGUCAUACCAAGUUUGUGAAAUACGUAGCUUACUCUUGUAAGUUAAAAUUACAUUCAUGUGGCUCGUCUGCAUCAUAUUUAAAAGAAUUAUCUUCUUCUGAUGCAUUCCUGUCUUCAGUGCAAGUUCUGUGAUAGGGAGGGAACUAUCUUGAUGAUCCCAGGCCGAGGUCGUCCACUGACUCAGGAAAUGAGUGAAUCAGGGAAGUUCACCCCCUUGAUGUUAUUGGACAGCAGGGGUUUUGAGCCGGUGGAAUUUUCUUUUGGUACCGGAUGGAAAGCUGAAUCCGUAACUCUCUCUCUCUCUCUCUCUCUCUCUCUCUGUUCACACACACACUUGUAAAUGCCGCAGACAGCAUUGGGUCAGUACAUAAUUUACCAGGUGGCCAUAUUGGACAUCCUUUUGUAUGAGAAUUCUAAUUUCCAAUGUAGUCACCAACACAAUCUCAAGGGCUCAUUUUGAUUGCAAUUUAUACUCUGGACUUAAUUGUGAUUUACAGCUUAGCAUCAGAAUCAAAUUGUUGUGGUAACAUGUUUUGAUUAAUUACUAAAAAUGAUUUCAUCUAGUGCUAAAAAAUGCCUUCUCCUUAAUCCUUGCACAUAUUUAAGAAUAAAACUUUGUGCUUAUUUAAUAGGCAUGCAUCUGAAGUUUUUAUAACCCAAAAGCAACUGCUGCAUUCUUUUAUGAUGGUUGUGUUCUCAUGUCAACAUCUCCUAACUCAUCUGUGUAGAUGGAAGGGACUAAAUUUGAUGACAUUGACUUGUCUGGAGGGGAAUUUGCUGAAUAUGAUGAGAAGGGAGAGUGCCCGGUGAUGAUAUCUAAUCUCCGCGCUACUUUUGACGUGACGAAGUAGACAGUAAUGUUCUCCUGCAUAUAUUUUCGCUGGUAUAUAGAAGAAAGUCAUGCUAUCUGAACCAUAAGCUAAUUAUAAGGAAAGCCAUAAUGUACUGAUGUUUUUCAGAGAAUGGGCCGUUGAACUUUAUCAUAAGCUUUUUCUGGACCUUCAUUUGUCCAUUAAUUUGCCGUGCUAAUACAUUCAAUGAAGCUUUUAGACAAUAUUACAAAACAUAAUUGGGUAUUUAAAUGUGUUAUCUGAGUUGGAUAGAGUCCUUUCUCAUUCCAUUGUGUUUCAUCAAGUUUUCCUAUAAUGUGUCUGGAGUUUUAAGGCUUGUAACCAUCAUGCCCUGCCUCUUUGGUAGGACCCAUUGAUCAAAUGGCCUGUCUAAUUUCUUCUGAAGUGACCUUUUAGUUAAUAGCAGCACUCUAAUCCUCUUUGAAUAGUUAAUUGACUGGCUGGCAAGGUCUAACCCAACCAGGGGUUGUUGGAAGACCAUUUGUGGUGAAGGGCAUUUUCACAUGUUGGUGGAAAAGACCCUGAAUCUGCUGGGUGUCUUUGAAAUUAGAACAAUUGCAUAGAUCGAAGUCCCUUGUAAGCAGUGUAAGCCAUCAGAUAAGUCCCCAUUAUGCUCGACCUGAUCACUGACCUUAGCAUUCCUAAUGUGGAUUUCUUAUGACACUUUAUGCUUAGACGCGUUGGAUUUCUUUGCCCCAAGGGUAAGUCAAGGUGCAGAUUGAACGUCUUGACCGGGUUCGAGUCCCCUCGCUGCAGAAAAGAAAAUUGUAGCACUUUUUUUUACUUUGCCCCCUCGGGAAGUCAAGGUGCAGAUUGAACGUUUUGGCCCCAGGCGGAUAUGAAAUAUGAAGAGAUUAAUAUACAUUUCAAAACUAUUUUUUAUUAUUUGAAAAAAAAUUUUAUCUUAAUUUUUUAAAUAAUUAUUUUGAAAAUUUAUUAUUUUUAAAAAACUAAUUUUUUGAAAAAUAUAUUCUAAAAAUAUAUAUUUUUCAAGAUGUUUGCUUUUUAAAUAAUAAUAAUAAUAAUAUUUUUUGAAAAAUUGUGUAUUUUUUCUCAAAUUAUUAAAUUAUAUUAAAUUUUAUUAAGGUUUAUAAAAAGAAUAAAAUUUAAAUUAAUAUUUUUAUAUAUUUUUUUUAAUAGUGAGUAAAGGUCAUUUAUGGAAAAAUGACAAAUUCAUGUUAUUCUUCUCAAUUUUCAUAAUUUCUUUAGAUCUUGGACUUAAACGGUGAACUUAUAUGAUCAAAGCUUAAUUUUCUAAAACACAAUUAUUCUCAAGAAUUAUUAAAUACUCUUAACUAAAAUAUCUUUAUUUUUAUGUUUUGUUUUUCAAAAAUAAAUUUUUGUGUGAAAUGACAUAAAUAUACUUUUUUUUCCAAAUAGGAUGAUUUUUAAAAAGCCUAGUGGUUACUUUUGUAUUAAAAACUUAUGGUUGAAAAAAAAUCUUGAUAUAAAAAGCAGGAUAAUGUUGUUGUUUUUUUAUAGAAGUUUUGUUUUGAUUUAUGCAAUAAAUUCCUUCAUACUUAAAAAAAAAUUAUAAUAUUUAAAAAUUAUAAUUUUGGUGAUAGCAAAGCUAUUCUUUUACACGUCAAAUUUUUUUUUUUUUUUAAACGUUGGGAACAUCAAAUUUAUUUUUAAAAAAACGUUGGGAGUAGAGAUAUUUUUGGUGGGGGUUUGAAUCUUCUCGUAGACGCGUGAAACACUGAAAUAUGGUAUUGUUACGCGGAUCGGUCCUUUGUGAAAGGAGGAAAGAGGUGAACACGACGUCGUUUUUUGUAGACAAAUAUUUAAUAUGAUUAGAACCAAACGAAGGAGUCAUCUUUGUACACGCCAAGCCUUAGACAAACCCAACUGCAUUCCUCCAAUGGAAACGCGCCACGAAGCUCAAGUCCAAAAACCCAAAAUCAGUCUGGUCGCGUGGCGGUGGCUCCGCAAACUGUGGGUCGUGAAACAUCAUGUGACCCAUGCUUAACUUGUCACGUGUCAAAUGGUCCCAGUCUCUUGACAAUUAAUCAAUCACAUGCACGUACAGGCACCCCAUGUUAACCAAAUUUAUUAUUUAUUUAUUAACCCAACACAUUCUCAAAACCCCAUAGUCGUAAAAAUUGCCUUAAAAAAAUUUCUUUUUUUUUUUCCUAAAAUUUUUAAUCAUACUAUAAUUUUCUAUUGUUACACUUCAAAACAAAUUUCUUCUGAAAUAAAAAAGGUUUCCCAUAAUUAAAUUCCUAUGUUUUUGCCGUUAUUAGGGCCACUUACACCAUAACCUCUGGAAAUAAAAUCGUAACGUAAUGAAUGGGGUUUCAAAUUAUAACGUUUUUCUUUUCCAAUCUAAUAUUAAAUUGUUCUUUUAUAACACAAAAAAAAUUCAACCCCAUUGAAAAUUGUCAAGGAAAAGAAAAAAAAAUUGGUAAAAAUAAUUAUUUUUUAUUUAUAAAAAAAUAUAUAAGAAAAAAAAUAAAGAAAAAAGAAAAAAAAUCUGCACGUUUUUCUUAAAUAAGGGAAAAUACAUUAUUCAAUAAUUAUUAUUUUUUUCUCUCAAUUUUUAAAAAUUUAAAAAAUAUUUUCUAAUUUUUAUUUUUAUUUUUAGAUGGCCCUUGGGUAUGAGUUGUAAAUACCGUCCAUUGUACCUGCCAAACCACAAAAAUACCAACAGAAGGGACAAAAUGCCAACCUCUCUAUUCUGAAAAAACCCAAAAUAAAAAUAAAAAUAAAUAAAGGAAAACUAAAACCUUAAAACCCAAGGGAAUCCCUAGAUUGUUUACUCCGGAAUUUAUCCCACGAGUUUCUACUUUCUCUCUCUAUAUUCUCCAACUCCUCUGGGCUCUCUUUCUCUGCCAUCUGCAUCUGCCCGCCAUACCUCUCCCUCUCUCUCCCUGACCACACCAUCUCUCUCUGACCAGUCCAUCUCUCAUUCAACUCCAUUCUGAUGCAAUUCGUGCUGUGUAUUGAAAGAUCCAAGUACCAAUUUCUCCCUCAUUUAUUCAUCCUGAAACCACUGUCUCUGUGGUACGGUGUCUAUUAGAUGCUUUUUAUCUCUCUGUUUGUUUGUGCCAGACCUGUUUGAUUCUUGGGAAAUCUCUCUUUGCCUAACACCCAUGUGAUAAGAACUCAAUUUUUUUAUGUAGAAUGAUUCCGGCCUUGAUCUCUAAAACGUUUCUUUGUAUUGAAGGCAAAUAGUUUUAGCUGGUAAUCCCAAUACCCAAAUGGUGGAACCCGGACCCUUUUCACCGUUUGGGUUAUAAGAUAUACAAUUUAGGAAUCUGGGUUUGGUAGUUUUCAGGGGAGAAGUUGAUGAUUGACAAGAAUUUGAACUGUUUCCGAUUAGAAAAAGGGUGGGGUGUUUUUGGAUUUGAUCUUGGUCAAAACAGAAUACCCAGAAACUGAAUUUUGAAACCGGAGAGUUAUCAAUAUGCAAUCAAGGGCGUUGUCGACUGAGGAAGGGAAGGAUCCUGCAAAUACAAGCAGAACAAAUCAAUCCAGGGUUUUGCCUCUAAGGCUGCUUCAGAUAUUUGGGCUGUUUCUGGCUCUCUGUGUCGCGUUUUCAGUCAUUAGUGUAUACAUGAUUAAACGUUUUGGAGUUUCUACUACAUUGACAUCGCCGCAGUCUAGUUUCCAGCCCUGCUAUGAGGAGGUGGGUGGCUUAGAUCGGUGGAUUAAGCCUCCUUCAACUUUGCUCCAUACAAUGAAUGACACAGAGCUUCUCUGGAGGGCAUCUUUUGCCCCUAAGGUGAAGAAGUACCCAUUUCAGAGAGUUCCAAAGGUUGCAUUCAUGUUCUUGACUAAGGGCCCAUUGCCGCUGGGACCUCUCUGGGAGAGGUUUUUGAAGGGGCAUGAAGGGCUUUAUUCAAUCUACAUUCAUUCGACGCCAUCAUUCCAGGCCAAUUUCCCUGCCUCAUCGGUUUUCUAUAGGAGACAGAUACCAAGCAAGGUACGUGAAGAUUUAUAAUUUGUGCAAUUUGCUUGUGAAUAUUUUGUUGUGAGUUCUACUUCUUUUGUUUUAUGGUAUAAAAACCCUUUUUCUUUGAAUCCUACAUGUUUAUUCUUGUAUUGGAAUCAUUGCUGCCUUAUAAAUGUUAAAGCAUAACUAAAUGCUUUUACAAUUUUUUUUGGCCUUUGAUAAGGGCCUUUACAAUCUGUUUCAUUCGUCGGGAAAUGUGAUGCCUUUACAAUUGAGUUAGGAAACUCAUGGUUUGGUGCUCUAAGCAGGGGAAACCUAUGGUUAGGUGUUUGGGAGGAAUUUAAGAAGGUGGUGUUUGCAAUCUAAUCAAGAAAUCGGUUUGGGAUUUUACACAUCAUGGCUUUGUGUUUCAUAGGCUAAGCUUUACUCCCUGUACUUUUGAUGAGAAUGUUCAUAUGAUAACAAGUUUACCUGCAAUGCGUAGUAGUCUUGUAGAUACUGUGCUUUGGAAUCCUUAGAUCUGAUUUGCAGGAAUGGUAUGGAAAAGGGCUUGUUAUAUUGGAAAGUUUAGUGUAGCUAGCAAUGCUGCGGAGUUAAGCCACAAUACUAUAAGUUGGAGAAAGAACCAAAAUGGUAAGUUCUCAUCUUGAGGUUUUUUCUCAUUUUUUGAUGAGGUAGGUGUAAGAAUCUCUUUAUGGCAUUCAUUCAAGGCAGUCCUUUUCUGUUGAUGAAAGCUUGGGAUAAUAUUUUGAUGGUAAAACUAUAGUAAGAAUUGGGUGGGUUGUUCCCAACAAAAUUGUACUAGGAGUAUGCAUAAUUGGUUGAUCUCUUGUUGAUACAUGGCAAGGUGGCUUGAAAAGGGAAGGAGGAUCAUUUUUGUAGGUUUAAUGUUCCUUGGUGAUGCCAAGAUGAAUACAUGGAAAAAAAUUUGGCAGGUGUUUUAAGCCACAUAAAUGCAGAUGAGCAAGUGUGUGACAACGUGCUAAUGCAGUAACCGAAUGCAUGUCCAUUUUUGCACAUUUGGAAAGACUGCAAUAAACUGAUACUGUAGUGGUGGAGAGGGCUCUAUGGUCUAGCUUUUGGGCAUUUUGGAGUUUUUGACUUUGCAUGAAUUUUGCUUAUGCAGUUCCUCUUCUUGUUUACGCGCAUUCAUGCAUAAACAUGAGGGGCUUGCCCUUUCUAUUUAGUAUAUCUACAUAAUUUUACUUAUUAAAAAUGGUCAAAGGGAAGAUAAUUAAGCUUGUGCAAGCAAACAUGAAUUUUAAGCUUAUAGAUAUGUUUAAGUGACUGAUAUGGUUGUUGAAUCAUUCCUCAAAAUUGAGAUGGCAGAGAAACUGGUAGUUGAUUAACUUGAUUAUGGUUUCUUGAGAUAUUAUGGGUUUUCUUUGUGUCAUCUUGAUAUGAAAAUGCUUAAUAUAUUACUUAUUUCAAUAUUGAUAAAUUAUUUAGGCUAUGUUUGUUUUCUGAAAAUUUUGAGGGUAAAAAUGCAAAGAAAAGAAACUAUAGAGGAAAAGUAUAAGGAAAGAAAAAAAGUAAAGGAAGAUAGAAAACACAUUUAAUGUUAAUAAAUUGUUUUCAUAUGCUGCUUCAAACUCAUUUAACUUAUUUUAACUCUCUUAUAUAAAGCUUAAAUAAUUUGAAAAUGCAUAGGUUUCUAAUUAAUUUUAAUUAUAUUUUAUUUUCCAUGAUAAAACCAAACAUGAGAAAAUCAUUUUCCUUAGAUUUUUUUUUUUUUUUUUUUUUCCUUAGGGUACUUUUUUGGAACCAUUCAUAGCAAUAAAGUCUGGUUUUCAGUUUUAAAUUUUAUGGAAUAACAGCUAUAGAGAUCCCAAUUUCUUAAGUUGAAGAGAUGAUUCUGGGUUAUGUUUUAUGAAGGAUUAGACAUGUUUUAUACGGAUGCUACUGAUCAAUGUGGCUGACAGAUGGCAAUGUUGAUAUCCUCAUUAAUUAGCUGAGAGUCUGAAUGAAGGCAUUGUGUGGAUGAUGAAUACUAUGAAAGAAUAUUAAUUGGGAUAAAGGUUCUGUUGAGUUUAAUGUAGCCUAGACUGAAGAUAGCCUGUUGAUUAUUCUCCCCUCCCUCCCUUCAAGCUGCUUUAAGUAGGACUUGAAGAGUGGAUCCCACUUUCCCCCCUUUGGGGAGGCAGCUGCAUGUCAAACUCUUGGGCACCAUUGGCUUUACCGUAACCAAGUAGGGAAACUUCAAUAGCAUUGAGGCUUCACUUGUUGGUUCACCUUCUGUUCCUGAGACACAGAAGAAUGCUUUACCUUGGCUGUUGCACUUGAAAGUAGAGGACUGCACUCCCAGUAAAUCAUUAUAUUCUUGCCUGGUUUGUGCAAUUGUCAUGCAAAUUGCUGCUUAUUGAUUUUGCAUUCCAACAAAGUUCCUCUUCGUCUCCUCUUCCUGAGACGUAAAGCUUUUAAUUGAUGUUUGGAAUUGCAUGGCUAGUUGUUAUUCCCUAUGAAAUCAAUUGAUUUAUUUUCUAUUGUUAUGUUUGUGAUUUUUAUGAUGUCUAUCGUAUCAAUUGCUUUUAGACUUGGGAAUAUAGACCGAAAUAGAAACCCCUUAGUGACAAUGAUUUACUAAGGAAUCAUCUACAACCUACAUAUAAAUAUCAGUCGUAAAAAAGUUGGGGAAAUUUCAAUAUUCUAUUCUAAUUUCAACCAGUUGGGCAUGUAGAAACUUCUACAUUUGUUAUAAAAAGUUAGGUAUUCCAUUGAGCGGCUGAUGAUUUAUGUGGUUGCCCUCCAUUUCAGGUGGCAGAGUGGGGGAGGAUGAGUAUGUGUGAUGCAGAGAGAAGGCUCCUCGCAAAUGCAUUGCUUGAUAUCUCCAAUGAACGGUUCGUUCUUCUUUCUGAAUCAUGCAUUCCUCUCUACAAUUUCACCCUCAUCUACCACUACAUAAUGAAGUCCAAAUAUAGCUUCAUGGGUGCAUUUGAUGACCCUGGGCCAUAUGGAAGGGGUCGGUAUAAUGGGAAUAUGAAACCUGAGGUGAGCAUUUCCCAGUGGCGUAAAGGAGCCCAAUGGUUUGAAGUUAACCGAAAACUUGCAGUCAACAUAGUAGAAGAUACCACGUUCUACAAGAAGUUUGAGGAGUUCUGCAAACCAGCAUGCUAUGUGGAUGAGCACUACUUCCCCACCAUGCUAACCAUUCAAUCAGGACACCUUAUAGCAAACAGAAGCAUUACUUGGGUCGAUUGGUCAAGAGGCGGUGCUCACCCUGCUACCUUUGGGAAAGCAGAUAUCACAGAGGAGUUUCUACACAGAGUUGUCAGCAAUCACAAGUGCCUCUACAACAAUCAGCCUUCCUCUACUUGUUUUCUUUUUGCAAGAAAGUUUGCUCCCAGUACCCUGGAACCUCUGUUACAGUUGGCACACAAACACUUAGGGUUUUGAGCGAUAAUAGUUUUUUGAGAGAAACCCAGAAAAUUCUUUGAAUCUCUAACUCUCAUAUCUGAUUUCUCUCUUGUAAACUAGUGAGUUUUAGGUGAAUAAUCCAGCCACGCAAUUUUAGAUGUACAUAAAGAAGUAUCACUAGUGCCCAUCUUUAUAGCAUCAUCAUAGUCGGAUUAUUAUCUGGAGCUUAGUGUGUACUCAAUUUUAAUACAAUUUCAGUCAAAUUUUUUCAUCUUUUCCCCAUUGCAACCAAUUUUAUACAAGGGUGCAACUUGAACGGAUUGAUCAAACCUAAAUUGCCCAAAGUUUGGGUAGGCAUGAACAAUCUUUUUUAAUAUUGGGAUUGGGUUAAGUUUUUUCAACCCUAGCGUUAAAAUUUUGAUUGGAUUUGAGCUGAGGUUCGGAUAAUUCGAGCCUAAACCGAUCCCAAUUUAAUCUUGAAAUUUUGCCCUAUUUAUUAUUAAAUUUUCAUAUAAAUACAUAGAAAAGAAUUUAGUAAAAAAUAUUAUAGAUGAAUUCCGAAUUAUAUAUAUAACAUGAUUAAUCCAUUGAAGUUUAAUCCGAGUUUAAUUUGGAAAAAUCGAACUCAAUCUAAAGUUUAAAAAAAUGAGAUUGGGUUAGAUUUGGAUUAAGUAUCUUGAGUCGAUUGAAUUAUUUCUUAAUUUGAGUUGGUGGUAUUUAAUUUAUGUUGGGUUUUCUUUAAAAGGGGUCAAUAUUGACAUUUAUGAUGAAAGUUAGGUGAUUUAUGAUGUGUUUGGUAGUAUUUUCGAACCGGUUUCCAGUUCUUGAAGAUGGUUUUACCUUAUUUCUAAAAGUAAAAUUCUGUUUCAAAAAACAAUCUCUCUUUAAGAUGUGCAAGGGAGGUUGGGUUGAUUGUUAAUUCAAACUCAAUAAUUGUGGAAAUAGUUGGCAUACUGGGAAUUCAAUUACAAUGCUCCCACUUGGUAUCCGCGCUUGAAAACAAUUUUUUUUUUUUCAGCUUACUUUUAAUAGAAAGAAUUUGUUUCGAAAAGGAUGUUUUUGAAAACAAAUUUUAGUGUGUUUUCAAUUGUUUUUCUAAAAAUGUUUUAAGUAAUAAAUUGAAAUAUAAAAAAUAUAUUAGAAACUUUUGCAUUGUAUUUAUUAAUAAUUAGUCUAUUUUUUUUUAAUAUUUGAAUUCCUAAUUAAAAUUUUAUUUUAAAAAAUAAUUAAAAGCUACUGUCAAUAGAAAUUCUUUUGGAACCUAUUCGAAUACAUACCCGGCUCAACCAUAAAGUCUUCAAAAACAGUUUUUAAUAAAUAAAUAAAAAUGACUAUGAAUACAUUUUAAAUUAAAAAAAUAUAUUCCCAUUAAAAAAGUCUUUAAAAUAUUUUUCAAAAUUUUAUGAAAUUGAAGGACACUUUUUCAAAAUUUGAAGUUAAAUUCAACCUUAAAAUUUCUACCCCUUUAGAAGAUGACUGCACGUGACAUGACAUCUACUUAAUGCAAAUCAUACAUAAAUGACAUUAAAGAGAAGGAGAAUUACAUGCAAGGCCUAAAAUUCUCAAUGGCAUUUAGACUGGGACAAAUAACUAACAAUCACAUCCACCACAUAAUUUCAAACCCAAUAUCCCCACUAACAGAAUUAUUUUAGAAAUUGACCCGAAAUCAACCCAUGUGGGGUUUUUAUUUCUUCCUUCCUACCAGAUUCAACCCGAUAUCAAAAUUUUUAGACUUUGUAGACGUAUUUUAAAAUUGAAAGUAACUAUUUAAUCAUAUAUAUAUAUACUUUUUCAAAUGAAAAUAAAUGAAGGAUAUGAUAUGUUUGUUUAGAAGUAAUUUUUAUAUGCUUGAAAACAUUUUUUUUUGUUUAAAUACUAAAAGCAAAAACAUCGUUAGGGCCCAAAACAUGUGAUUGGGCGUUGGGGUUGGAGAUGGGCAUUUUGGUAAUUCCAACCCCGGUGGCCAGAGGGGCGCAAACGGAAACUUCUCGAAACACACUAGAGAAAACGACAAGUCAAAUCUCACCAUACACGUGUCGUAUCUUUUACGUCAAUUUGAGGACCGUCUCUUUUCAACUCUCAACGUGUCAGUCUUUUGUUGGCUACUUAACACGCGGGCCCCACUGACGCCGCAUCUUUGCAGUGAGUAGCGCUGGAAUCGCGUGAUUGCAGAAUGUGGUCUGCGUUAUCGUUCCUUUCUCAAAACCGCAUCACCAUGUACGAGCGUGCGUGUGCUCACGCUCCAAAAAUUAUAUAAAAAAAACCAUGCUUUUGCAUUUAUUCACGAAAGAUUGAAAUUUUUUUCUCAUUUAAUAAUUUUCAGAAAUAAAAGUUUACUUUAAAAUUUAAAUAUAAAAAAUAGUAAUACCCUUUUUUCUCCUAAAAGCUUUGAUAUAUAUUUAAAUAAUUUUCAUAAUAAAUUAUAAAAAAUAUAUAUUUAAAAAUUGGUAAAUGUAAUUUUUUUUGAAGUUAAAUAACAGAAAAUAGAAAAUUGGAAAAAUUAGAUUAUUUUUAUUUAAAAAAAUUAAAAGUGGUUUUAAUCUAUCAACGGUUGAGAUGGCGAGUGCGGCACGUCUUGCUUACUAAAGGCGCGUAUUCAACCCAAUAUGUCACCGAAUAUGUUGGUUCAAAACGAAUCCGUCUUAGGAAACGACACCGUUUUGGAGUCCUGGAAACGACGCCGUUUAAGCCAAGAACCGCCUAAAGCAAACGCAUACUUACAUGAACGAAAAUGUAGGCCCACAACAUAACCCAGCUGUCACUCAAUUAAUCUACAGCCUGUAAUCCGGGCAGCUGCCCGAACUUCCCUCUCCUCUCUCUAUAAAACUCCUCACCACCGAUACUUCUUUCCUGCUUGUAGCUUUGCUUAGGUUUUACGAGAGAUUAUUUCCCGAGAAACAUUCCCAAUCUUUUAGUAAUCUCAAACCCUCCCACCGCACCGAUGGCUUCAUCUCUCUCCGGAGCUUCUCUCAUUGCACUGAUGGUGUUCUCCGUCGCCAUUCUCUCGUCCGUUGUAGCCGCCCAGGAUUUGGCACCGGCUCCUAGUCCGGCGUCUUCCGCCGGAGCUAUCUCGCCAUCUUUCGCCGCGGGUUGUGCCGUCGCCGUUGUGGCAUUUGUGUUCGGAUCUGUGAUGAAGGCUUGAAGAUAUCAUCGUCUGGAUGAGGUUUUUGGCUGUUUGUUCUGAGAGAGUUUGUGACUAUGGGUCGUGUAGAGCGAUUGGGUUCUCUUAGGUAUUAGAGAUUGAUUUGUUUACAUGGUUUGAUAGUAGUGUUGGAUCUAGGGUUUUUGAUGUUGUUUCUUUUCAGUAUAUACGCUUUGUUUUGCUGCACAGAUGGUCUAAUGCAUAUUUGAAGCCAUUGAUAUGGUUUUUUAGUAAAUAAAAUUCCUUAUAUAGAUGUGAGUUUCUCUAUCAUUGUGGUUUUACUUUACUGUGUUAAUAUAUGGAAAUUUGCUUGUGUUGUUGCUCCUUAAUACUUGACCUUUUGUUUCGUUUGGUUGCUGAGAAACUGGGGGGAAAUGUAGAAAAAUUGAAACAUCAUUUCCCGUAAAUGAUACGCUUAUUUCACUUUACGGAGUUUGGUUUCUUGUUUUCUUAAGAACCAAACAGCACAACAUACAAGACUUCGAACAGUUGUCUUCGUAUUCACGUUACAACUUUUCAGCAAUCUUGUCGGUUUCAAAUUGUUGUACCAGCGGAUUUGGGACACUUUCCAACACCAAUGCUGAUCUAAUCUUCCACUAGUCCAAAAUAAGUGACACAAAAAGUUUUCUUAAUUCUGAAGUUUUCUUAAUUUCCACGUUUUCCUCCUUUGUUUUCUCUGCUUUCUCAGCAACCAAAUUGCACAAAAUCAGUUUCACUUUUGAUGUUUCCAGUUAUGAAUUCUGUCAUUUUCUUUCCUAUUAAUGUGUUCUUGUCCUUGACGGUGUAAAUUUCCCAUAGUUUCUCUGUUCCUUCUCCAAAAUAUUUCUGUUUUCCUUUGAAUUUGAAUGAACAAUUUCUCAUCUUGUAAACAUUUGAAUGUCUUGAUUUUGCACUCAUUUGAAACCUUGGAAAGGAAAAGAAACCCAGAAUUGUAAGGACUCUUAAGAUAUUUUGAUUUUGAUGUACAGUAAUAAUUCCCAGUUUUAUUGCGUGGAUUCACCAUAUGGGGAAUUGUUGUAUCGAGUAUAAAGAAGAGCUCUGUCUGUUCCCAUCACCAGUUUCAGAGAAUCCAAAAUUUGAAACUUGUGAUUGAAAUGCCAGCCAUUGAAGAAUCUCCACUGCUCUUCGUAUUUGUCCUCUACCUAUAUUUCAGCGUGGAAUUUUAUGGACUUAGGAAUUGUGUUUUGCUUGCCCAAAAUAAUUUUCUGAAUUUAUCUUCGAACUGAGCCUCUGCUAUUUUGAAUUUCCUGAAGGAAGGUAGGCCUCGAAAACUGUUUUGUUUUUGGGAUUUUGUUCUAAAAAUAGGUUACUAUUUUAUAAUAAAUGCAAGUGUUUUAAGUUUUUAUUUUUUAAAAUAUUCCGAGCAAUAAUUAGAAACUAACAUUUUGAAAAUUUGUGUAUCAUGAGAAUGUCUUUGUUUUCCCUCAAAAUAAUUGAAAGCUUUUUUGUAUGUUUUCGUAAUGGUAAAGCACUUAUAAUAUGCUUCAGAAAUGGAGAAGAAAAUUAAAAAUAAUAUAAUAAAAUAAGAAUAAUAAUAAUAAAUAAAUAAAAAGGGUGGGGGAGGGCGUUUAUUAAUUGAAGGGAGCGGUAGACUUUGGCUUGAAAUGAACAACGAAAUGAUACCAUGUGAUUGUGAGAGAUAUUGAACAGCGUAUUUUUUUUGGGCUUUUGUGGGAUGAAAUCAUCAUUGCAGAGUGAUGAAGCAAUUUUUUUUUGUGGUGACUACUGACUAGUGGGUCUGAUUAUCCGAGAAUCGAGAGCUCUUUGUAAUUGAAGGGAGCACCAUUAUUUGUUAAUUUUUCAAAAUUUCAUAACCAAAGGGGUACCCACUAUCACCUGGUGCCUGGUGCCCGGUUACGACAAGUAACAAAGUGCUGUCUAAUGGUGGGUUGGUGGGGAGCUUUUCUGCUUUUAGGUGAUGAAUCAUUCGUUCAUUAAGCAUGAUUAGGGUUCGUGAUUUUGGGUAAUUAUGAGGAAGACUUUUAGUAUAUUUCUCCUUCCCAUCACUCUUGUUGGUUCUAGUUUUACUGUUUUAGUGUGUAGUACAAGGUUUCCUUUUUGUUGAACUUUCUUCAGCUGGAUCCCACUUGUAAUGAAAUGAAUGGGAUUGAAACAUUGCCCAUUCCAAUAAUAGAUCUUAUGCUAUGAAAUGUGCCCAUUUUAAUCACUUUUUUUUCAAAGUGAGGAUGACGAAGAUCCAGAGUGGUUUAGAAAUAUAUUUACAAAUCUGCUCCGGAAGUCUAAUAACCUAUUGCCAUCUGUUUUUUUUUUAACUUUUUUGUGUUUGCAUAAAUAUGUUAUUAAACUUGGGAAUCGGAUUCUGAAGAUGAGAAAGAGAGAGCAAAUACGGAUAUAAAUCUUAUGUCUUCAUUCUUCUCACAGGGUGAAAAGCCAUCAUCAUUUACAAAGUUGUUCCCAAAAGGAAAAGGAAAAAGAAAAAGAAAAAACCAGACCUCUCACAAAAUAUCCCGCCAUCAUCUUCCUUGCCCAACCCUAUUAUUAUUCUAGAUUCCCCGUCUAUUCCGAGUCGGAUUCCAUGUUACCCAUUGCCUUCAAGCCCCUCGGUUUCUGCAAAUAAAGAAACACAUGAAUUUUCAUAUAUUUUACAACCAUCCCUAUGAGUCGGCCACACACCUCUUUUUGAGUGUCUAAACUCAGCUUAUAUAAAAAAAAUUUAUCUUUUCCCACCAGAGCUUUCCAAGAAAAAGACACAAGCGAGUGAAAUUAAGGAGGUUGGAGGUACCUUCUUGGAAAUCUUCUUCUCCCUGACCUCAUAUCGCUCUAGAGUCAGAUCGCAUAGCCACGCACCGGGGCUUACUAGCUGUACACACAUCACAUACAACAAAUCAAUUCCAAUAUUGUAAUCAAACUCCUAGUUUACUUCAAUUUGACGAGGCUGUCGUUUGUGAUAUUUUGUUAACAAAAAUGCUUUCAUUAAAAAGGAAUAAAAGUAAAACAAAAUUGUACAUGUUCUUUUGUGCUUUUCACAGUUGCACUGCCAGUGUGGUCCAAGCUGGUGGCGUGGUGUGCACCCCACUGGUAUAAAUUAAAACAUAUAUUUUUAUUAAAUAUUAAAACAUAUAUACAGUUAUUUUAUGAUUACACUUUACACCCCUUCACUUUGAAAAAUAUUACAAAAUUGCAACCGUGGCACGCCCCUCACUUCUAUACCCUCGGUUUUGUCGGUUUGUAUUUGAAAACCUCCUUGCUUCAUUGACAAGUCUAGUGAAAGAGAGUACCCUUUUAAUCGGAACCGUACACCUGGCACACCUAUGUACCGUCCGUCCCGAUCUAAUCCCACUAACCCCCAAUACCACUCACAAAAUCAGGUAACUGAUUUAGAAGCCCACUCCUAUACUGACACGUGUCGUCUCCAUCACCAAUUCAGUACUUAGCCCCUUCUUUCCCACUUACACGUAUACGUACUUGUUAAAUUUCGUCCACCUCCUCAUGAAAAUAAUACCCGAUAUACAAAUUUAUAAAUCAUAAUAGGGUAAAGAAAAAGGGGGAAAAAAUGGAAGAGAAUACCUUAAAAAAGGUGGAGCGAAAUAAAUGCCAGGUGAUCCCACAAAUAAAAUAAAAUCAAACCUAUAUAUAAUUUUUUUCUUCUAAAAAGGGGUAUUGGGAAAUUAAUUAUGAUAAUAAAAAAAAUCAGCAAGAAAAAGAGGAAAAGUCAUGGGGGGCGUAGGCUUACAUUGAGAGUGCGUUGAAUAAACUUGGCCCGUUUCUUGGGUCUCUGGGGGAGUUUGGAGCCCUUAAUGGCCAUGAAAUCUUCUUCCUUCUCUUUGUUGGUGAGGGCAAUAACAAACUUAGGAGGCCAGACGGGCGGCACAGCCUCGCUGCCAGCCGACGAAGACCCUCCUCCUCCCUUCUUGCUGUCGUGGGCCGUCUCCGACGAGGCCGACUUAUUAUCAUUGUUAUGGUGGUGGUUGUUAGCGUUGUGAUGAUUACCUCUCCUGUCCUGGUCUCUUGCCGGAGAAGAGAACCCACGUACGCCGUUGCUUUGCCCUUUCAUGGCACUUGAAUUUUCUGAGUUCCUGAAAACAUUUACACAACAAACACAUAGAUAUCAUCAUAUUCCAUAUAUAUCAUCCUGUAAAAGUGGAAAUAAUUAUUCCCAAAAAAAAUAAAACAAAACAACAGGUAACAAAACGAAAAUGAAAAUUUAAUUUGGUAAAUAUGGAAUUACGAGAAUGGGCUUCUGUGGUGAUCUCGAUUAUGGCUUUAUGCGUAGCGGAGACCGGAAUAUAGGCGGGUUUCGCGUGGAAAAUGGGGUGGUUUGGGGACUGCUAUGUAUUCAUUCUACUUUUCUGAAGGGAGGGUUUUUAUUUUUCAUUUUAUUUUUAUUUGUUUUUUGAUAUGAUAACUGAAAAGGUUGAGAUAUUUGACAAGUGGGAUUGUGACUAACGUGCUCCGGUGGGGGGUGGGUGUACAAGGGAAAAACAGAUGGAGAUUUGUGGCCGUUGGAUUUGUGUUUCCUUUUAUCUUUGGUGAGGGCUACGUGUCGAAAGGCGGAUACGUCACAAGGAUAAAGUGGACCAAGAUGAGGAAUCUGGGUUAAUAUCCAACGGCGCCUAAUGGUGGGUGGAAAAGACAGUUUUCGGUGUACACGUUGAGGAAGAGAUCUGUAACCCGACUAGCCAGACCUAAGGAGAAAAAAAAAAAAUAAAAAAUCAGGUGUGAGUAUCCCCACCAUACCAUGAGGCAUUUAAACAUCAACUCAGAGGUCAAAGGGUUAUACUGUUAGGAGUGCAUCAUUAGGCUAAAGCAACACUUCGUAUCUUAUACGGAUAUGAAUAGUACCAUCCAUCCAAGGUCUAUUCAUAUGAAAACCUUCAACAUCAUCAAGUUAAAACUUUUUACGAAAUUUAUUAUUUCUAUUAAACCAUUAUAAUAAACAGGAAUAAAAUGUCCUACCAUUUAAUUUCUAGAACAGCCAUCUCCACUCACCACCCCAUGAAAAAGUUGGGAUGCCAAUACCCACUUCAAAUAGGAAGAAGCAUGAUUAAUGUUUACUCAAUAAAACCAUCAUCCCCUUCUAAUUUGCCUUUCGAAUAUACAGAUACCAUAAAUGCUUUUUUGUUUAGAAAUAGAAUAAUAAAUUAACCAAUUAAUUCCACGGGUAAAAUCCUCUGCCUAUAUCAUAUCAACCAUCAGUUUAUUAUAUUGAGCUAAUUUUAGUAAAUUCCCUGGCGUUUAGCAAGAUCCAUCUAGUGCACUAAAUGAGAAGGGACCAAAUUUGGAGUGAUGAUUUCAAGAUAUAUUCUUUUUGGGUAUCAAAACUUUCUAAAAUAUUUCAUCACAGAAAUGCUUGUCUUUUGAAGAAAGGUAAUGUUAGAUUUUCCACAAUAAUCCUCAGAAACGCUGCCUAAGGCACAAAUGUGAAUGCUUCAACAAAACCGCAGAAAACCACAAAAUGCGUCAGAGGACACCAUUUGUGGGACUAACUCUAUAGAAUUUUAUAGGAGGGAUUUUAUAAUUGGAUUUGCAGAUGAGUCAAUUAUAUUAAAUGUGAAGCAACCACCAACAACCAAAAGUAAAAAAAGCAAGUGGGAGUUACCUGAGAACGCGUUGUGGAGGCGGAGGCGGAGGUGGCUGAGGCGAAGAUGGGCGGUGGCGGAGAUUAAAAUACCCGUUACUGGUGGCUGCAGCGGUGGUGGUGGGUUGAUUCAGAGAGUCCUUAUCAGCUCUAACCACUCGGCGGUCGACUCGGACCGUGGUCUUGUGAACCGGGGCCGAGUCGUCCUUGACUUGGAUCUUCAUACAACGGAGUCGCUUGCGGUUCCCCCACUGCAACACAAAGUCUGAAGCGGUUGAUCUAGGCUCAGAGCUCGCUCUCAACAACGACCCAUCAUCUGCACCUCCGCUUCUUUCUCUAUGGUUGUUAUUGUUGUUGUUGAUGCUGCUGCUAUUAUUAUUGUUAUUUUUCACUCCCUCCUUUUCCAUAUCCUUCACCCUUUUUGUACACCUGUCCCAUUCCAAAACACAUUCAUGAUUAACUCUAGUUGAGGCCUUCAUUUAACUAUGGUUAAUCUCAUCUCGCAACACUGGAAAAACCGCAAAAGAAAGGGAAAAAAAAAUGAAAAUCGAAAAUUAAGAUUUGUAUUAAGAUUUGGAUACCACUCUUAUCUACAACUCCCCCGAAUUUGAGGGCUGAUUCUACAAAAUGAAAUUGAAAUUGAAAUUUACAUUAUUGGUUCUUCCUGUUUUCUUGUUGGGAAAAAAACGAGAGAAAACGCAGGAAAACGUGUGAGACAAUUGAGGCAUUUUAUCUUCGUUUUCCUUUUCCUUUUCCUUGUUGUUUCCCAGGAAUGAAAGGGCAGACGGGUCGGCGGAUGAGAAUUUUCUUCAACUUGAAAAAGGUAUCAAAGCCGUCACAGAGGAAAAAACUAAGUGUGACUGUUGUCGGGAAAAGAAAAGAAAAGAAAAGAAAAAAAAAAUCCAAGGAAGGGGUUUAAUAAUAGAAGGAAAAUGAGAGAGAGAGUUAUGUUUAGAUGCGUUUGGUUGCUAGGAAAAUGUAGGAAAAUAAAAGAAGGCGGAUUUUUUAAAUUCGGAUUUCUCGCCAUUUGUGACCCGAGAAAUCACAAACCGAUGAACCAGAAACAACAACCUCAAUUGAGCCUAAUACAAUGAUUUGGCUUGACUGAGACGAGCUUUUCAAUAUUUGGAAAUCCGAAAACAACGUAAUCCAAUAUUUUUUUCUCGCCCGUUUUCUUUCCAACCAAACAGAGAGCGAAGACAAGGAUGAGGAGGAUAAGAAAUAAACGAUCAAAUCAGAAAAUUUUCACCCAACAACGCACAACUUGUCACUAAAAUAACAAGUUUUCAUUACCAAAUCCUCAGAAACAAAGGGAACAAGAAGACAAAUUGAAUUGAAGGUAGAAUCGAAAUGCAAACAACACGAACUCGGACAUGGAUUCUCAGAGAGAGAGAAAGAGAGAUUCAUCAAAAUCAUGGCAUUACCAGAAAAUUUCCACGUUGCCGAAAAAUUCUUCAAAAGGCGAUUAUUAAACAACACAGUAGAGCACGCAGAACAAAGCUAAGAAGAAUCGAAGCUCCGUUCAAUGAAGAACGGACCAAAGAACAGAGUAGACCGAUUUGCUAGCAGAGAGCCUCACGAACUGCAAAAAACAGAGAUCACAACCAACAUUAAAUCUUCAGCUAAAUUUCCAACAACAAUUACUUGAAUAUCUGAAUUUUUUUGUUCAGAGGUAAGGAUUUCCUGCCUUCUAUGCAAAUCUAUUACAGAUUUUCGACGAAAUGAUUGCAUUUUCAAAGCUCCAAUCUUCAGUUUUGUUGUCAGAUUUGGAUCUAAUCAAUGAAGAGAGAAACUUCAGUUUCGUACAAACUCCACUCAAAUCCCUCAAAAUGUGUAUCUGUUAAACAAAAUUGAACAAAAAUUAGACUUAAUUCACAUUAUUCGCCACACAAAAUCGAACUCUGUUCUCAAUUACAAACCUCAAAAACUCGAAUUUCUCGAACUGAAUCACUAGUAAUUUUAUCUGCUAAACAAAAACAAAACAAAUUGAGUUAAUUGAUGGAAUUAAUUACACAAAAAACAUUGCAAAACCGAUCCUCUGCGCUCAAUUACAAACCUCUAAACACACACUCUUUCUAAAAAUACCAUUCUUCAAUAGCUCCAGAUCUUCUAACAAGGAAAAACCGUCAACCUUCAGUAUCAAACUCUCAUCAAUUUCCCUUCGAAAAUCCUCCGUUCGGAUUCCGAGAAAAACAUAGAAACAGGUAGUCAGACAGAACUUCUAACACCAGAAAAACUUCGACAUUUCACUAAUGAAUUCUCCUCAUAUUUUACUUCUUUUCAUCCCCUGUUUGGUUCCCGUGAAAGUGAAAGAAACGGAAAGAUAAUCGCAAAGAAAAUGAAGAAAACCAGAGAUGGCUUCUUCUGAUAAAACGAAAUGCUCUCGCUCCCUUUCAAAACCGAUUUUUAUACCUCCGUCCACUUUUCCUUACGGCCCAACCCUCCCCUGGUCGAUUCACCGACCAAUCCUGACCGUCCAUCAUCCAUCCGAGGGCUCUCAUCUCUCCUCAUCUGAACCGUCAGGCACGUCCGUCACUUAAGCCGUUACGACGUGAUAUUAAAUUACUCAGCAUUGUAAUUGUACUUCACGGCGUUAACGGAUAUAACGGAAUCUUCGACGUCGUUAUCUUUCCGUCCAUUAAAUUUUUUUUAUUUCUUUUUAUUUAUUAUUUUGUAGUGCACUGGUGCGGGGGUUCUAGUGAGUUAACCAGGCGCAGUUGUCACUUGCCUGUAGGUGCACUAACCAUGGUUAGUUUAACUAGACUGAUCGGUUACAUGAGCGAAACUCCCUUCUGGCAGACCUCGAGUUGACUGAGAUAUUGAAUCACAGCCGUCCAUAUCUAUCAGUGAUCCUAAAUACUGCCAUUUAUUACAAAUGAUUUUAUGAAUUAUUUCUUCCUUCGGAUCUAGCACUAGAGUUCUCGAUUUUGUGAUUAUUUAUUAUUAAUAUUAUUAUAUUUUAAAAAUGUAAACUCUUAAAUUUCAUAAUUGCAUAUUCGAAAAAUAAGAUAAAUAAAAUAAAAGAUUAUUGGGGAUAACUUUCUUUUUUUACUUUAAUUAGAAAUUGAAAUUUAACCCAAGCCAUUGAUUUUUUUUUACAAAAACAUUAAUUUCAAACGAAUUUUAUUAAAUCAAGUAUCUUUUUUUAUAAUUAAGUUCGUCAUCAUAAAUAAUUCGAUUAAAUAUUAAUUGAUUUUGAGAUGAAAUCCCUAAUGUAAUAAUCGAUAUAUUAAGUCAAUUGUAUUUGUUAAUGUUAUUAAAUUGCUUAAAUGAUAAUGAUACUGAGAAAUGUUCAUCACCCUUAGUAUGAUCCUUCUAGAUCGUUUAGCACGAUUCAUGUUUUGUGGAGUCACCACACAGCAUUACCCGUCCACUUCAUGGUAUAAACCGAUAUAAACUUUCGAUCACUAUGCAUUCUUGCAUGUCAAAUAUUAAAUAUAGCAGACAUUAAAUACAUCGAAUGUCACACCAUUAUUGAACAUUAAACUUCAAGGGUCAAGCUCGACCAUCAUUGGUAUUAAAAACGGUAAAAUCACAAUCAAUGACACAAUAAAAACAUUGAAAAAAUGUUACUUUUGGGUAAAAGUAAAAAUAAUCAUUAUUCACCAAAAUGAAGAUAUACUCUUUUUUUUUUUUUUUUUUUGUGAUCUAUUGCUCAAAUCUUCGUCACCUAACUUAAAUUUAAAAGGGGUGUGCCCGAAAAACUCACCGGAACAUUCUUCAUUCAAACAUUCUUUUUUGGAGGUGCAAUUGACAAUUAUGUCAAGCGGAGACCAACUCUGUACUAACAUUGUUAGUUGUGCACCAACAAAUAUCGUAUGCCAUUUUUCACCUAAGAUAAUCAAAAUUGUCCUUCAUAUCAAAUAUCAUAAAAUAAUUGAUCAUACAAGAUAAUUAAAGUUUAAUCAAAGAGUAACUUUAAAACAUGAGUUCUUUUAAUAAAAUUAUUAAAUAAAAAAAAUUGAAGCUGAUAGGUUUUUACUUUUUAUUUAUUUUUAUUUUUAUUUUUAAAAAGUUAAGCAAAGUUUGUGCCGUGUAAUACAAUAGUUCUUCAUUUUGUAAAAUUAUUAUUAUUAAAUUUGAAUAAAUAAAUAAAUUUUAUCACUACAUAGUAAAAAUAUGAUGAAGGAAAGGAAAUAAGUUUUGUAUAGCAUUGAACUAUUAGUAUUCAAAUUUAGAUUUUUUAAUUUCACAAAGGCCAAAAAAGCAUUUAUAACAUAAUUUAGAGUGGUGCAUGAUUGUUAGUACGAGAAAUGUGUGUGAAAUUACGGUUUAAUAAUAUCGAAAUUUGACUUUAUCAUUUUCAAUCUCCUUAAAUUAUAACCGAUAAAAAUCAAAUAAAACCGAUAUUAUAAGACUUUCUUUUUUUAUAAUUUGUAAUUGUUUGGUAGUAGAUGAGUUUCUAUUAUUUAUUAUAUUUUACACAUUUUAUUAAAGUAGAUUUUUUUAUUAAACUAUUUUUUAAAUGUAUUUAUUAUGUUUUUGGUAAAAAAAAUUAUUGAAUUUUGGACUUCAAAUCUAAGUUGAUUUUAAUUAUUUGAAAAUAAAUAAGUUUAAGUUCUAAUUAAAUAAUGCCAACUCCAUUAUUUAAAUCAAAAUAAAGCAAUUUUAAACAAAUUUCAUUUGAUUUAUUAAUUUCGGCACAAACAUAAAUUAAUUUUUCAAUAGUUGAUUAUAUUGCGCAGGGGUGUACGAGUGCUUGUGAUGGACUUGAGCACAUGGGAACACAGGAUCUGAAGAAAACAAAUAAUGAGUGCUUUAACGGAGUGAACUGAAGACAGCGAGACGCCCACGUUUUUCUGCCCGGUUUUCUCAAAAAUUAUGGAAACUGGGAAUGUCUUGUGUGUGAGUACUCAAACAUUAAAAGUUCACACAAUCCGUACAUUAUUCAUACUCAUUAUUGGAUUAAAGUCAAAACUUCUUCUGACAGGUCUCUUUGAUUCAGAUUUUACGUGGUGCGUGUUUUUUCAACUAAAUUUCAUUUAAAAUGUGAUUAAAAAUAUAUGGAAAAACGUUAAAAAAUUUUGCUUAAAAAUAUUUUAAUUAAAAAGUCCAAAAAAAAAUUAUUGACAUAUUUGACCAUGUUCUAAAAACGAUUCUUAAAAAACAGAUCUUGAAUACCCUUUUUCAAAAAAUAAAAUUAUAUUUAAAAAAAUGAUUUUUCUAUUAUUUUUUUUAAAUAUUAUAUAUUUUUAUAUCAUAUAAAAGUUUUAAAUAUAGUUUACAUUUUUUAAAUUAUUACUUACAAUAUUUUUUAUGAAUUUGUUGUGGGAAACAAUUUGGCCUCGCUUGUUCUCAAAAAUAUAUUUUUUAAGUUAAAAAAACAAAACAAAAUUUUAUUUAAGAAAUACAACAUAGAAACAAUAUUUCUUAAGUUGCCCACACUCAACUUAUAAGUUUGGGAUUUUAUAAACGCAUACCAAGCACAGUGAAAUUAUUUACAGCCUGAUCACUUAGCUUCAUUACAAUCCAAGUUUCAUGAAGGAGAUGUUUUUUUUCCUUAAGGCUAUAUUUACACUGGAGCAACCAGUAGAAGCAGCAUGGAUGUGUACAAUAAGGAUAUAAUAUGUUUUCCAUAUAUAGAAGCUCACAACCUGAAACAGAACAUAUCCAAUGAAUUGGGUAUUGAUUAGUCUCUGUGUUCUGCUUUAAUCAGGCACUGAAUCCCUUGUCAAGAGAGCUCCAUGGACCAGGAGGAAUGGUGACACAGGCUUGUGCCGAUGCCUCGGCCAUCUGUUCCUUUUCGAUGCCAGCAUUGCAGAUGUUGGCGAUGGAGCGCAUGUGCUUCAUCCCAUACUGGGAUAGGGAUCCACAGUGUGCCUCAAAAGUUCUCACCUGCAUCAGAGCAGGCAAAGAAGAUCGGGUUUUUGUUCAAUUUUGAUGGUGACUAAAAGUGGCUGUGAAGGGGGAAGCUGGGAAUUAGGAAGAUUACCAGUGUUUUAAGGCAGUGCCAGUCGUCAACAAGAGGCUGCCCUGCAGGCCGGACAGUCUUCAGAACCUCAGAACCUUUUUUCAUUCCAAACAGAAGUCUCCCAACGAGUUUUAUGGCAUGGUCUAUAUGUGUUCUGUGAGACAUUGCUUCAAGAAACUGCUUCUGAGCUUCAGCUUUCCUUGGAGAGCCUUCGGGAGCCUUGCGGAACUGUUAAAACAUAGAAAAAUAAUGAGGUGGAUAUUCUUCUGCAAUGCAUCAGAUCCUUCUCAUUAUAGUCAUCUAAAAGCAUGAGAAUUUUUAUUUCUUGCUGAACCUUCAACCUACAUGUCUUUUAUGAUUUAAAGCAUUAACUUGCAGGGUCUUUCUACUUCCUAGCCUACUCUUAGCUAUUCUUUGGGUACACACUAGUAGUCCUUGCACUGUCACCUGUUGAUCCUAUUCUUAUGCUGUUCUAUUGCCUUCAAGGAAAGGUAAUUUCCCGAACUGGAGCUUCCCUUUCCCCAAGGAAAUGUCUUGUUCUGAUCUGAAUAAAAUUGCUAAUUCUUACAACUAUAAUUACUCUGGUAUGACAAUGAAGACGAUCCCACCCAGCCAUGAAUAUUCCCAGGAAAGAAAGCAAUACAUUCAAAGCAGUGGGGAUUUUUAGAAUUGUUUCAUUACUCUACUUUUUUUCCUAAAUGCAACCUUGAGAUUUUCCAUUAUUUUCUGUUAUUAGUAUCUCUUCUAAUUCUUCCACUCACCCAAUAUUCAUUUCCCCAUCCAUCCUGAUCACAUCAAUCUUAAUCAUAUAUGAAAAACUAUUUUCAUUCUUAGUCUAAAUCUAGAGCUCAAAACAUUCAAGUUGUACAAAAAAUUCAGUAUGGGAGAUAUAAAAUGUAGUAGACAAACCUUGUCCCAGAAAUGAACAAGAUCAGCAUCACGCUGGUUAACAGCCUUUGAAGGUAACCUCAAGGAGUUGUUGUCCACAAAAGUGUAGUUAUCAUUUGCAGGAUUUGUACCCAUAUACAGAACAAGGUCUUCCUUGUUGAGACCUAGAUCACCAUAUUGCAUGACAUGGGAGCCAUAAACAGAAUUGUCAUUUGCAGUCCUCUUCUUAACCUGAAAAAGCCAGAGAGAAAUCAUGAUAUUGAUGUAGUAAGCAACAAGCAAGGGUGUAUAAACAACAAUAGCAACAUCUAGGAACUUUCCCAACUAGACCCUCCUUCAAACACAAACAUUUUUGUCCUUGUGUCCUCAUUAAUUGCCUAUGUGAAAUGAGUUUAGGUGUGCUCCACCACAAAAUUUGUGGGAACAUUCGCAGAAAGAAGUCGUUUUCCAAAACGAUAAGACUCUGACUAAAAAGCUCUUACCAGUUCAUACUGCUGCCUCAACGUUUCAGUCCGCAGGUUGUGCACGUCACUGGUCACAUCAACAGAAGAUUUAGAUUCAUAUGAAACACUAGUAAUUGAACAAGGUAGGUAUAUAUUAUGAAAAUUUUCAUCCUUCAAUAUAAGAAAAAGACCAAAAUGAGGGCGACUGGAUCAAGAAAAACAAAUCCCAGAUCCUGAUUAUAGCUCAGGAGAAAAUGGCAAGAUGCAGAAUCAACAACACACAUUUACCCAUUCACUUGCAUUACAUACACAAAAUACAUGCAUGCACUCAAACAUUCAGAUGAUUUUAUAAAUAAGCCAAACCAGAACAAAGUCUUGGCUUUAUUUUUGAGAAAGUUCCAUAUCUGCAGCGGUGAUAAUUCCUGGUCUUUAAAAUGAUCCUUACAAAGGUGCUCGGAUUUCCCAUCUUCAAUAGAACUUCUAAAAAUAUGUUACACAUACCUGUCCUCCAUCCAAGCAACACUAUACAAGUCACCCAAGCAGGUUUCAUAUUCUGGGGGAGGACUAGGAUCCUCUCCUGGGCAAUAGGUUCCCCAACUGCUUUCUUCUGCAUUUGCGGCUGUGGUGGCAUAGAUAUUCAGACCUUCAGGAAGAAGGCCCUCGAAUAUACUUCCAGAUUCACAAGCUUCAAGAUAAAAUACCUACAGGUUUAAAAAUACAAUCAUAAAACUUAUAUUUGAUCUAAGUGAAUAUAGACUGCAUCUAGAAUAGGUUUGAUUUGGGAUUUACCAAGCUAUUAUAGGUACCAGAAGCAUGCUUCUUCUUUAAGACUUCGAUCAGAUCAUUAGCAUAAAGGUAAGGACUAGUUGGCAUACCUGACAAAAAAUCACAAUAUGGACUUUAUGCAGUUAAUUAAUCAUUCAGAAAAUAAUUCUUCAAAAUUAAAGUAAUGAAAGGAUCAGUAAACUGGAAUAAAAGAAUAGCAACUAAAAGCGUAAGUUCAGAAUUUUUUCAGAGAGCUAUUUCUGAGGAGCUACUAACCGAGCACCCCAGGACCUCCAUGAUCAGAAUAGUAUAUGAAAAUAUGAUCAUUCGGACCACUGUCCAGAACCUUCCCACUACCCCCUGAAAGAGCUGUUUUGUUGCCAAGGAUAACAGCAAAAAAGUUAUCAACAGUAACAUCUUCUCCAGUAUAGUCCUGCCAUGAUUAAAUCCAUAACAGGAGGAAAAAAGUAAGUUUAAGAAAAUAAUAGUAAAAAAUUGAAGGUUUUGCCAGUGGGCUAAUACCUGAAGGAAAGAAAAAUACCUUUGGUACACCUUCAUAAACAUCUUCACCAUGUGGGCUGUUUAUGAUGAUUCCAGGCCUAGGGUUCUCUUCAUUGAAAGAGAUGUCAUCAUACAUGAAAACAAUGAUGUUUUCAUCUUUCAAUCCACCUUUCUUCAAGAGUUGAUAGGCAUGGCAAAUAUCAGCCUGAAACGAGGAAAACCAUCCAUUAGCUCUACACAGUACAGGAAGAAGUCAUAGAAAUUUAUGAUAUUAAACCAUAGCUAUCACAUGGACUACUGAAAUUUCAAUCCCCUCACACCACUUUUAACUUUAGACUCCUCCCAAUCAUUGGAAAAAAACCUCAAACAUCCAUUAAAUACCUAUUUUGAACAAUGAGCAGUCCCUACUUCUAUUCCAACAUUUUCCAUCACAUGGUCCAUGACUCCAUGAUUUCCCAGCCUAGUUUUGACACGGAAACAAAAAAUUGUAUUGUCAAUGUCCGAAGCCUAAGCACUUUGAAUGUAAAGCCCACAAUAGUGGAACCUAUCAAACCACUUGCUGGGUAUGCCACUGGCUCGAAACUAGCUGCUUUGAUUGAAUUUCUAAAUAGGCUACUUUAAAAACUAAAAUUCUAGAUAAAAGAGUUGCUCCCGAUCAAGAGAAGCAUCAUAUGUAGAGUUCGGAUUCUUUUCUUCAAAUUUGUGUUUUGUUCUUCUAUCAUUUCCCCCCCUAAUACAAUCCUCUGACCCUUAAACAACACCAAAAUUAUAGAGCAUAAAUUAGAUUGAAAAACAGUAUGAUUCAGCACAAGAAGGAAAAGAAAAUGAUUGAAUGUCUAAUGGCAUGAUUGCCAUAAUACAUCCAAAAUCCAAGGCCCUUUUUCCUCCAACACUGCUUGCAAGAGAUGUGAUUUAAAAGAUAUGAUUGCAUGGAAUGAGUAAAAUAAAGAAUACAUCUAACAGCUAUGUUUUCCAUUGGGAGGCCUGCAAUGAGUAAAAUGAGAAAUCUAUUUGACAUUUCUCAGACAUGAAAAAAGGAAUAUCAAGUAGCUUCCCAAUAAUCGAAGUGAAAUAAAUUCAAACCAGAAUAUGUUUUCUAAAUGAUAAUUAAUUCAUCCAAGAAAAUAUGCACAUAUUAGCAUGCUUUGCAAGUAGUUUCAGAUCACAGACAGACAUGCUUGUUAGACUAAAAAUACAAAGAAGAAGUCCCUUUCUCCAUCUUUGUUUCACAUAAUUAGGGUAAUUAGGGCCUGUUUGGCAAAGUUUUUUUAAUAAGUUUGAGACCAAUUCUUACGGCCAUGCCUGGAAACUGUUCUCAAGAACAGGUUUUUGUUUUUGGUAACAAAAAAAAGCAUGAGAUAAAUUGUUCCAAAAACAAAUUUUUGAAAAUCGUUUUAAAAACAUAUUAUUUUCUGAUAGUAUAUAUUUUAAUUAUUUUCAUCAAACAUAAGCACUGCAUAUAAAAAUUAUUUUCUCUGUGCCUGUUUUUAACUGUUUUCUAAGUUCUAACUUAGAAAACAGUUUGUUUUUUUUUUAACUUUUUCAAAAACAUUUAACCAACAAGCUCUUAAUAUCCUAAAGACAAACCUUUCCUCUUUUCGUUUGCUGAGGAAAUAUCGAAAGACAAACCUUUCCUCUUUUUGGUUGCGAAGGAAAUAUCGAAAAAGUAUAGAUUUUGAGUCCACUGAUUGCUGCUAUUUUUGUUUCUUAAAACUGAAAAACUCAGCUCCACAAAACCAAAUAAUUACACUGGCGAUUUAAGCCUAGUUCAGUGAAGUAUUUUCAGUUUCAACAGGUGAUAAAAAUAAAAAUUUUAUAAUCCAGAAUUUUGAAUUCCUUUCUUUUUCCUGUACUUUCUCAGAAACCAUUCAGAACCUAAAAGUUAGUUAAAAUCAUAAACCCAUAGAAAAAAAACACUCAAAAAUCAUGAAUCUCACCAAUGUUUACUGUUUUAACUCGCUGUAUCGUACAAACAGAAAAUAUAUUACCGAAAAGAAGUGCAAUCAAUCCCUACUUGAAAAACCCAAAUAAAAAAUUAAAUUCAUGCAGACAAAAAAAAAAAAAAAAAAACACCUUCAUCCCCCAAUAAAUCAACCAAAAAUAUACACUGUUAGUAUCAUCUCAAAAUCCAAGAGUUAAACUUAAAAAUAAAAUAAAAUAAAAUAAAAAAAUCAUAUAUAUAUACAUAAAGCAAUGUAAAUAAAAACUUUGACUUCAAGCAAAGAGAAUCACCUGGUGCCUAUAAUUCCAGUAACCGUUAGAUCCAGCUAUCAGAACCGCCCAUCUGGUCCCGGCAGAUUCGGCGCCGGUAUCAUCGUCGGCAGCACCACCCGGGCGGAAGAACCUAGAAGCUUCGGAGGGUAGAAGGAGGCCAUUAUCUCCGGCGAAGUGACGGCCUCCAGCGACCAAGGUGGAAAGCGCUAGAAAUGCGGCGACGGCGGCCGGAAAGAUAGUCAUCGGAGCCGAUAGGAGGAAUCUGAUCGGAGAGACGGUGAAUAGAGACGAAUGGAAUGGUAGGAGGAGAUUAUAACUGGGAGGAGUGGUCCACGUCUUUGACUUUUCCUAAUUAAAAGGAUGCCUAGCUGAAUCUGAACCCUCCACGUAAGCAUCAGAAGAGAGUGGGUGGGCCCAUCGUGCAUCCUUUUGUUUGGUCGGUUAAGCUACGCAUACUGAUUGGCGGGGUGGGGGCGUUACUUUUCUGCCUGUGUGUGUUGUUUGUUUGUGUGAUAAAACGUGUUCAAAGGCCAUGUUUGGUUAAUAGGAAAUUUAAAGAAAAAUACAAGGAAAGAAAAAAAAUAAAAAUAAAAAAUAAUGAGAAAAAAAUAAAUUUAAAUUCAAUAAAUUAUUUUUAUAUAUUAUUCAAAAUUAAAUUUACUUAUUUGAUCAUUUUUAUAAAAAUUUAAAGUAUUAAAAUUCAAAAAAAAAAAAAGGAAAUUUGGUUUUCCUAAUAAUGAUUUUUUUUAUUCUUAUUUUAAAAGAAUACAAAUUAUUUAUUCCAACAUUUAAAAUAUGACCUGUUAUUUUCCAACUUAGGGUAUUAUGGUAAUUUUCUUUUUCUUUUCUUUAAAUCAAGGUUAUCUAUUUUGUCAUUGAAGCUGUAUCUUAUCAUUAUUUGUCUUUUUCAAGUCUUAUUUUAUAUUUUGUAUGAAUAUAUAUAUAUAUAUAUAUAUAUAUAUAUAUAUAUUAAUUUUCAUUGAAAAUGAAGUCUGAUGGCACAUGUUCAUAAAAAAACAAAAAAGAAAAAAAAAACCAAAACAAUUCAAAAAAUCCAAGCAUUUUUUAUUUUUCUAUUCAAAUGUAAGACAAACUCAUUAGAAUUUAGAGUUUGAUAAAUUACUAAAGAUGGAGUUGGACUUAAAAGACUGAUUUUAAAUUAAUUUAAAAUAUGUUAUUUAAUUUUUAUUUUAAGUAUUAAAGUUGUAGGAUAAAACUUAAUUAUUUUUUUAAAAUUAUUAAAUUAAUGUAAUAAUUCUCGUGGGAAUGUAAAAAGAAUUGAAUUUGAUUUAAAUCUAAAUAAAGCUUAAUGUUAUUAAAUGUUUAAAUAAUUUAUAUUUUCUGGUUUGCAUAUUUUUUUUUAAUUUAUUUAUUUUUAAAUAUUUUGAUUUGAUUGAUUAAAAUAAUAAUAUUUGAAAAAAAAACCUUAUGAAACGUAAUUUAACAUAUUUCUAAAUAUUCGAAAAUACCAUGAUUUAUUAUUAGUAAAAAUUACAUAAGAAUUAAUGAUUCUUUUUUCAAUAUUAUUGAUUCUAAUAGAUAUUGAAAUGGACAUGAAUUAUGUUAUAAAUUUUAAUUAAAAAAUUAUUAGCAUUGAUAAAAAAAAAAAUACUAUUGUCAAUUUGAUUUCUAAAUAUAUUUUAAGUCAAAUCAAUCCCCAAACAAAAAAUGAAAAAUCAUUUGAUAGAUUAAUAAAGACGAGGGCACGUGCUAUGAUUGAUUAAUUUCACAUGAAAAGUCGUUUGAUAGAUGAUUAUGAUUAGAAUUAUUCAACCAUUGAUCUCCAAAACAAUUUCAUAAAGAAAAACUCGAANNNNNNNNNNNNNNNNNNNNNNNNNNNNNNNNNNNNNNNNNNNNNNNNNNNNNNNNNNNNNNNNNNNNNNNNNNNNNNNNNNNNNNNNNNNNNNNNNNNNNNNNNNNNNNNNNNNNNNNNNNNNNNNNNNNNNNNNNNNNNNNNNNNNNNNAACAAUUUCAUAAAGAAAAACUCGAAAAAAAAUAAAAUUUGUUAAGAAAGUUGAAAUGAAUAUUAAAACAAGAGACUAGUUUUACUUUAGAAUUUGUAUAUGCCGAGAUUUUAAAAAACAUUUAUAAUAUAAAAACGUUUUUAAGAAAAUACUAGGUAUUUUGCAAAAUUUAUAAUGCGUAUAGCGAUAAUUUUAUAAAAUGUUUUUAAUCUUUUUUUAAUAUUUGAAAAUUUUUAUUUUUUAAGUAUUAGAAAUAUUAGAAACAUUUCCUAAAAUCAUCUUCAAACGUAAUCUUAUAAAGUACUUUAAAAAAAAUUUAAAUUACUUAUAGUGUUUUUUUAAUAAAUAUUUGAUAGGUGGUUUUCUAAAAAAACAAUUAUAACAAAAUCAUUUCAAAAGUAUUCUAAGAGUCCGUUUGACAAUAAUUUUAAAAAGUAUUUAAUUUUUUUUUUAUCAUUUAAGCAUUAGAUAAACUAAAAAAAAAAUUUAGAAUUACUACCAAACGCAACUUAAGAAUCCAUUUAGUAGUGAUUUUAGGAAGUGUUUUUAAUAUUUAUAAUACUUGAAAUUUUUUAUCAUUCAAUUGUUAUAAAUGCUAAAAACGCUUUUCAGAAUCACUCAUAAAUGCAUUUUAAAUCACUUUUAAAGUAAAUGAUUUUAAUAAAAAUGUUUUAAAGUGGAUUUGAGAAUGCUUUUCUUGAAAAUGCUUAUAAUAAAGCAUUUUCUGUGAUGUCCCAUGUCGGAUAGGGGAGAAAGAUCUUGACACUAUAUAUGUAGAGGCUCCUCUUAACCAAGUAGACACAUUUUAAAGUCGUGAAGGCCCCCUUGGGCCUAAAGCAAACAAUAUCUACAUGGUUUGAUGCGGGUCGUUAUAAAUGGUAUCAAAAUCAAUCCCCGACCCUGGUGUGGGGGUUUGUUUGGCUCCGUAAGGGAUGUUUAUCUGUUUGACCCCACAAUUCCAUGGGACACAACAAGGACGUUGUGUCUGCAUGGGGGGGUGUUUAUGAUGUCCCACAUCGGAUAGGGAAGAAAGAUUUUGGCGCUAUAUAUGUAGAGAUUUCUCUUAACCAAGUAAAUGUAUUUUAAAGCCGUGAAGGCCCCCUUGGGUCCAAAGUGGCCAAUAUNNNNNNNNNNNNNNNNNNNNNNNNNNNNNNNNNNNNNNNNNNNNNNNNNNNNNNNNNNNNNNNNNNNNNNNNNNNNNNNNNNNNNNNNNNNNNNNNNNNNCCCAAAUGAUGGAGACUUAAGGAGGGAGCUUUUGAAGGAAGCUCAUUAUUCUAGGCUUGCGAUCCACUUAGGAGGGACAAAGAUGUACAAAGAUUUGAGACAGAAUUAUUGGUGGUCAGGUAUGAAGCGAGAUAUUGCACAAUUUGUGGCUCAAUGUUUGGUGUGUCAACAAGUGAAAGUUAAGCAUCAACGACCAACAGGAUUUUUGCAACCACUUUCUUUUCCUGAGUGGAAAUGGGAACAUAUUACUAUGGAUUUUAUGAUAGGGUUACCAAGGACCUUAGGAGGCAAUAAUGCAAUUUGGGUGAUUGUUGAUCGAUUGACAAAGUCUGCUCAUUUUCUGCCUAUGAAAGUCAAUUUUUUUGUGGAUUGUUUGGUUUCUCUUUUAUAUUAAGGAGAUUGUGAGAAUGCCUGAUGUACUUGUUUCUAUAGUAUUUGACAGAGAUCCUCGUUUCACUUCUAAAUUUUGGCAUAGUUUAUAGAAAGCAUUGGGUACUAAGUUGAGUUUUAGUACUGCUUUUCAUCCAUAGAUUGAUGGUCAAUCAGAGAGGGUAAUUCAGGUCUUGGAAGAUUUGUUGAGAGCUUGUGCUUUGGACCUAAAAGGUAAUUGGGAUUAUUAGUUGCCCCUAAUGGAGUUUGCCUAUAAUAAUAACUUUCAAGCUAACAUUGGGAUGACACCUUUUGAGGCGUUGUAUGGUAGGAGAUGUCGAUCUCCUGUUUGUUGGGAUGAUGUUGGAAAGAAGAAACUUUUGGGGCCUGAACUUGUGCAGUUGACUGUUAAAAAGGUCUCUUUAAUUAAGGAAAUAUUAAAAGAACACAAAGUAGACAAAAGAGUUAUGCUGAUAAUCGCAGACGAGAUUUAGAGUUUGAGGUGUGAAAUGACUGUCACGCCCUUGGAGUGGGUCUUGGGGUGUGACUGAAUGGUAUCAGAGCCGAUCAUCGACCCCGGGUGGGGGUUUAUUUGGCUUCGUAAGGGGUGUUUAUCUGUUUGACCCCGUAAUCCCAUGGGACACAACAUCCUCGUUGUGUUUGAAUGGGGAUGGGGGGGGGGGGGGGGGGGUUUUUUAAGUUUCCCCUUCGAAAAAGGGGAAAAAACUUGGCCCCUUAUAUUUAAAAAUUUUUUUUUAACAAAUAAAAGGCUUUUUAAAGCCUGAGGGGCCCUUUUGGCCCAAAACGGGAAAAAUUUUCCCAAUUGGGGGGUGGGCAUUUCAAAAAAAAUUAAAACCCAACCCCCACCCCCGGGUGGGGGUUUUUUUUGGCCCCUAAAGGGGGUUUUUUUUUUUUUCCCCCCCACCCCCUUAAAAACAAUUAGAAAUUUGUUUCUUCCCGGGGGGGGUUUUUUANNNNNNNNNNNNNNNNNNNNNNNNNNNNNNNNNNNNNNNNNNNNNNNNNNNNNNNNNNNNNNNNNNNNNNNNNNNNNNNNNNNNNNNNNNNNNNNNNNNNGUUUGUGAUGCUCCACAUCGGAUAGAGGAGAAAGAUCUUGACGCUAUAUAUGUACAGAUUCUUUUUAACCUACUACAUGCGUUUUAAGCCAUGAGGGCCCAUUUGGCCCUAAAGCGGACAAUAUCUACACAGUUGGGAGUUGGUCAUUACAAAUGAUAUCAGAGCCGAUCCCCGACCCCGGUGUGGGGGUUUGUUUGGCUCCCUACGGGGUGUUUGUUUGUUUGACCACGCAAUCCCAUGAGACACCCUGAGAAUGUUGUAUCUGCAUGGGGGGUGUUUGUGAUGUCUCAUGUUGGAUAGGGAAGAAAGAUCUUGACGCUAUAUAUGUAGAGACUCGUCUUAACCAAGUAGACGCGUUUUAAAACUGUUAGGGCCCCUUUGGGCCCAAAAUGGACAAUAUCUACAUGGCUGGGUGCGGGUCGUUAUAUUUUCUCUAAAAAUAUUUUUAAGUAAAAUGUUUUCUCUAAAAAAAAAAAUUUAAUAAGUAAUUCUUUAAUAAACAAUUCUACCAAAAAAUUUUCAAGUGUACUCUAGAGCACUUUUAAAAUAAAAUAUUUUAAUAAAAAAGUUUUAAAUUGCAUUUGACAAUGCUUUUCAUUGAAAUACUUAUAAUAAAAUCAUUUUCUCUAAAAAUAUUUUUAGAUAUUUUUAUAUAGAAUUCAUGGAAAUUAGAUAUAUCUCUCAAUUUGUUUUAUUUGUUUAUUUUUACGAUAGGGGUGAUGCUGACUUUUAAAAGAGGUUGUGUUGUUAAUAAAAUAAUAAAUUAAAUAAGUGAAGGCUGGAAGGUUGGAAGAGGAUGUGUUGUUCAAAUAAUAGAACAAUAGAAAGGAUUGUAAUGGCUCACAUGGGUUGAAGUGAGUGAAAUAAUUCAUUGAUAGUGAGAUUUGGUGGUGGCGGCUCCAUUGAAGCCAAAAAUGAUGAUGGUGAUGUGAUCUUGAUCUUCAUAAUAAAAAUAGAAUGAUAUUUUAGUUAAAAAUAAAAAAUAAAAAAUAAGGCAUUUCAUGAAGACAAAUAAUAAUAAUAAUAAUAAUAAUGUUAAUACAAAUAAUUUUUAUUUAUGUUUAUGUUGGGUGUGGAUCAAAUCUUUGAGAGGCUUCUUUCAAGGUAAAUCAUUUUAUAAUUUGUUAUUUGCUUCAAUUUAUAAAAUAAAUCAAAUAAUAUUUUUUUGAAGUAUACAUUUCUCGGUUUACAAAAAUAAAUUGAGAAUAUCAUAUGACUUGUUCGUGGUCUUGGUCCAUAGAUGAUAAAUUGUUGACUUUCUUUAUUCUUGAUAAGGUAGUGAUAUAGAGUAAAAAAACAUUAUAAUGCUAUUUUUCACCAUAUAUUGUAUAAUAAAAAUAAUAAUUUUUGAAAAAAAAAUCAUAUAUCAAUUAAUUAUUUAGAAAUAACUUCAAAUAAAUUUUUAAAAUUUUAAAAAUAAUUUUAUUUUUCAAAUAUCUAAUUUAAAAAAAUUACUUUUAACCUAUCAAAAUUACUCCAAAUGGACUCAUAUAAAAAUAUAUUUUACAUAAAGUUAUUAUAUAGUCAAAUCAUAUUUAAAUCUAGUAAAGUUUUUCACAUGAUACCUAUAUGGUUGGGGUUGCUUUUCCAAUUAGUUUUGAUUUUCCCACAAGUAAAGUUAAGUGAACAUGAUCCAAUCAUAAGAAAAUUAAUUUUCAUUGAAAUUAAAUUAAAUUAUUGAAAUUUUAUAAAAUAUAAGAAAAUAAUAUGGUUUCUCUAAAAAGGAAUUUUUUUUUAGUAUUUUCCUUAAUUUUUUUUUUCAAAAAUUUUCAUGAAAAAAAAUUUGUUAACAUUUUUUGUCUUUUCUAUCUCUUAAAUAAAGUUAAGAAAAGUUUGAAAAUUGGCAUUAAAUAGUGCCAAUUUGAAUUUCUCUUAAAUUUUAUCAUAGGAAAGAUGGAUGGCAAGUUGGGAUUAAUUAGAAUGCGACUAUGAAGAUUUUUAGUUUGUAGUUAAUCUCAAUUUUAUGUCACAUUAUUAAUUAUUGUCUUAAGAUUAUUAUUUUAAUGAUAAGAUGAUAAUCUACUACAUAAGUCACGUAAUAAAUGAAUGAAAUUAAAAAAAAUGUUCAAAACAUUAUUAAUGUGAAUUAUUAUUCUUAAUUACAUAAUUUUUAUUCAACUGUCAAUGGUUUCUAUUUGUGAUUUUUAAUUUUUAAAUAUUAAUUUUAUAAUCUCAAUUUCAAUUAAAAUUAAUCUCAAUUAUAAUAUUCAUCAAAUGGAUCUAAUUAAUUAUGUUUUUUUUUAUUAUUAAAAUUAAGAAUAAGCGGCACAUAGAAUAUUCAUUUACCAAUUGGGGAUAGGAAUAUCCUCGACUCGUCCAAGAAAAGCCGAGCGUACGAUAUCCAGCUAUCCAAACAAUCCCUACUUUCUUCAUCACCCAAUUAAAGACCCAAACCAACAUAGCCCGCCGAUUCCAGAGCUCAGACCACAACCAAACACGCCAUAUCUGGGCACUACUGCCUGUUGCCAUUAAGGUUCCACUCCUUUCUUCUGUUUCUUCAUAUGCUAGGAUUUAUCGAAUCACUGAAAAAAUUAGGGUUCAGUCGUCACUUUCUAAUCACAUAGUACCAUCUGUUCGGUUGCUGAGAGAAUUGAGAAAAAGAAAAGAUAGUUUUCUUUGUGCCGUGUCCUGGAGAAAUAGUAAUCUGAAAUCAAAAUUUUGAUUUUCUUCUCACAUUUUCUCAGACACCCAAACGGAGCCGGGAUGGACGAUUGACUGGUUUUUUUGGUGGGCGGUUUAUUCUUCUGCGUUGGGCGCACUGUUCAAUUAUAAAAUUGCCAAGUGACCUGAUUGUUUUGAAGGCAAAUUCUAUUGAAUUAUAUAACGAAUGCUAGGUUUUUAUAUAUAUAAACGCGUGUUUGUGUGUGUGGAAGGAUUUUCUUGUUGAAUGUGUGAUUGUUUUGGUUGCUGGAUAUGUUCUACUAAAAAUUGUAUUUUAUGAGGGUUUUGGCCUAAAUCUGGAACCAUUGAUAAUGGCAACCAUUCCCUGUAAUGUCCUGAUGUUAUGCUGUCAAUUUGAAUUUGUUUCUGCUUUUAGAGAAUUCUUUUGAGCAAUAUAAUAUAGUUAUUUCUGAUGUACAUCUCUAUUUCACCCAUCUAAAAGCGCCUAAAUAGGAAUUUUUUUUUUUAAUUUUUAAUUUAAAUUUUAGAUAUUGUUAGCUUCUAUGAUUUGUACAUUGCAGGUGUUUCAUAAAUUUGGAUCUCUCUUUUUUAUUUGUAAUUAUGUUUCAGUCUAUAAUUUAUAUAUUCCAAAUCUUUGCAGUGUGGGUGUUUCUUCAUGGAGGGAGGAGACAACAUAUUAGAAGCAAUAUAUGAAGAGGAUGACUUAGAAGAUGUUGAGAUGCUUGAUAUAGAAGGAGAGCAUGUGGAUGUGGAAGAAGGAGAAUGUGUGGAUGUAGAAGGAGAGUUCAUGAAAGAGAAUUCACAAAGCAGUGGCCAAAUUGUGAAUACGGUGAAUCAAGAUGCUUGCAGUAAAAACCGCAGACGGAGGCAAAAUAAGAGGAAGAAUAAAAGGAAGAAGAGUGGUUCAGUGCCGAAAGUCACUGACAUAAACAGGUUCUAUUUUGUCAAAGAUUGUCAUGUUUUAUUUGUAGGAAAGGAAAAAGCUUUUGCUUGUUAUUAGUAUUAUAUUCUCUGCUUGCAACCAAUUACUUAUCAUGCAGGAAACCUGAAUUUACACAUUCCCUCUUGUGGAUUUUAGUUGAAAAUCUAAUUAAGUAUAGUGCAUUUAGUCAAUUUUUUAAAGUAAAGUAAUAUUUGUGUUGAGUUCACGAAUAAGAUACAAAGAAGAGAAGGUAGAAAGUUGAAGUGAAGUCAAAACUUGAAAUCGAACUUAGCAUAAGCCUUAUGCCAACCAUAUCUCAUCAUUUUACUACAUAGUUCAUAAGGCCAUAUUUAAUGUCAUGGGUCACAUGUCUUUUUUUCGUAGAUAAGAUAUACAUAACUUGUGCCAUGUUUUAUGGUAGACUAUCACAUCUUUUCUCAUAACCUCUAUCCACAUUCUUUUUGGCCUCUGGCCCUUGUUGUAUCCCCUUUCAAUUUAAGACAGAUCACUCAAUUCUGGUAGCUUGUGGUCUUUGUUCCAUAUUAUCAAAUCAUCUCUACUGAAUCUUUCUCAUCUAGUCCUUAUUAUUACCCAUAGAAGUCAAAGAUUCUAAUGAACUACUCUAUCUUUCCCUCCCAUCAGUAAUUUCAAAUUUGAAAUAUUUACUCUUUCUAUUGAGAAGGGAAAGGGAACUUGUGUGUGGUUCUGAGUUUCUUCUAAAUUAUGUUCUUUGCAGGUUUGUUUUAGAUACAUGCAAGCGUCUGAAGGAAAAGAAAUCAUACCUGGUCUGGACUGCUGUGGGUUGUCUUGGGGUAUCUGCAUUGAGUGAUCUUGUCAAAGAGGUAAUACUCUCAUCUAAUCUUGUGUUUAUGAGAGUGGGUGAAAAUAGAACUUUCUUGGCUUACUUUGUAUGCGAACCGAAAUGUCGUAGACUCCUAAAGGGAAGUUAAUGUGAUGGAUACUAACUACUAAGACCAUGAUGCGAUAUUCUAUUGACCAUGAUCAAAUUUAAUGAUACCCCUUUGGAUGUAAUUUGUUUUAUGGGCUAUAGUAUGAGCUUAAUGUUUCUACCACUUUUAAUUUUUGUUAGGAGGAUAUUAUCAAGCAAAUAAAUCUGAUCUCAAAAUGGAUAGAAGAUAUCAUUCAGAUAAACCUCUUGCAUGUUAAAUGGCUGUUGAACUGGAUUAAAAAUGUAAGUGGAACUCUAGUUUACAAAUCCAUUCAUCUGCAUCAACAAUAAAUGCUACCGUUGUUUACAAAUCCAUUGGACAAACAUUGCGUUUGUCUCCAAGUUUGUGGCUGCUUUGUACUGCUUGUUAUCUCUUCUUGGAAGGAUGUGUUCUCAUGUUCAUGAUGUAGUUGUCUUUCCAUGUGAUGUUGUGAACUUGCAAUUACAUUCUAACAGGGAAGACAUACAAUUUAACUUCCUUGAAGUUGCUAAUUAUUUAAUUUUGUUGUGUUUGCCAAAAAUUCUAGAUUGGGAAAAUUCGAUUUUCCUGAUGCUUCAUCCUUCCAGUGACCCUAUAUUGCAGAUGCCAUUUUUGAAUCAUAUCUAAUAUGGGCUAUGGUUGUCUGUCUCAACGUGUCUUAUAAGAUGUCUGAAGGUACCUUCUUGUGCACAUAAGUUCGUGGCCAUUACAAUCCAGCUAUAUGCUUUAUUAGACCUUUGUGUGCUUCAUGAACUUCUCUCCAUCACCUAUUUCGUUAUAUAUAUAUAUAUAUAUAUUCCCUUUUUAACACCUUUAAGUUUGUUACUUGUAUCUGUCCUGACCUUCACUGGUACUCCUAAAGGUUGGUCUGAUCUCAUGAUCCCUCUGCCUCUUACUUCAUUCCUCCUAAUAUAGAAAAUAUGAGAAAUAAGUCGUCAUUUGUUUUGGUAUAGAAAAGUAAGAUUCAUUUGGUUCCUGCAAGUAAAGGUGAGAACUUGGGUUUGUAAUUGACUUUCGACCAGCCGAGAGCUGACAAUUCUUAUUCACUCUGUUUAACACCAUAGUGCCUUUCCUAAUUUCUGAUGCACAGUAUUGUUUCCCUACCCUUGCAGAUGUCUCUUGCAGGAGUCAUUUUUUACUGCUUCUGAUCCCGUGGAUCUCUGAGCUGAGAUUUCCCCUGGCUGAACUGCUUCAUUGUUUCCUGUUGGUGUAGGUUAAUUUCAAAUGGCUUGGUGCAUUCUUUUUUAGAGUUUUGGCACUUCAUACGAGUAUAUGUUCCUAUCAGAAAAAGGAUUAUGGAUAGGAAAAAGUAUCAUCUCAAUUUUCAUAGGAAAAUUCAUCCACAAAGUCUGGUCUUCAGAUAAAAGUAGACGAUUUCACAAAUUCAACCAUUAAAAUUGGAUUGGACAGACUCCAUCGUACUAAUUUGGAACAAAGGUUUUGCCCAUUUCCUACUGCCAAUUAAGGACCCUAUGUAAGAUAUAUAGUGUAAGUUCUCAUUAUAUUUUUAAUGCUAGUGUUGUCUCUUGGUCUUUUUUUUUUUUCCUAUUCCUUCUUAACUUCUGUUAAUUUACUUCUCCUGUUUCAAUCCUCCUAUUACCCUUCAAUUGGAGGUCUUCUUAAUUUUUCCAUUAUGUGCAAACACACUAAUCUUACAGAAUCAACAUACCUAUGGUCCAACAGAAAUCUUCUCUUAUGUAAUUGGUAGGAAUUAUUUUCAUGAUGUAUUACAUCAUAUGCUUAGAAACCAUAACUACGAAUUUACAUAAAUAUAUAUUUGUGCAAUGAUGUAAUGGUUAAUAACCGGUGAUAGAAUGAAAGUCAAACUUCUUUCAUUGAUAGCUAUGAAGAGUGCUGAUUGAUAUUAGUGUUUUACACAAAGCUCUGAUCCUAUGUAUAAUUGCAAGGGAAAGUAAUAUUUGUUAUAAAGCAUGUUUGCUAUAGUAACUUGUGUUAGAUGUUUGUAUGUUUUCACAUUUCAAGUAUGAGCUGUUGAUUCCUUUUGUCAAGAUGGAAUUUAAUUCAUUUUGAAAAUGUCCUACCCCUUGUGAUAUUCUCAAAAUGUAAGGUUAUUUUUGAAAUUUUAACACAUCUUUAAAUUCUUUAUUCUCUACUAGAUUCCUUUUACUGUUGGAAUAUCUGUGAUGCAACAUAAAACUUGCAGGUGGAUGCAAUUCAAGCUUGUGGAGGUCAGAUGACAGCUGAUGGCAAACGCUCUAGAACAGGGGGUGGCAUAUUAUGGAGCAUAAUCAAAGUACGGGAUCCUAAUGCCUACAAAGAAAUAAUGAAAAGAGGGAAGGAAUUUGAGGUGUGUAGCCAAUCAGUUUUUAGCAAUUAAUCAACAACUUUUAUGCUGCUGGUAUUCCAUGCAUAUCCACGUGUUAUAUUUAGAGCAUAUUUCUUAAUAGGAGAUUUGGACCCUGGAAAUAUUUCAGACUGGCCCCAUUGGUCAUGUUUGGAGCAAGCAGAUGAACAAUCCUGAUAGAGAGAACACUUUUAAGGCUCCAUUGGUAAUAGGGAAAAAAGAUGCUAGGAAAUGUCUUCAGAAACGUUCCCAUCUUGUUACAAAAUGCCGACCCUGAAAAUUAAUUGUACAUGCAUUUUACAAUAGCAUUGAGGCCUAUGCUUCCAAGUUUCAAUUUCCAUUGAAACAGUGGGAGACUAGUUCUGAUUGAAGAAACGCAGGAGUGCAGUACAUCCCUUAUUCAUCCUGCAUUUUGGAGUACUUCAAUUGUAAACAUGAACAUGAGUUCUGGGAAGUUCUGAGUGAGAUUUUCUUUUAUUUUCUUGUACUAUAGAAUGCUACCUCGGGAUAGAUUUCAAACCAUUCAAGCUGGUGUUGUCAGUUCACUGCUAUAAAACAAGGGUCAAGUAAAUUGGGAAAUAAUUCAGUGGAGCUUUGACCUAUCAACCUUGAAUGGCUCUAUGCUCAGUGCCUUAUCUCUUAGGUAUCUUACAUUCUUACUUUUGGCUUUACAUGAUAUUUGCCCCUCUAUUGAGGCUGCAAGUUAGUCUGGUCAUGCUAGGAAUACCCAUCAAUAAUUGGUCCAUCUCAAAGAAUUGAGUGGCCUCAUAUAUUAUAUGGUUGCUAGUCUAUUCUUCUGAUAAGUCUAUUUUACCUAACCCUUGUCCUAAAUAUUUGGGGCUUUACAUACCAAAACAACAUGGGGCAUUCCUUAUCAACAUGAACUAAUUUCAGUUUUGGGUAAAUAAAUCUGUUUUUCCUUUGUGCUUCAUCUGGGAUUAUAUAAGCAUAUUUUAGUUAAACGAUAAGCCAUUAUGUCUCUUUCACCCCCUUUAUCACUCUUAUUUUUUAUCAUUCCUGUCAUGCUUGUAGUUCCUUCAAGUUGAGCCACAAUGCCAUUCCAAAAACAGUGACACCUUAAGAAGCCAUUCCAACAAGGACAAAACCUUAAUCAUUAAUGGGUGUCAGUAGCAAAUUUUAUUUUGUAUUCUGCUCCAUGGGGACCCAUAUAUUUUGCCCACUUUAAGGUCUCUUUUCUGUUGUCUUCUCAGUGCCUCAAUUCAUGGAUUUCAAAGCUUUUUGCCAUCCUCAUGUUCCCAAAUUGCAUUACAUCAUACAUUUUAAUUUUCAACUUUCAAGUUGUAGAUUAUAAUUGCUGUUAUAUUAUUUACCAUUUGCAGAAGCAAUUCAGGCAACCAAACAGUAAGCAACCACCAGCGCAGAACAAAGAGGCAUCUUCUCAAAAUAUUGUCCAUACAUCCAUUGAUGAUACUGCAAUCAACGUUUCAGAUGGUUCCCAGCUUACACCUCCAGUCCAAGAUCAACUUGAACAACCUAAUGCUGGAGGAAACCGUGUCUCUGUUCAUAAUAGGAUGAGGGUACCUGUUACAUACGAUGACUUGCUUGUGGAGAAUCCCAAAGAUGAUUAAACGUGAUUUUUGGAGUGAAUUGGCUUGGGGUGGAUCCCAAAGAGGCUUUGUCAUUUCUUUGGAAGUUUCUUGACAGACCCUGAUGGCAGUGCAGAUACCUUUCUAAAGAAGAGAGAGCAUAUUUUUUCCUCUCUUUAAAGAGAUUAAGAUUUUGUCCUCUAGCUUUACAGCAAUAUAUUGGUUUGUUUUAAAAGAAUUCUUCUAGUGGCACUGUGGCUUUUCUGCUUCUAGUUCUCGAGUGCAGGACAUGUUGCAUUCGGGUGUUGGAGCUGCGGGAAGAAACCCCAUCUAGCAAUCAGUUCUUUGUUUUGAUGUUGGAUGGGGAGGUGGGUUUUGUUGGGACUCGGGAGAGAUGUGGGAAUUUCUGAUUUAAGAUUAAUCAGUUGCAGUUAUUCCUUCUUAUGAAGUGUUUCUUAAAGAAGACUUAGGUCCAAAAACUUACUUGAAAAAUCACUUAUUCAAAAUAUAUUGACCUGGCUAGAAAAGCUUCAAAGCUCUGUCUCUGUACCCAAGAAUUGAAUUCAAAUUGUUAACAAAAAUUUCUUAUGAUCUCCUAGUUUUUCAGCCAGGAAGCCUUUCCAAGUUGUGGACAAGGUUUAUAUCAAGACAUGAUGUGGUACACAUCUAUGGAGGUGCAUGGCAUGCUAAAAUUUAGGACUGAUUUUGAGAAAGUGUUGUAGUGUUUUUUUUAUUUGAUAAAAUCACUUUUUUCAAGCAAUAAUUUUUUUGUUAUAUAAUAUAUUUAUCAAAACAUUUCUUUUUUAUUAUUUAUAUUCAAGUACUAAUUGAUUCUCUUUAAAAGAAUUUCUCCAAUUAACGAGCAAUCAACAAAAUACUGUAAAUAAAAGCACUUUAACCAAAAUCACUCCGGAUUGGGUUUUACAUCCUAAUCUAUACAUUGGUGCCUUCUUUUCAGUCAUAUCUUCAGCGCCUGCAUCAUUGAGAUAACUUCAAUGCCCAAAUUAUUAUCAAUUUUGCUUUUCUCCUUUCCUGACUAUUGCAGUGAAAAAGAGAGGAAAUCCUCAACUGGGAGGGUUGCAGGCUUGAAGCACUUGCUGCCUCUUCUGCAAGAAGAGGCAGACCACAGUGCAGUCAUCCACCUUUGAAGAAGGGAACUUGUGCUUCCAUGCAGCAGUGGCCGCAUCCACCACUGCUUUCGCCGCCUCCUCUUCACUCUCUGCUGACCAAACUAUCCCUGCAACUUGGCUGUUACUCAGCACAUCCCACACCUGAAUCAAAACAGAGUAUGAAAAUGAUCAACAUCCUUCCCAAGAGUUAACACAAUCGUUAUUUUGUUCAUGAUUCUAGAGGUGAUAUUUCAAUGAAGUUGGCCUUACCCCAUCAGUUGCUAGAACAAGAAACUGGUCAUUGGAAGCUAGACGGCGAUAUGAGAUAUCAGGGAUGGCGAUUAUGCCAUGGUUCUUGAGCAGGAAGUCUCCAAAAGCUCGAGACAUGGCUAGGCCAGGUGAGUCCUCAUUGGGCAACCACACGCGCUGAAUGUGCGGCUCUUCCUUCAGCGAGAUCACUCUGCCAUUGCAUUUCCUUAUUCGGUCUGCCUCCACUGCAUUGCCAGUGAUAUAGUUUCUAAGAAAUAUGAGAACAAAAGAUGGGAAUUGCCCAGAAGAUAAGCUUAAUCAAAGAUCUUACUGGGCAAGCCAGGCUUCAAAUCAGUAGUUAACUGAACAGCAGUGACUCCAUUCUCAGUAAUUGUCCCUAAAACUGCUCUUGAAUCGCCAAGAUUAGCUAUAACAAGAUCGUCUCCCUGAAAAAAAGUUGAAGUGAAUUGAGUUAUUUAUUUGAGAAAUGAUUUGUUCAAUUCACUUUCUUUGUUUUUUUUUUACCUGUUUUACUAUGACUACAGCAGUGGUUCCACUGCAAGAGCAGUCCAAAUCCUCUUGAAGCUUAAUCUCCUUGUCCAUCACCUUGAAAGCUCCAACACAAGCCUCUUGCCAUUUCCUGAAAAUCUUGUUUGGCAUCACCAUGCCAUCUCUUCUUUCCUUUUGAGUAUGCAAAUCUUCACCCUUCAUUGCAGUAUUCGCUUUUAAGAGCGCGUUCUUUUGGUUUAGCAGCAAUGAUGGUAAGUGGUUUCUCACAAUUUUGCUCACUAUGUGACCAUUCUUUCCAUGGCCGUCAAAAACUCCACAGAAAGCUCCAUCUUCCAUUCCAUAGCCCUUGCAGAAGAAAAAAAAAAGUUUGAAAACAACUAUACUAUAUACGCCUCUCAACAUGAAGAAUACUCUGGAUUAUAUCAGUAAAAUUCAUAGAAGAACAAGCUUUGAUCAUCAUUUUCCAAAAGAAGACAAAAAAGAUGGAACAUAUCAACUAACCUGAUGGAGGAUGGCAGCAUCUUGGUUUAGUCCUUUGCUUCCUGGCUGAGAAUGAAGAGAGCCAAGCCUCUGAAUUCCUAUAGAAGCAGUGGAAUCUUCAAAGAAUACCAUAUUCUCAUGGCCAUCUCCAGAGUCUUGAAUCUCUGAAGAUACAGUGGAUAUGCAGAUUCCCAUCUCAGCUGACAAAACACCAAGUUUUAAAAUCCAAGUCUCCUCAAGCAUAAAUUUAAAGACCCCAAAAUCCUAUAUUAUAUGCAGAAGUGGCUCCCAGUGUGCUCAAAAUAACACCUUGGUUCAAUAAUUCACUGUUUUUUUUAAUGUUGGGUAUUAUUCUAGGCUACCUAAAGGGCAUAUGAGGUGUACCCAUGUAGGAUUAACUCUUCAAAAACAACUAUUUUCAUUGAUUCAAACUAAAUGCUGCAUCUAAUUUACGAGGGCCAUAAAAUUCAAAUAAUUCAAACUUACUGUUCCUUUUUUUCUUUUUUCUCUUUCGUUAGGUGAAAUAGUGAUUGAAAUGUGUGAACAGUGGCAAAGCAGGUAAUUGCAAAUGGGUGUUUGGGCCCUAGGAAAAAAGAAAAGAAAAGAAAAGGAAAGGAAAAAAAGGAGGGUUGACCCUUGAUGCAGGUUGAUGCUUACUUUACAGGCAAGGGAGAUAGGAAAAGUGGCAAUUCCAAUUGGGUGAGAGUCCCUUAACAGUUUGGACAAAACCAUGAAAAGAUGCAACCAGUGGGUCAAGCAUUACAAAUAAUUUAUUAGUAAUCAUAGUGUGAUUAAGGGUUUAUAAAUGGGGAUUAGACCCACAUUCAAUCCAUCCCCACCUAUUAAAGUCUAAAGCUGACAAGUCAAUCAAAUGAUCCUGACCAUAAAACAAGUGGACUUUUUUUGGGUGAUUAGGAUCCUUCUGUAUAGGUUCUGACUUUUCCCAUAUCUGUGGGGCUUCUUAAGAUAGUCCCAUUUACUAUAGAAUAUGUAAGUUCUAUAGUAUGAAGGAAAAUAUUUUGGGAAGAAAGCAAAUGGGAGUAUAAGAAAAGACUCUUUCAAAAUGAAAAACUUUAGCCGCUCAUGAAAGGGCAGUAGUGCUGAAAAAUACUCAAAAACUAUGCCAUCAACAGAAGUGAUGAUGCCCUUGUCAUUUUCAAGAAAUGAUUAUUAAAAGGCAACCCAUUUGAUUGGAGUUCUAAGAUAUUUUUCUGACUUCAUAUGGCUCUUGGGCCUGCAACAAAACCAUUGACUGCAUUUACAUUUUCCUUUCUUCAAACUCCCUUGAAUCCAACUGAUUCCAUUAUUUUGAAUCAAUAAUUGAACCCAAUACUUUUAAUAUUUUGAUUCAAAUAUAGGUAUUUGAUUCUUUAAUCAAUCGAGUAUUAACAAAGGGCUGUGGCAUAGAAGAGUUGAAAAUGAGCAGUUGUGGCUGAUAAGCACUACACAAGAUAUGGGAAAAGUAUUGAGUUAGACUGAUUCAUGUAUCAAAGCACUUUAAUGGAUGAAAAGCUCUGGAUUUAUCCAAAAUUUUGAAGUAAUAUGCUUUAGGAGGAUGCUGAGGUGGAUCGCAAUCCCCAUUUUCUUGCUCCUCCAGCUCAUCAGUCCCCGCAUUUUUAAAAAAUUUGUAACACACCCAGCCCUAAUUCUUAUUCGUCAACACUCAGAUUUGUUCAAUGAAUUCAAAUAAUUUUUGCCACCCUGUAUAAUUCAAACCCUUUUCUUUUUUGUAUAAGUGUAAGACCUUAUCAAGAAUUACAUCUAGAUGAUUAUAUUUUUAAUGGGUUUCCAAUUAUAAACAUAAAUUAUUGUUCAGUGCAUGGAAAUUAUCCACCUGAAGCUUCAGAAAUCAAAGGGAAUAUUAAUCACUAGAUACUAUAAAAACAAAUAAAAUGAUAAACAUUUUUCACUCUGGAUUGGGCACUCAACAAAGAAUUCAUAAUGAUGCAUCAUCCUUUUUUUUCUGAGCCAUUUUCCAGGAUGUACUUUCCCAUUCCCCAAACACCAGCUUAAGAUGAAAAUACAGUAUGGAAUGUUGAGAGCUUUUAAGUUUUGUUACACAUUUCAAGGACCCAAAGAAUAAUACUUCCACAAUUUAUACAGAAAGGUGGGUGCAAAUUUGGAAAUUCUCAUUGAACUACAGAUGCAUAUUAACUUCUUUCUGUAAAACCCCAAAAGCAUACACAUAAAAAUUAAAAGACCAAAAGCAACAUAAACACACUUUAAUUUCUUAGAGACUCAUUUGCUGGAUACAGGCACACUUUCUUCAGCUGGGGUGGAGUCAGCUGCAGGCAACUUCUUUGCGAGGGACUUGGGUAUGUCAACGUCGUCUUGUUGACAACGUUGCUGGGGGUGUGAUAAUAGAACACACAUAUAACGGAAGAGGACACGUGUUAGCCCCUGCCCGCUCUCAUGGAUGUAGCCCUCAUACUCACUGACAUGUUCAAGGGCAUCCACAAGUGCAUCAUAGACCUUUUGUGGGCAGUUCUCAGGACCAGGCUUGUCAUGGAGAUAAACCACGUCCAAAGUGAAGAGUUUCUGGUUGGCAGGCCAUUGAUGCUGAGGAGGAGCAGAAGAUCUGCAGUAGAUUAAGAUCUGUACAUGGAAGAAUAUUGUAGUGUCAUAUUUUUAAGGAUGAAGUAGGAAAUAUGCAAAUGGAAGCCACAAGAAAAGGAACAUUCCAUUAUGUUUUCUACAGAAUUUGGAUUCACAAAUUCAUUGCACAAAAUGAUGUCAACAUCACAUGGAGCAAAAAUGGGAGCCACCACCAACGAGUACUUCAAAAUCCAGAAAUAAAAAAAUUGAUAAAAAAUAAGAAUGAUCUUUUUACUUAAAUAAACCACAUGAUAAAUAGGCAAAAAUAUUUCGACCUUACCCAGGAUGCAAGCCAAAAGCUCGUUAUUGGUGCCAUAAAAAUUUAUUAAAAAAUGAAAUGUUUUAAUUUCAUGUGGCUUUCCUUACACCUUCUGGUCAAACAUUAGCUUUGAACAUUUCUUCAGUGACCACUCAUAGAAACCAUAUUUUAGAGAGCUACCUCAUAGAAGCUCAGAAUAACUUCUUCCCUUCUCCAUACUCCUUCCUCCUCACUACCCCAAAAAUAUAUAUAUGGCAAAAGGUAAUAUUAUUAACAACAACUAAUUAAAAUGGGGAGCACAAAGGUACAUAGGUAAGGUGUCAAAAAGGCAAAAUAGAUAGAGAGAGGUUAACAAAAAACACAUUUCCCACAUCAAAAAGAGCUCAACCAAUAACAAAAUCUGGAAUAGACAUAGAGGCACCGUCUAAUUACUUUCUAGCCCAAAGCUAAAGAGCACAUGGGAAAGAGUUUUUGAGCCCUUGAUCCGAUUGUUCUACCCCAAAAAUAAAUAUAUUAAUACUAGUUCCCACCAGGUGGCAGCCUGAACCUAGUGGCUAGAAAUAAGAAAAUGUGCUUUUCUUUCAUAAUGGAUAAGUGUGCAUGGACAUGCAUGUGCCACUGCACCUGUUAAUGCAAAUUCAUGCUAGUCCUUCAAUCAUGAAUUGUGCUAUGAACAUGUGUUUCACCAUAUUGAAUCUAUGUUAGCCCAAGCCACACUUGUCACUGUGUUAUGUAACACUAUCAAGCAAUCUAUAUGAAUUCUAGUACUGGUGUUUGAGUUCUCCGUUUUAUAAGCAACUUCCACUUUGAGUAAAUUAUUUUCAAUGUUUUGAGUUUGAGCAUUUGCAUGCAAAAUUCAUGGAACAUGAACACAGAAUAAUAAAGCACGUUAUUUUUAUGAAGAAUACAACAAUUGGAGAUGGUCUUAAAAUCACCAGGGUGGACAGACGAGCCUAUAACAUCUAAGGGAAGUAGGUCCCCUUUUAAUUUGUAGUUUGGAUAGUUCCUGAAGAAAGGAGUUCCCCUACCUGCUAGAGUCAUUCUGAUACACACUUUUGAAACAAACAAAGGUGGACUCUUUGGUAACCAUCCAAAUAGGUGCCAGGCAUUGGGUGGACUCUUUGGUGAGAGUUCAAAUAGGAGCUGAACAUGAUGGACAUGGGCAUCCUUUGUUGACAAGUAUUCAACACACCAAUCAUUGAUUGGGAGAAUUAUUACAGUUCAUUUGGACCUUGAAAAGUUUGUAGGAAAGAAAGGGAAAAAAUUUAUAAAAAAAAAAAAAAGAAAUCAAGGAGAAUAAGAAAUAAGUUUGAAGUAAAUAAAAUUCUCACAAGCUUCUCCAAAUUUAUUUCCCUUUUUUUCUCCUCUUCUAUACCAAAGAAUGAAGAAUUUCAAAAGAUAUAUAAACUCCUAAAUAAUUUUCAUUAUAUUUUAUUUUUCUUCGUAUUUUCCAACAAGAGAUGCAAGAUUCCUUCCUACUCCUUUUCCUUUUCCUAGUUCUUUAUGUGACCCAAAUGGAGCCUUGGAAAGCUGAUAAUAUUUCAAGCCUCUAGUUGAGAUGCAGCCUAAACAUAACACUUCAACUACUUUUUAAAAAAAAAUAGGUAACAUAACACUUUAACUACUGUUCACAAACAUUCCAUAAAUACCAAAUACCUGCCUUGGUAUGAAUGUUUUGAUACUAUAUUAGAUAUGUGUUUGAAAUUAGUUGCUAGAUACAAUGUCAAAUAAAGCAGCUUCUGGGUUAAACUACUAGUCUAAGCAUGUUAGGGUUUGAGAUAUUACAUUCUGCAACUCAUAUCCCCCAGCACUGGAUGGGUUAGCAAUAAUUACUUCGGGAUGAAAAGUAAUAAUUUUUUUUGUAUCACUUCAGUCAAAUAAAUCAGUUCCUAAUUGUACAACAAAAGCCAUUCCAUACUUAUUCAAAAAGGUACUCCAUGUAUGAUUUGCUACUACCAUAGGAUUUCAUUACCUCAAAGACAUAGCUAUAGAAUUUAGAAAUGUGCUCAGGGAGAAUAAGACACCGCUCACUAUCAGGCCCAGUACUGUUCACUGUCUAAGUUACAAUGUUACCUAGAGAACAAGGAAAAAUAAACAAAAGGCAUACCAUAGAGAACCAAUUGGGAGAAGAAAUACUCCAAACCAUUCUCUACUACCACUCUCAAAUACAGCUGUAUCACAAGCAAAGAUGCAAUAGAUAAAUGAAAAAAAUUUCUCAAUGUAGAAAUAAGUAAAUAACUGUAUAAGCAAAUAAAUAUAAAAGUAACUGAGUGAAUUGAAGCUUUGCUUACCACCCUGAAAAUCCGAUUUUGUGCACGAGAUUUCUUUGCUUCAUGAGCUGCUACCCGGAAUAACUGGGUCAGAUCUGCAUUACCACAAGAGCCAUCAACUGACAGACCCCGAAGUGCAGCAAUUGCAGAAUCAACUUCACUGCUAAACUCUCUCUGAAGCUUCAAAAUAUUGAAGAAGAAACAAGACACCUCUGAAUUAAUAGCAAUUAACAGCCCUUAACGAAGAAGAAGGAAAUAGCUUAGUUAUUCAAGCAAGAUCCCCAGAGUUCCUAAACGUGAUUUAUGCAUUAAAUUCACAAAAUAUUAAAAUUAAUGCAGUUUCAAAAUGCAUUUUCACAGAGCACACUUUGUGCCAUAGGUGUGUUAUGCCCUUCUGAAAUGAAGCCCAUGGGCAAUUGAUAUUUGAGAAUUGCAGAAAUGUGAUUGAUUAGAAUUUUUCUUUAUCAAUCUUAUUGAAUUAGAAUCAAGCGUUAGGCUAGGCCAGAGAGAAACUCAAGAUUCGAAUAAUGUAUGAGUACAAAAGUUUUCUGUCUUCGUCAAGAAGAACAUCAAGUUUUAGGUGGAUAAGAACAUUAUAAAUAGUCAAACAACACAGAACACAAGUUCAAGAGCCCUGGUCAUAAUUAAUAACAUGCGAAUCAAAGGAAAAUCAAAGUUCAAUCCAAAGUAGACAUAUGGAACCUAACAAAAGACAGACUCUAAGCUAUGGUUGAUACGGCCACCCUAGAAUUGAGCAUGGUACGGAUAUUCCAAGAUUAAUACAACAUAAAUACAAAAAAAAAAAAGGGGUUCUUUUCUUUUCCUUAGUUUUCUCAAAAACCAAGGAUUGGCAUAUGGGCAAAAUAAAUGGAAAUGGGAAGUACCCAAAAGCAGAUUCAUCCAGGCAGGAUAAGAAGUUCCUUUCUUUCUUUCUUUUGGUGGUAGAGAUCCGAAAUUUCACUCCUAUUACUUUCUUCAUUUUCUCACCAACCAAACAGACCAGAAACCAGAAAUAGAGGGGAAACGAGAGCAACCCAUGAAGCCUAAUUUCCAAAAAUCAACAACGCCGAAGUGAAUCGUUCAAAAAGAAAAAAAAACCCCAGAGUCAAUUUUGAAAAAAUAAAAAAAGGAGAGAGAGAGACAAAUACCCAAGAAGCGGUUUUGCCCAGAGCAGCAAAGGCGAAGCGGUGAUCAGAGUUGAUGGCGAGCUUGGAAUGGACGAAGAGAAGAAUAGCUUGCUUGAUAGAAUCCAUUCUGGUGAUGGGUCUCCCCUUGGAUCCCGUCACCUUCAUCUCCACCAUGGAUUCAGCGUCGACAUCGAUGCAGAAGAGUAUGUCUUCGUUGAACAACUGUGAGGGUUUCAGAACGUAGGCAAGUGUUGAAGAGCUUUGAGCCUCCAUGCCCUCCAUUUUCUUCUCAUCGAUUUUCCCACGACUUCCACCCUGCGGAUUUGGCUUCUGCGCCAUUUCCCCCUGCGCUCUCCUCCGGACCCCUCUAAUGAUUCUUCUCAGCGUCAUGGUUUAUCCUUCUGUUAUUUAUGUAUUUAUUGGAAUUACUCCAUGAUUUCCUUUUAAAUUAUUUUCAAUAAUUGAGAAUUUUUUUCGCAGAAGAAAAAAAUAAUAAUUAUUUUCCUUGAAUAUGGAAUUAGGGUUUAAUAGAACUAUAUUUAUAGCAAUAAGCAUCUGCCAAAUACUAUCAUAAUAAUUUUUUAAUAACAUUUUUUUUAAUUUAUAUAUGAAUAUUAAUGUUUCACCUUCAGAGGUAAAAAAAUAAAGUGUAUUAAUCAAAAUCAUUUAUGAACAAGAAAGUAUUAAGAAAAAAUAAAUAAAUAUUAAGAAAAAUAAUUUUAUUAUAUUUAGUUUUAUUUUUAAAUUAUAAAAAAUAAAAUAUAAUUAAAAGUAAUUUUAAAAUAAUAUAUAAAAAUAAUUUAUUUAUUUAUUCUUCCAUUUUUCUUAUAUACGUAUAGUUUUAAAUACUUACUGUCCAAACAAAAAGAAUGGUAACUUGGCUGCCAAUCACUCCUUUAGGCUUCCAAUGGAACGAUGCGUUUUGAAAGGACAAUUGUUCUAGAAAGUAAAAAGCGAAGGCGUCUGUUGGCUCCUCUUCCAAGCAAUUUUCUAGGCUCGUCUUUUUUUUGUUCUUCUGCUGUGUAAUUCUUUAUCAAUGGCUUGCUUACACGACCACAGCUGUGAAGAUCACGAUUGUGCCGCUGAUUGGUCUCUCUACAAACAUAUAGACCUCUCUAAGGUGAAUUUCCAUCUCUUAUAUUCCAUUAAUUUAUUUUUUUAUUUUCCUUUUUAUAAAUUGUAAAUGGUAGUGAACUGCUCACUGUAUUGUGAUAGGAUUUGAUUUGUUUUGAAGAACCCAUUCUGAUUACUGCGACAUAAACCCUUGGGCUGAAUUUCAUUUUUAUGCAUUAAUAUCAAUGUUCUGACGUGCCCAGAUGAGUAAUUUGUAUUUUGACAACAACCCAUUUGCAUAAAUUGGAAAUCUGAACCUUGAGAUGCUUGGCUUCUGUUUGUUGCUGUGUUUUUAAGGGGUUCCCUGAUUGUUAUUUCAUUAGUGUUAUGUUUGUUGGGAACUCAGUCUUGUUGAUCGGUAAAGGGGAGAAAGUGGGUGUCUGCGCCUCCGCCUUUGCUAUUUCUGAUUUUCUGCAAUAUACCUGAUGCUCUUUGUAUUUCCACAAAAUUUGUAUAUCAAGUUGUUAAUGUUCCAAAUCUAAAAUGUGGGAACUCAUGAACUGCUACUGCUUUAUAUCUUUGAUUAGUAUAAAAGUUUUACUCCUCUUGGCUACUUUGAAUUUGGGCUUACCAUGUUUAGUGUGCGAUCUCUUUAGGAAGUCCAUAGAUUGUAAUAGAAUAUCCCAUUAUUUGUUAGUUACUUGAUUAAUGUCGUUUUUGUGUUAUUUCUUUUGUGGCCUUGCCAUUUUGUGCCCGUUGUAUAUGUCCUAUGUAUUCUAGUGUACUGUUUUCUUUUGCUGUAUAUAUACAACCUCUCUUGCCUAUCAACAAAAAAUUGUUAGUAAUUUAAUGAGUAUCCUCUAUUCAGCCCAUCAUAUUGGCUUGGUCAAGUUUUUGUAGUUAGCAUCGUCUUUAGAGUUGUUAAGGUGAAAGCUUUUGCAUGGCUUUGUUGGCUUGGUUAUGUUGAGUAAAUUGGUGACAAAGGAGGCAAUGGUGAGGAUGUUAUUUUCAUGGAAUGGGAAGGGUGGUCCUAGCCUCCUAGGGUUUUAACUCCUGCCUUUUAUGUCGUUGAGAAUUGAGAAACAGUAACAGAUUACUUACCAUAGAUCUAUUUUUGCUUUGAGGUGGUUUCAAGACAAAGGUUAACUCGAGGAAAAGUAAAACAGUGCUAGUUGUGGACUGAACAAGACUAGCCUUUUGAAAUCCGGUGUGGGAUGACUUCUGGUUUUCUUCCUUCACCCUAACUUUUGGUGUUCCUCUGGGAUCUUUAUUGCUAAUGCUCUGAGAUAAAUUUACUCAAGUGGGCGAACUAAUUUUGGUAUGGGUAGGAAUAUCUGAGACAUGUGCUUUGGAACUUACAUUAUGAGCACCUGACCAGGAAGUUAUGGUGGCAAAUUAUUCAUUUAUCUGGUUGAGGUGAUGCAGUAGGAUCCUGGAUUUAUGAGGUUACUUCAUGAUUGCAUACUAAGACUGAGUGCAGAGUUCUUCAAGAAAUUCUAUUAGGUCCAAUUUAGGAUUGACAUGACUAAAUGAAGAAAUAGCAAUGGGAGGUUAUUGCUGAAAUCCUUUUCUAAUGUAUAAUAGUGAGAAUGGAAAGUCUUCUUUUAGAAGGAGGAUGUGACACUCUUUUGUCCUCUGCAUGGUGGCUGGUUGUCACUAUGCAGGAAAAAACUCGAAUGGCUGAUCAUUCAGUGCAUAGAAACUGGGUGGUUCUAUAUCUUUUGUCAUUUAUAAGGAGGAUGCAAACUGAGGGGAUCAUCUUUUAAUAAGUUGCAAAAUGGCCCAGGACAUUGUAACAUUCAAGGAAAAAAAUAUGGGAUGUUACAAGAAAUAAUUAUGGGAUCUUUUCAAUGGGUCAUUUGAUCUGGAGAACAAGCCUGUGGCAAGAUUGCCUAAGUCUCUUUGUCCCACAUAGGAAAUAGAUGAGCGAUAAAAAGGAGUUUUUAUUGAAUCUCACUUUCUAAGCCUCAUGGACUUAUGGAGAGAAAGUGGAGGCCCAUGUGAGAGGAAUUUUGGGGGCCUGAUUCAGAAAAUAUUUCACUGGGCAGGAAUUCUCUGAUUAAUGAAUGAUUUUGUUGCCGUAUCUACUAAUGAAAUCUAACAAGACAUGAAUAUUUCCAUGUGUGUUCUUGUGCAUUUUGUUUUUAACUUUGUUUUCUUUCUUCAGUUAAUGAUAUAUGUUAGUGGGUUCUUGUUUGUUUGUCGAGAAAAUUCUAUGUCUAUUGACUAGUUAUUUGCCUAUAUUUUCCAUUGUCAUACAUCAACUUUUCUAUCCGAGGAUUUACAGGUAUCUGCUUUAAAUGAGGCUGUGCCAGGAAGUGUUAAGUCAGUUUUUAAAGCUUGGGAGCAGCGUUUGAAUUCUUCAGAGGUAGGUUUAGUGUGUGGAGCAUGCCUUUCCCUUAUCUAUUUAGAGACAGUCUGCUUUUCAAUCCUCAUUUUUUUAUAUGUUAAUUAAUUUAUGAUAUAAUUUUUUGAUAUAACUCAUUUACUACUUUUACAACUAUGAACAACACAACAAUUUUUUAUUCCAAAAAUAAAUUCUGGGGUCCAAAAUUGUUGGUGUAUGGUAUCAAUUCUUUUGCAAUAAGGGAAUACCAAUUUUAGCAUGCCUGGUUUAUUUGAUGGAAAUUUUGGAGGUCUCGAGGUGUUUGAAGUAUGAUCCUCUUUGUUGUAACAGGGACAUUUAGAAAGCAAUGAUGGCGACCCUGAAUUACUUGUUUUCAUCCCGUAAGUGGUAACUUCUGUUGUUUUUAGAGGCUGCUAUUUCCUUAGCAUGAAAAAGGUAAUUUUAGAAUAGCCUAGAACCUAAUAACAAAAUCCAAGAUCUUCCAUGAAAUUUUGGCUUUCUCUAAAGUGAUAUCAGAUUGUAGUCACUAGACAGUCCAUCAUUUAAGGCUUAUGAUUUUGUAUCUCUACUUUUUCUCUCAAUAUAUUUAUUUUCUACCAAAAGUAUGCUGCUCAUAGAGCAUGGUUUGACUAGUUAAGCAAAAGAUUAAGAAAUUAACCUUGUGAUGAAUGUCAUAAGGUUUUUCUCUCUUUCAUUAACGCUUUUGAUUUCAUAUUUUAUCUGUUAUUUUAAUAUAUUGGUGGUACCCUUCCCUUGGAAAAUCAGAUAUUGCUUUAUGCUUGUGCAGGCCAUACUCUCAAAUUAAUUUCCCCUUCAUUGCAUUGCUUUACUGCCAAUAUUUUUCAUUUCUAAUUGGAUGUGAUAUGUAUCUUGUCAUGCUUGAUGAAAAUCAUGUGAAUCAUUUCAUCCUUAUGAAAUUUGUCUGGUUGUAAUGUUGCAUUUGGUAAACUCAGAAUUUUGUUAUCCUCUUGGUUAUUUGUUUACCAACAUCCGAAAAAGUGUUUUUAGUGUGGUUGUAUACCCUAACUCUUGGACAAAGGGAAAUAAAUUCCUGAAUAACUAAUGUUCAUUUGUAUUUGUUAAUUUGUUGGUGUUACUAUCUUUUUAUUUUUAUUGUUUUUUUUUUUCCUAGAGGGGUGAAAAAGUGUUCUGAUUUAUUUGCUGGAAUUAAUUGUGAUAGGUUUACAUCAGAUGUUAAGAUCAAAAGUAUUUCAGUUGUUGGUGGUGCUGAUGGAACAAGUCCUUGCAAGAUGAGAGCGUAAGUUUGUCCUUCUGAACCCAUGGAAUUAUUAUAACAGUGAGCUUGUUUUUUAUUCGGGAUUCCUCACAUAAAGAGGGAACUUGAUAAUGUUUCUUUGACCAGCUGUAUAUAGUUCAUUGUUUUUCCUUCCAAAUAAAAAGGGGGGAAAAAAACUAAGUCUGUCCUGUUGAAAUUCAGGUUCAUUAAUCGAGAUGGGAUUGAUUUUUCAGAUGCUCAAAGUAUGCAAUCUAUUCAGGUAUUACCUGAUCUUAGCUUGUCAGAGAGUUUGGACAUAAUUUUUAAGACCUAUAUGAAGCAUUUGUUUGUUUUGCCUCAAGGAGUGGGAUUUGGCUGAGAAUUUGCAAGGAAUGCUAGAAUACCAGACACGGUAAUAUUCCUCAUCUUCAAUUCUAGUUGACGUAACAAAAUGCUAUUGGUUAUGAAUAGAUUAUUUUGAUCGAUAUGGAAUUUUUUUAGUUCUCAUUGCUGCCAGUGAUAUUAAUUUGAUCACUUUUACAACAAACGCUUGCUCUCAGCAGUGUGAUAAAAUGGAAGGUUGUGUAAGGGAGAGGAAUGAAGGCAGGUCUAAGCCUUGGGAAUAUGAUUGCUUAUCUGUACAGAUAUUACUGGGCUCUUCUCCCAUUUUGUACACAGUUGUUUUCUACUUUAUGACAUUGUAUCAAUCCAUUGAAUCAGGUAUUCUAGAUUUCAAGGUGUUGCAAGUCUCACUUUGCACUUCCCUGAGAACUUUGGUGGUGAGACAACUCAGAUACGCUAUAUUGGGUUGAAGGGUGAAGCCACCCAGGUAAUUUCAUUGCCAAAGAUAGGUUGCCAUGGUCGUGUUGUUGCUUCAAGUGAUGAUUUUCUUUUGAUAUGAAUUAACAGUUGAAGCGGGAUGUUGUUGCAACAAUCGUGUAUGAAAUUACUCCAAAUCCUUCUGAUCACAAGUAAGUCAUUGUUUGCCUUCAUGGGAUGGUUUUGAAUGUUCAGUUGCUCUUCAACAAUUGUUGAUUUGUGCUUAAACAUACAUUAGUUCUUUACAUCAUGCUUUUUUCAUGUCUUAUGCUUGCUAAAUUUAUGUCAGCACCUGCAUAAAUGCAUAACCUUUGGAUUUGACUAAUGUUGUUAUAAAAACUUUUGGAAGCUUGGGCCUGUUUGGUAAUUGUUCCUAAAAAUACAGUUUUCUAAUUUAGAAAACACAUCUGAUAAACUUUUGAUAGAAAAUCAUUUUUUGAUAACUUAUUCUGGAAACAAAUUGUUUUUUAAAAUAAAUUUAAGGUCUUUUCAGUUGCUUUUUGUAAAAUGUUUUAAUCAACAAUUGAAAAAAAUGAAGAAUACUCUCUAGAAACUUUUGCAUUAUACGUUAGUGUUAAAUACCCUUCAAAAUAAGCUUAGAAAAUUGUUUUCAUAUUUGAGUUCUCAAAUAGGAUUUUGUUCCUGAAAACAAUUUAAGAACUAUUUUAAAAUCUAUUCUCAAAAACUGUUUUUUUGGUGAAGUAAGCCUUUUCAUUUGGUGCCAUCCUGCCUUCUGAAUCAAUCCCCUUUGCUUCUUUUUAGAUGGUUUAAAUGUAGAAUUUCAAAUGCUUCGUCAAUUCCAUUUGAAGCUGUGGCCUUGUUUAGAAUGAGGGUUUUUCCAAAGCCAAAAGAUUUUUCUUUUUCCUUUUUUUUUUAAAGCCCAGUAACAGAUUAAAUGAAAGUCGUUUGCCCAUUUGAAAUUAGCUUCUAAUUAAUAAGGAGAAGGGGGGGGAGCAAUAAUCUUAUACCCAGAAUAGCCCUGAAAAUGGUCUUAUAUACAUGUGUGCAGGACAAAGGCUGACAGUGGAGCUGGCUUCUCCCAUGUGGAAUGAAGAACACAUUCACCCUCUGCUGCUUCUCCAAAACCCACAGUAACAAGCUAACUCAGUGUUCUACUUUGCCAACUCCAUACUCAAAACCUUUACUGGAGAUUAGACUUGAAUCUUCCAUUUUCACUUGUUAAAAAGGGACAACAACUUUUAUCAACCUCUCUUGAAUUCUAUAGAGCUUCUUUUGCUGAAGUUGUCCUUAUUCUCCAUUUGGAUUACAUUUCAUCCAUUUUAUUUCUGCUCAUGAUUUUGCCAAGUAGUUCUUUUCUCACUUGAAGAUCACUCAAUCAACUUACUUCUCAACUGUGAGCAAAUCAUUUGUUAAUGAUAUCUUCAAUCAUAUAUAUAUAUUAAAAUCUCGAGAAAUUAAUAAUCUUAUUUAAAUAAUAAAAUCUUAGGUUCCAACUCAAGGUUAUAUACUAAAUUAAUAAUUUUGUUAAAUGCACAUAAAGUAAUAUUUUUUUUUUUGGAAAAUUUUUAAAGAUUAAAGGAAAUAUAAAUUAGUAAUUGAUGAAGUCUAUGAAAAGAAAAAUGAAAAAUAAAAAAUUAUAUUACAAUGUUGAGUAAUUUUUUAUAAUUUCUAUUUUUUUAAUGAACUUUUUCUUUGAAUUAUAAUAACAUGCUCCGAAUCUCUUUAUCUUAUAAGAGAUUAAGUUUUAAUACCAUAUAUCUUUUUUUAACGGUCUUUCUAUCUUCUUAUAAUUAAUAUUUAUAUCAUUUUUAUAGAGUAUUGUCGGUUUUUUUAUAUUAACUUUUAACAACAUCCAUUGAUUUUGAAUUUAUAAACUAUACAUUUAUAAAUGUUAUAUAGUAAAAACAUAUUAAUCUCUCAAUUAAAAAAAUAUUUAUUUAUUCAUAUAUUAAUAAUUACAUUAAAUUGAUAUUUUUCUUGAUGGCAAGAAUAUUACUUAAUAGGGGUUUUAAAGUAACAAGAAUCUUGGGGUGGAUUGGAUAUAAAAUGAGUCAUAAAAAAAAAUAAAAAAUUAUUGUUUUAAAUUUUAAAAUUAUAUAAGGUGAAGUCUAUACUUUUCAUACUUUUUAUUGAUGUAAAAAAUUAUAUAUUUGUUAUUUAAACAAAAAAAUAGAAAGUGUAUCCAACUGGAUACUUGCUUUUCAAUUUUUGUUUUUUCAAAAUUAUUUAUUGGAUUUUCCAUAUAAAUACAAUGUACAAGUAUUCCUACUUUAAAAAUAAUUAAUUUUAUUUGAAUAAAUUAGAAAAUUACUUUAGAAAACAAAAUAUUCCUUAAAAAAGACCCACAAGUUCAAGCCCACCAGGAUAAAUUUUAUUUUCAAGAAGUAUUUUCGGAAUCACUUUCAAAGUAUUUAAAUUUUCCGAAAUUAAAAAAUGAUUUAAAGAUGGGCAAUUGUAAAAUAUAUUUAAUUUAUUCCUUUAAAAAAAUCAUCCACAAGAGUACUGAAAACUCUAUAUCAAUUUGGUCCACGUGGCAUAAACAUAUGAUAAUUUGGUCCGCGUGGCAUUUCUGCUGUUGUUUUAUUCUAUUUUGAGUAUUUUCGCAUUCCAGUGCCUCUGACAUCCAAAUCUAUAUUGUCCAUUUAUCGCCACGUGGUUGCUCUCGCUGUGGUAUUUAUUUAUUUAUAAUUAUUUCUACUUAGCGUAGCGUGGCUCCCUUUUUAAGAAUUAGGGUUUUAGUCCAUCUCAUCACUUUGGAGGAAGCUCUACUUCGAUUCUCAGGUGGGUUUCAUUUUCCUUUGAUUCAAGGCCUGUAUGAAUUUCUAUUUUGUAUUUAUUUCUAUGGCUGUAAAUUCAAGUAAAGGUUCUAUUACUCCUCUGUUUGGUUGCUGGGUAAUAAAAAGGAUUUUUUUUUUUAAUUUUUAAUUUUUGUUCUUUUAUGUCUGUUCCUAAACUGAAAGGAUGCUGUACUUGGUUUAUGUUAUAUAUUGCUUUUCGUGCCAUGAAUGACUUUCAUUUUCCAUCGCAAGAAAGUUUUAUUCUCCCUUUUUGCAAGUGUGUGUUUUUUUUGGACUUUCUUGUGGUCUGUUUGUUUGCCGAGAAAAGAUAGAAAAAUAAAAGAAGCUUGAUUUUUGAGCGUUGGAUUAUUCGUCUUCUUCCUUUUACCUGUUUAUAAAGAGAGAACGCAAGAUACCCCUUUGCUCUAGGGUCUAUUUUCAGAUGCUCUGUUUGGUUGGCGUUGAAAUGGUGGAAGAGCAAAGAGAUUGGAAUUUCAAUUCCUGGGGAAUUUUAAACGGAGGAACUAAUUUUUAGCAUGCUUUGAAGUUUGCAUAUUGAUGUUUAUGUAUUGACUUUAAUCCCAUGUUCUUAAUCAUGGAUUUUUUUAUUUUUUUGGAGUGCAGAGGAAUUCUGCAAGGCAUCAUAUUAGAAGCCAGAAUGCAGGCUUGUAGUGGAACUGCUGCUAUGGGUUCUCUGCAACAGCCCAUUUGGAUUAAGGGGUCAAGUUUUGCUCCAAAUGGGUCUACUGUCAAUGGGUUCCCACACCAAAUUAAACUGAACUCGGUUAAGCCAUGUAGAUCUUAUAUCAAAGGAAGCUUGGUUACUGGGAAGCCACCUUCCUCUGUGUCUGUCACUGUGCCUGGAAAUGGGGGUAAGGAUUCUUUUGAAUAUUAAUAUUUGGCAUCAGUUUAUAUUUAAUUUGUUUUCAUCUUCUAAAUGUCUAUGUGACUGUCUUCUCAUGACUCUUGCGGACAUUGUUUGGAAAGAUAUUUUUUAUUUCAUGCAUGUGUUCUCGGGUUGCAGGGGAUUGGGGUUGUUAUUGCUCUGGUUGGGAGUGGGCUUGCAACCAUAUGCAUAAAGCAAUAGCAUGAUACAAUAAAAAAACAAUCCAGUGGUUUUGAGUUUUGCCCUCUGUGUGAAAAUUGCAUGAAUUUGAUAUAUCAUCUCUAUUCUGAAUAACUUUAAGACAGUACAUGCUUUCUGCUAGAUGACUUGUGGUCACUCUUUAAUUAUUGGUUUAUAGUUGCUUCUUGCAUAUGAUUUAUGUUGGAAGUAAAUUUGCAGAUGACAUUAGCCCUUCUUUGGGAGAACUUGAACACUAAUUCCUUAUGCAUGGAAUGUUUUGUUAUGCAGAUAGUGGAGUCAAUUUUAUUGACCAUGGCUUGAAUGAAGCUGAUCCUGAAGUGUGUGCAAUUAUUUACAAGGAAAAGCAACGGCAAAUGAAAAGCUUAGAACUUAUUGCCUCAGAGAAUUUCACAUCCCGGGCAGUGAUGGAAGCUGUUGGUUCUUGCCUCACAAACAAAUAUUCUGAGGGAUUGCCUGGUAAAAGGUAAAACAUGGUUUAUUUCGUGGAAGUGUUUUUGUUCUUGCAUUCAGUCUGCUUUUGCUUGAUCCCAUUGGUCAAAUCAACGUAUCAGGUACUAUGGUGGUAAUGAGUUCAUUGAUGAGCUGGAAACUCUGUGUCAGAAGAGGGCUUUGGCAGCAUUCCACUUAGAUGGAAAGAAGUGGGGUGUCAAUGUUCAACCAUUGUCUGGUUCUCCAGCUAACUUUGAAGUAUACACUGCCCUUCUCAAUCCACAUGACAGAAUCAUGGUAAGUUGUUUUUUGCUUAAUAUUGCCUUUGAUCAUUGGAAUUGUUUUGGAUUGUAUUGAUCCGCACUAAUCACACUUGUAAACCAUACUUAGGGCUUGGACUUACCUCAUGGGGGCCACUUGUCUCAUGGUUUCAUGACUCCUAAAAGACGGGUAUCAGGCACAUCAAUUUAUUUUGAGUCUAUGCCUUAUCGACUUGAUGAAUCUACAGGUGUUGCAUCUUUAUUGUUUUUAACUUACUGUAGGAUAGUUGGUCUACUUAUGUGAUUGGAUUUGUGCCUGAUUUGAAGUUUACAAAUUUUCAAACAGGUCUUGUUGAUUAUGACAUGCUUGAGAAAACAGCUAAUCUUUUUCGACCAAAACUCAUUAUUGCUGGUGCUAGUGCUUAUCCUCGAGAUUUUGAUUAUCCUCGUAUGAGGAAGGUAUGGGUAUAUGUAGUUAUGCUUGCUCUUCAAUGAUAGUACUCUUAGUAAUAAGUAUUCAAAUGUAUUUUUCUACAUUUUCUUUAAAUUCGUUUUUUUCCCUAUUUUUUUUUUUUUAAUCUAAUAUUAGUUGCACUUGAUAUGCUCUGAAAGAUUGCAGAUGGUGUUGGUGCUUUUCUCAUGAUGGAUAUGGCUCACAUUAGUGGACUUGUUGCUGCUUCUGUGGUUGCUGACCCCUUUGAGUACUGUGAUAUUGUGACAACAACAACACACAAGGUACAAAUUGAACAAUCUUGAAGUUAUUUUGUACUAGGUUCAUCCUCAUUUGUGCCAAUGCUGUGUAUCAUACUUGUGGUUUUCUUAACUUAUUUUGAUUUAUUUAAUAAGACAAAUUGAGAAUAAGUUAUCAGUGUUAUGCAUAUGCAUUUACAUUUUUAGCUGUCUAACUUGGUCCUCAUUUGAUAAUUUUGUAGUGUAGUAUAUUGUGUAGAGACUUCUUUUCUGUAUGGGUCCUGAUUUAUUCAGUGUAGUCUGUGUCUUUGUUCAAUUUUUAGCUAACUAUAAUUUACCGGGGCACCAGUUUUAUAAAAUAACUGAUUGCAAGAUUGUUCUAAUUUUUUUAAUCUUCUAUCUUGAACAUUGCAAUUUCUUAAUUAUAGCACAAAAAGUAGUUAUUGUGGUAGAGGAAAAUCAUGAAGGGGUUGACACUGUCAAGACAAAUGAUUAAUACUAAGGUUCAUUGUUUAUACGCUUUUAUCUAUUAUUUUGAAAUCCAUUGUUGUAUGUAUUUGCCCAUCUCUUUCUGCGAGUUUGGUAUAUAAUGUUCAAUGCACAUGAGUAGCCACAAGAAUUAGAAUGGAUUUUUAUGAAUGAUCCUUUGCGUUGGAAAGGAGGAAGUUUCUACUGGUAUAUUUGUGAACUUGCCUUAUACAUGUGCGUAUGCAUAUAUUUUUCCAUUGCAAUCUUCACAUGCUUGACUUAAUUAACUUGGAUGAUUCUAUCCAGUCUCUUAGAGGUCCUAGAGGUGGCAUGAUCUUCUUCAAGAAAGAUUCUGUUCUGGGAGUUGACUUAGAAUCUGCCAUCAACAAUGCUGUUUUUCCAGGUUUACAGGUUUGUUGGAGCCGUCUCUAUGCUGUCUUUUUGCUUAUGUGAACCUCUAUUUCCUUCUCUGGUUUCUAUUUAUGAAAUAAAUGAAAGGCAAUGAUUUUUCUUUACAGGGUGGUCCGCAUAACCACACAAUCGGGGGACUUUCAGUCUGCUUAAAGCAUGCCCAAUCCCCAGAAUUCAAGGCUUACCAGAACCAGGUACUACACUUUCCUUCCAUUAUUAGAAUCUGGUUCCACUUGUGUUAUCCAUAUAACUCAGCAUUGUGUGGUGUCUUUUAGGUAGUGUCAAACUGUAGAGCUCUUGCUGGCCGGUUAAUCGAAUUGGGAUAUAACCUGGUUUCCGGGGGAAGUGAUAACCACCUUAUUCUUGUGGAUCUUAGGCCAUUGGUAAGUUUCUGGCAUCUAUGCUAUGUUUUCAAUCUUUCAUGUUUAAGCUGAUUUUUUGCCACUCAUAAAUACUCUACUUGUGGAGGCUGCUUUUUACUUGAUCGUGAAAAAUCUUCAAAAUAAUGAUGAAAGUAGAUGGAUAUUUAACUAUAUCAGUGAAUCUCAUUACAACUGCCCAUUUCAUUUCUUCUCCUGCGACUCACUCAGUUUAAUAGUAAUCCAUGUGUCAUCCAUCAACAGGGUAUUGAUGGGGCUCGGGCGGAGAAGAUUCUUGACAUGGCUUCUAUCACCCUCAACAAGAAUUCAGUGCCUGGUAAACUUCAAUCCUUCAUCCCUUUUAUAUUCCACUGACUCCCCCUUUUCUCCACCUUAUUCUACUUGCUCCAAAUGUUAAAAUCACAGGCGACAAGAGUGCCCUCGUGCCUGGUGGCAUUCGCAUCGGAUCACCUGCGAUGACUACCAGGGGAUUCUCCGAGAAGGAAUUCAUAGCAACUGCAGAUUUCAUUCACGAGGGCGUGCAGCUAUCUCUUGAAGCAAAAAAAUCGGUUUCAGGAUCAAAGCUCCUAGACUUCAUGAAGUUUGUAACGUCCCCAGAUUUCUCUUUGAUAGACCGGGUGUCGGAUUUGCAGAGGAGAGUCGAAACUCUCACAACCCAGUUCCCAAUGCCUGGAUUAUAAACGGCACAAACUCACAAAGAAGUAGUGCUUAAUAUGAGAGGACCAAAGUUUCAAAGUUGAUAUUUGGCAUAAUGCGGAAGAAUGCUGAGAUUUUUGCAUGCUUUGUAUUAUCAUAACUUAGUACUUUCACCGAUAUUGCUGAUAAAGGAAGAGACGGUGGAAGCCAGCCAUGUCUAUUAAUUUCUUUUCCCCUUGUCAUAAGCACUUGUAUGGUGGCUGGACAUGGAAUAGUUUUCUGAAUGCCAAAAGGGCUUUUGCUUCCAUGCUUGAUUUCAAAAUAUAUAGAGAGAAUAAUUGUAAAAAAAUAAGAGAAAAAAAUCGAAAGAUGAGAAAGAUAUAUUUAGAUGUAUAUGUAAAGGUUGAUGGAAAGAAAAUUAACCAUUUACAUUUUUCUUACUUUUAUAAAAAAAUCUAUUUUAUAAAGUUUAUAUUUUCAUAUUUUCGCUAAACAUAAAUUAUUUAAUUAAAUUAAAAUUUUUAAAAUAUAGUACUUUUUUUAAAUUUUAAAAAUAGAAUUCCUAAGUAUAAAUUUUGCUGGCAUCGUAUGCUAAAUCACUAAAACUUCAACAUCUUCUAUUGUUAAAUGCUUAAAAGCCAAACAAGGUUUUAUAUGCUUUCUUACCCUCUUCAACGUUAAACCCUCGAACGAACAAGCGUGCGGCGCUUGUGCCCUUCUUCUCAUUCAGUGGGAGCGCUUCUCUCAGACGCCGACGACAUCGCCCACGGAACUCCGACUUGUAGUCUUCUCUUUUUUAGGUCAGUGGUCUCUCUGUUUCUCAAGUUGUUUCUGCCUUGGUUGUCUCUGACGAAGAGGGAUUUUCCCCUAGGCUCGGUUGCUUUUAGUGUUUUGGCCAGGCAAUACCUCUAGUCUCCACGUAUUCUGAAAAAAUCUGUUUCAUCGCUUUUCUUGUAAAUUUGUUGCCGUCUUGUUUCUGAAUUUUGUUCGGAAUUGAGAUUUUUCUUGAAAUUGAUUUCUCGAAGCCUUGGUUCCAGGGCACCUGAAUUUCUGUUUUCAGAAAAUAACUUUUGUUUCCAUCAAUUUUAAUUUGAUUUUAUCAAAAUCGGCUGCUAUAAAAUGGGAGAUGGCAUUGCCCUUCUGAUUCCACCUCUAUUCAAGUUUGAUUUUCUUGUUUUUUUGUUGUAUAUUUUGCAAUAAUAAAGAAGUGGGUUCGCAGCUUUCAGUCACAACUCAAUGCCUAAAAAGAGUUCCGCAAAGAAACCUAAAUCAAAGCAAGAAAGCCCAGAUGUGGAACAGAAGAAACCGACUCCUAUAGUGAAAGAACCUCGUAAUGAGAUUGAUGAGAUUUUCUCGGGGAAGAAGAGGAAGACACCUGAGAAAGAGAGCCCAGAUGUGGAAGAGGAGAAACCCACUCCCGCAGUGAAGAAAUCCACCAAUGAGAUUGACGAGAUUUUUGCGGGAAAGAAGAAGAAGAAGAAACCUAAGCAAGAGCAACCGGAGAAGGGGAUAGAAGGUGUGAAUUCAAAAGUGAAGAACAAGAAGAGGAUUAAAAGAGAUGAAGGGGGUGGUUUUUCAGAUUCACCUUCACGGGCUAGAAAGAAAACAGAGGAUGGACUCGUCCUCUACACAGAGGAGGAGUUGGGUAUUGGGAAGUCAGAUGCUGGAGGUACCCCACUUUGCCCUUUUGAUUGUUCCUGUUGCUUCUGAUCAUACCCAGCUACUUCUUUGGGUGUUGAGUUGCUCCCUUGUUCUUCUGAAGUUUUGGGAUAUUCACUAAAAUUUGAAAUUUUGUAAGUUUAUUCUGCAAUUUUGAUGGUCCAGUUUGAGGACGGUUGAGGGUGCUUAUUCCAUUAUUUAGAUGUACACUAGAGAACCAUAUUACAUGAACCACUAUCUAUUUUUAUAACUGAUGGACAUAAUUUUGAAAUUCUACAAUUUGCGUUCCCAAAUGAAGGAUUCUGUUCAUUCUAAAUUUGCAUUUUGAAGACUUGGGUAGAUUCUUCUCUAGAUUUCAAGCUACUAGCAGUUGCAGCAAUUGAUACAGUAACAUAGGCAUCCAUCAAUCAUAUAAUUGAGAAGUUGAGUUAAAAGACUCUUAAGAGUCCUCCAAUAAGCUGUAAAUUCUGCUGCAUUUUUUGAUGAUGAGUUCUUGACUAAGGUUUACACCCUUACCUUAUUUCUAUUGUCAUUUAUGGGCUUUGUUGUGUGAACACUUUUCUUUGCCAAUCAGCUCGAGCUUUGGAGUUUUCUUUGUCAGAUCACAGGUUCUUUACUCACCAAUUCAGACGUCUCCUUUUACUCUUUCUACCGGCCUUGAAGCUUAAGGGAAAGUUCAGUUCUUAUUAUUCUAUUUUGCCCUCUAAAGAGCUAGUAGGUUCAUUGCUUGGCUUCCCAAACAGUUUUCCUCAUCAGCAUCAACACAACAAAAUUGAAAAAUUGAAAUGCUAGAUACCAUUUUGCAAAUGCUCCUCAACGCCAACCUGCAUAAGAAAUGACCCAUCAGUUUCCUAUAUUUCACCGUUUUCUUAUACCUCAAUUUCCAUCAUAUAGUUUAAACCAUUGUUAUGGACUGCAUAUUGUUUGCUCAUAGUAUUUUUAAUGGCGAAGCAUCUGCAUUUCUACUUGCCCCCACCCAUGCAUGUUCUCAGUGUUUCCAUUCCUGAAACUAUUCAGUAUGUUCAGGGACAUGCUAGGUGAGAAACAAUGCUCAAAUUAUUUGGUUGCAUGAACUCGUAUUCUUCUGAGUUGUUCCUAUGUUCUUGCUGAGUUCAAACAUAUGUUCAUAGGGCAACGGUUGGCUCAAAACAUAUUGUUUUGGCAACCUGCUCCACCCAGUUUCGCAUUGAUUCUGAAGUUUUCAAGUUUUUUAACUUUUUAUAUUCCCUCCAUUCAUUAGUAUUUAUAAAAUUAGCAUUGUUGUAGGGCUAUACUUGAGUAGUGUUACAACACUGGCGGUAAGUUCAUCCCUUAGUGUCUUGUUAGUUUACUUACAAUUUGGUUGCCAUUGGAAGCUAAGGUCAAAAACAACUUUCAUUCCAGAAGUGGAUCACCGCAAUUCUGGAAUAACAAAUGGUAUCAUUGAAUACAGUUUAUUGUAGAUAUAUAUCUGAACUGAGAAGCCCCUACAAUAUCCAACAGAUGCUUUGCUUUUAGUUUGGUUAGAAUGCUAGGGCUUAUGAAGGUAAGAUGCUCUACCUCAAGAUGGAAUACCCCGGCUUUAUGACAUCAAUACUAAACAAAUCGCCAAAGCAAUCAGUACUAUUUUUUGCCAUUGCCCACACAUGGCUGUAAACUAUUAUGCAGCAAAAUGUGCACAGGCUCAUGCCUUUCUUUUCGCCUAAAACUUGGAGCAAAUAACCUCAGUACGACUGCAUUUUCUUUAGUAACCCCAAUUCAGGGCAUGUUUGGAAUGGCUGGAAAUCAUCUUUCACUUAGAAGUAUUGGAAUAAGAAAUCUUCCUCAUUACUGUUUUUGGAAUUACAAUUAGAAAUGAGAGUGAAACUAAAAAAUAAUUUAUUGUCAUAAAACCUAAAACCCAAUUUGUAAGAAUUUUGAUCUCUUUCAUUGCAAUUCACUUCCAUUCCCCUACUUAUUCACAUUCCAUUUCUACAUUCCAAACACAUCCUCAAGGUAAUGGUGCAGGCAUUAGCAAUUUUAAGUCUGACCAGCUCAGUCACCAUGGAAAGAUGGCAUUCAUGCUCGCUUUUAACAACACAAAAAUGGCAGAACGUAGAGAAUUAUUUAAUAUUUUAUAGAUUGGAAUCUAGGAAAAAUUUCUUUGCAAUACAUUGAAUUUUUUUUUUUUUUAAAGACUAGAACCAUCUAGAAUGUCAAAAAAAGGACAAAGUUCAAAAUAGUCCUCUUCCAUCCUCAAGUGUCUCACUUUCAAGCGUGGAAUUAGACAGCCUGCCUGUUCCUCUUCUUCACACCAGAUUUGGCAACCUUGAGGCUCCUGUGCACAGCACUCAACCUUGCAAGAGCUGCCUUCUUUAGAUCAACCCUGUAAUAAUUAUCUGAAACCUGACAUUAAUGAAAAAAAAAAAUUGUAACACAGGAAUGUUAUCACACUGAAUCAUUUUAUAUACUAAUUUGGGGUGGCUGGGUAUACCGUAUAGCACAGCAAGAAAAUGAGAUAAUAAUAAUAAUUAUUAUUAGUUUUAUUAUGAAAGAAUUUGACUCUGCAUGUAAGCCAGGCUUUGCACCAUCUUUCCUCGUGUAAUUAAAGGAAUGACAGAAGAUAGAAAACAUGGCCACUUUAAUUUAGCUUAUGAUUAUGUUAAGUGCUAAAGGGGGGAAAACUAAUUAGCACUAGACCGUCAAUAAGCACCAAAGACACUGCAGUACCAUAUAGAACAACCAUGAAAUAAAACAGAAUGGUAAUUAAAAAACACCAAAACCAAAAUGAAACACAAACAAUCCUGAUUGAAAUUAAGACGUACAUUAAAAAGAAAAAAGAAAGCUUAAAAGACUUCCUAAAACAAUAUGUACAAGAGUUUGCAUGUAAGCCACAUUUAGUGUCAUUCCCUCAUGUAAUUAAGGGAAUGGCGAUAGAAAACAUGCCUCAAUUUAAUUUAGCUUAUGAUUAUGUUAAGUGCUAAUUAUUUGACUAAUUAGCACUGGACCGUCGAUAAGCACCAUAGACAUUAAAAUGGCAUGUAAAAAAACCAGAAAAUGACGAGACAUUAUGUCAAAACCCCAAAAGCCAACAUGAAAACACAAAAAAUUCCAAUUGAGAUAAGAAAUUCUCACAUAUGGGAUUCAGUCAAAUAAAACCAACUCAAUUUUCCAAAAUCAUAAUCUCAUCCACUUCAAAGUAUGUGGGGUUGGGAAGGAGCUCAGAAGCCAAGCGUAACAAGAAUAUUUCAUUGAAGAUCCAAUUAAUAUGGAUUCUUCUUACAUGUUAGCUUCUCAUCACUGCAUCAAAUUCUUCCAAGUGUAUUUUCAAGAAACACUAAGUCAUUGAUCAAAUUGUUUAUUGGAUGUCUAAAUUUCAAGACAAAAACUCAGUACCUACAUUAAACUAAUGAUUUGGAAGACAAGCACCGAGGAAACUUUAUUCUUUAAGAAUCCCAUAACAAAAGGAUGCUAAUGAAAUAAAAAAAAAUAAGACCCUCUUUGAAAACUAUUCUUGAAGACUGUUUUAUGUCAAAACCCCAAAAGCCAACAUGAAAACACGAAAAAUUCCAAUUGCGAUUAGCAAUUCUCACAUAUGGGAUUCAGUCAAAUAAAUCCAACUCAAUUUUCCAAAAUCAUAAUCUCAUCCACUUCAAAGUAUGUGGGGUUGGGAAGGAGCUCAGAAGCCAAGCGUAACAAGAAUAUUUCAUUGAAGAUCCAAUUAAUAUGGAUUCUUCUUACAUGUUAGCUUCUCAUCACUGCAUCAAAUUCUUCCAAGUGUAUUUUCAAGAAACACUAAGUCAAUGAUCAAAUUGUUUAUUGGAUGUCUAAAUUUCAAGACAAACUCUGUACCUACAUUAAACUAAUGAUUUGGAAGACAAGCACCAAGGAAACUUUAUUCUUUAAGAAUCCCAUAACACAAGGAUGCUAAUGAAAUAAAUAAAAAAAUAAGACCCUCUUUGAAAACUAUUCUUGAAGACUGUUUUAUGUUCUUCUAACUCAGAAAAUACGCCUAGCACAAGCCAAAUAAUAGCUUUACAGUGAUCUAUUCAGCUGAACUUCUGGUUUUCCAAGAAAACUAAUACCUGAUUCACAACAGCUUUUGCCAUUCGAGGGAACUCCUUCUUCAUUACUGACUUCUGAAGUGAAAUUGAGGGAUUGUUUUGUUUCUUUGUUUUUGAAGUUGCAAGUACCACAGACAGAUCUUUACCUCCGGGCUGAAUUGUAACUGUCUUGCGGUUUGCUAGUCCUAAAAAUUUCCGAAGCCAAGAAAAAUUAACAAAAAAAUAAUAAUAUUCAAGUGGAUACAGAUAAUUUUCUGAAACAUGACUAAUUUUCCCACGACUCACAACUUAAAAGAAUCUGUUGGGUAGCUGAAAAAACUGAGAAAAACAAAAGAAAAUAAAAUCUUAUGGGUUUUAUGUUUGAGAAAAUGGAUUUUUUUUUCAAGGUUCCAAAAAUUAAUGAAAAAUAUAUCUAAAUUAAUAAGUCGGUUUCUUUUCUUUUUCCCACUUUCUCAGUGCCAACUCGCACGUCAAAUAAUAUUUUCUUUCCCCAGAAGGUUUUUAUAAACCACUUUCCCUCAAAACGAGCGAAUCCAAAAACAGAUCUAUGAACUUUUAUUACCGGAGUGCUUGAAGGAGUGAACAUUGCAGAGGUUGUUAGUCUCUUUACUGAACUGUACUUUUGCAGUUCCAUUUCCAAACUCCUUCACAAGAAACGAGUUAUUCUUCUUCACUAUCUCCCAAAUCAACGGUCCAGGUACGUUCGCCAUUUGAUCUGCACAAAUUGCGGAAGCUUUAGCAUUGAGAUUGACAAAAAUCAGAAAACCAGAAAUUACAGGAUGUGUAUAUGAUUGAAGAGAGAUCACUGUUUGGUUUUUGAGAAGUGUAGAUUGUAGCUUAAUUUUCUCAGAAACCAAACAAAGGGUUAGGAAAAGCAGAAGGCCUAGACAGACAUAAAUGGCAAGCCAUACGCCCAUACCUUGAAAUGAGAUUGCGAGAAAAACCCUAAAUAGAAGUCCAUUUAUAUAGAGAUGCCAAAACCCUAAGAGGGAGGGAUGCGGAGGGGUUUAAUGUGAAAUUACGGAAAAGACCUCCUGUGGAGAAGUAUUUGCCACUUGGUCGUGGGUUGUGCCUCAAUAACAAAUAUUUACCAUAUGGCGUACUUUACUCUUUGGGCCGAAGCCCAACCCUGAGGGGAAGUGGCUGACAUUGGACUGGGCUUGGAUCCAAUUAAAGCUCACCCAAUUUAAAAAAUUAUCUUGUCUUUAAAAUGAAAGAAUAAGAAAAAAAGGAACACUUUUAAACAGAAUUUGGACUACCAAUAAUCCAAUAAUUAAUAAAAGAAAAAUGGAUUAAAUUAUUUUUAUAAAUUUUUAUUACAAGAAUUUAUCAUCACAAAAUUUGUUUAAGAAUUUAGGGAUACUAGAUUUAUUUGUUUAUUAUUAUAUCAUCUAUUUCUUAUAGGUUAUGUUUGAUUUUUUCAUAAAAUAUUUCAAAAAUAAUUAAAUAUAAUUUAAAUUAAUUAAAAACUUAUACAUUUUAAAAUUAUUUAAUCUUUAUAGUAAUAAAUUAAAAUAAAUAAAACAAGUUUAAAAUAACAAAUAAAAAUAAUUUAUUAUCUUUUAUUUUCCUUCAUUUUUUCUUUCCUUUUACUUUUCUUCUCUACUCUAUUUCCUGAACCAAAUAUAGCCAUAAAAUAUUACAAAAAGAUGAAAAAAAAAAAACAAUAAAAGAGGGAAAAAGUUUAAAUUUAAUAAAAAAUUUCUUCCAAGUUUAGCAAAUUUAUUUCUUUUUCCUCCUUAUAGGAAAGAAUUUGAAGAGGUGUAGGAAAAAUAAAUGGGAAAAAAAUAGAAAAGAAAGGAGGAAGGAAAGAGAACAUGAAGAAAAAUAAAAACUAGAUUUAGUGUCUAAAAAUUAUUUUUAUACAGGUUGCAAACUAAUUUCACAUCUUUUUAUUUUUUAUGUACAAAUUAAAUAAUUUUAAAUUAUAGAAAAUUUUAAUUAUAUUUGAUUUUUUCUUACAUUUUUCACAAAGAAAUUAAAUAUAAAAAAAAUUAUAUUUAAAAGAGUCUCGAUCUGAACUGUUAUAAGCUGAAAGCACUUUCAUUUAACUUGGAACAUGAGAACAAUAUGAUGACCACUUGUUUCACGAUUAAGUUAAAAAAUUAACCAACUUUUGUUGAUAAUAAUUUUCUAUCAAAUUUAUAUUCAUAUCAAAUUUAUUUACCAUCCAUUUUUUUUAAAUAUAAAUUACAUCUCUAAUUUACAAACCAAGUUGUUACAUGUCCAGAUUUGUACGAUUAAUUGAACUUUAUGCUAAAACCAAUGGUCUCCUACAAGCUCACUCCACCACCUGGCCGGGAAGCACUGACAAGUAGUCUAAAAAUCAACAUAUUCCCAACAUAUUUUUGUAAGGUUCUUUGCAAACCAGGAUUCAAAGAAAUGCAUCUACACUGAAUCCAUGAAAAAUCAAAUAGAUGGGACAAGAAAAGAAAUAUUUAGCUACUUUAAAUUUGAAGGGAACUAUGGCAAAAAAUUGCAGCUCACUCCAAUCGUGUUAGGUAGCUCUUUUUGGGCACCGUGCAAAAGGUGGCUGGUUACCAUAGUGAACCAAGUCCCCGUGUCUAUUGUGCCGGUUAAAAAAUCCAGUUACAGAUGGGAAGGGAAAUGUAUCCGGGUAUUGUAUCGUGAAACAACAGUGAAUUUCACAAAAGUCUUCCUCCGGAGAGUCCAUUUUGGCUCCAAGCGGCAGUCAGGUCACCAUGAACUGGAGCCCGCUGUUGACUCUGAAUAUGGAGCCAUGACUGAGUGUAUAUUUGAUCCCCCAAGAAGUAAGGCUUGUAGAGAUCAAAUACCACACCAUUUCACGACACAAGAUGAAUUAAUCCAAAUUGAACGUAGUAACACUACUGGACUUUGUUAAUCCAAUCUAUGUACCAUCUGUCAAGCUUAAAUCUACAAUUUCCAUGAUCAUAUGUUUCCCAAACUUAUUACCUAAAGAAAUAAGAGCUUUGCUGUCCUAUCAAUUGAGGAUUAUAUCGUAGCAGAUAUGACGUUAGAAAUAAAUAGACACAAACUGCACAUCAGAAGAACUUUUUCUACAAAAGAUUCACAUAUUCAUUUAGCUUCGUUGUAUUCAUUGCCACAACGAGAAAGACAGUUGAUUUCAGGCACAAGAAUGAAAGAAACAUCCAUUCUACCAUGUAGAGAAAAUGCAGAAAUAAUAAAAUGUUUUAAAACUCGGGUCAUGGAUGACUCAUCUUUUAAAAGAAAAAGAGCCUGAGACGCAAAUAAGGAAAUGAGAUAUAUUAACGGACCGUUUGGUUGCCGAGAAAACAGAGUAAAAACCAAAAAAUGUUAGGAUGGAACUAGGACAAAUAAAUGAAAUAGAUUCACAAAUCCAAAACCUUAAUGAUCCGCUUGGUUACAAAAAAAAAUGGAAGGAAAAGAAGAGAAAUAAAAAAUUCAACUUCUAGGCAUCUAUUACGCAGAAAACCAAAAACCGAAAUAGAAAAAAGAAAAAGGAAAAAAAAUUCAAGAAAAAUCAAAAGAUUCAAGACAUUUUUUCUUUGCUUUUCCUCCGUUUUCUUAUAAACCAAACAAAAGGCAUAAAAAAUAUAUAUAUAUUGCAAACUUGAUUACCAGGCGGCAUAUGGGUGCCAAUGUUGAGCACCAAACUGCAGAAUACGCUUGCAGUUCCAUCGGAUUUGCCCUAAAAUCCUAUUGGAAGAACUGCAGAUUCGCGCAAAGCAGAGGAACCCAACUCAGAGAAGAGGCGUGGAAAUUACGAAUGGCAGAAAUGAUGCAUCGGAUGCGAAUUUAUAAAGGUCCACACAAACCCUAAAAGAACGAGGGUGGUGAAAUUACAAAAAAGAACACUCGGUCUUGAACCGGGGAGUGUGAUCUGGUGUGGACUGGACUGGGCCUAGUCAUUUGGACCGAGACCGUACACAGUACCAAUUUUAUUUCUAAAGAGGUUAAAAGUUAAAACUCGAUUUUAUUUUUUAAAAUUGGAUUAUUAUUUUUCUUUGGAUUUUAGACGACAAUGCUGAAGGAAAAUCGUUGUUUGAUUGCCGACAAAAAGAAAAAGAAAACUGGAAAAAAAAAUUAAAGGAAAAAAAAAAAAAAAAAAGAAGAAAGCAGAGAAGUCAAAAGGCAGCGACUCCACCAAACUUCUCCGAAACAGCUGGUUUGAAAGACUUGGUACACACGUCUUUUUCCGAUACAUAGUAGAGAGGGAGGAUUUGGUGGAACUGCGACCAGCGUUUUUGACAUUUUCAAUUCAACACUCCACUCGAAAGCCCUAGAAAUCCCAAUCUCAUUUCCUCACAACCUAUCUCUCACUUUUCCUCAUUUCUCGAAGAUUCGGGAUUCGAUUUUGGCCAUGGAGGCAGUUUCAACCUCCAGUAUUCUCCCCCAUGGGAAAGUCUCCGGUUUGAAUCAUCGGAGCUUUAAUCAGAAAUCGUCUAUGUAAGCAUUUCUGCAGUUAUCAAUCACUUUCUCUUUGUUGAAUUUGGAAGAUUUAUGAAUCAGGAAUUAAUCAAACAUUGAUCGAUUCUUUUCUUUUUCGUUUUUUUUUUCUUUUUUUGGGUGGGGGUGGAUUGUGAUUAAUUUUUCGUUUGAUGGAUUAUUGGGUGCUUUUUAUUUGAUUAAUUCCUGUUGUGUGAUAUGAUGCGCAAUAUGCGCAAUUCAAGAACACCAAUUGUUAUCGGCUAUUCGUAACAGUGAAUUGUAUUGAAGGCAUUGUUGAGACAACCAUGAAAAGUUGUAUUUGAAUAUCCUUGUUUGGAGAAGGUGGCGGCUACCCUGGUAAAGGAAAUGGGUUUGUGAAUGAGACCGAUGAUCAAAUCCUGGCUUCAUCAUGACUACAAAUUUUGUAGCAGAUCAUCCCCUUGGAAGGGAAAAGGGAAGGAAAAACUUUCAUUUGUGUUAACCUUUCAACGGGGUAAAGUCACAUGGAGGAUUGUGUGACUUGUGUCAAUACCAGGUCUGAGUUGGAUGAUGAAUGUACUCUGUCUGGUUGCUGAGAAAAUGUAAGAAAAACAAGAGUUUAAGAUUUGGGUUUGGUUUUUUCAUUAUUUGGGACUGGAAGAAUGAGGGGUUUUCCUUAAUUUAUGUAAUGCUGCCAUUUGGUUUAGAGACAAUGACCUAAUCUCUCAGAAUUAAUAAAUUGGGAAACACAAAACUCAGGCUUCUUCUUUUUUCUCAGCUCCAUCAGCAGUCAAAGCCAGGGUUUUUGACAAUGCAUUGCGAUUGGAUUUUUCACUUAACAAAAACAUACAAGAGAAUGAUAAAAAAUGAGGCUAUGGAGGCAAUGUUUGUUAAGGUGGUUUUUAGAGAAUUUUUCCACUGUUUUUGGUCUUACCUGUGAUAUUUUUCCCAUGAAGGAAAUAUACACAAUGGAGGAGCAAAAAAAGGCCAUCACAUUAAUAGAGUUUAUUGUAGUUUAUAACACAUGACAGGCUAGUCAGUAUUUUAUUCCAUCAAAUUAAAGUUCCAAUUGUGUACUUCUGUUGCCAGGUCAUGCCCUCAGACCAGAUCGUUUAAGUCUGCACACUGUUAUUCAUCUGAGGGUCUCAAGGGAUCACAGCUUUUGAACUCCAUUGAGAAGAGAAAUCCAGUUGGGCAAACAUUUUCAUCUGCAGGAGCAUACACUUAUGUUGGAAGUGCUGUGGAAUCCCCUACACAUGCUGUGGAAGAAAAGGUUGGAGUGCUGCUUUUGAAUCUUGGAGGACCAGAGACACUUCAUGAUGUUCAACCAUUUUUGUUCAAUUUAUUUGCUGAUCCAGUACGUUAUUCAAUUUUAUUUUAUUUUCUUUUGCAUUUUUCUCUAACAACAUGAGUAGGUCUCAAGUCUUAAGUGUCACAUUAAUGUCUUCAAUUCCUUGAUGCAGGAUAUUAUUCGACUUCCAAGGCUGUUCCAGUUUCUCCAGCGACCAUUGGCUCAACUAAUUUCUGUGAUCCGUGCUCCCAAGAGUAAAGAAGGGUAUGCUGCAAUAGGAGGCGGUUCACCUUUGCGAAAAAUCACCGAUGAGCAGGUAGGAGAUGCUUGCUCAUGUUAAAUUAUUCAUUUUAUUCUCCUUUUUAUGAUCUUUAUUGGCAUCAUUUGUUAUACUUCUGCAGAAAUCAACCAUGUUUCAGAUAUUAUGUUGUGUAUUUUAUGCGUGUUUGUGUUAGUCUGGUCCGGUUAAUAGUCUGAGGUAUUUUUUGCAGGCACAUGCAAUUAAAGCGGCUUUGGAAGCAAAGAACAUGCAUGUAAAUGUUUAUGUUGGCAUGCGUUACUGGUACCCAUUCACUGAGGAAGCAAUUGAGCAAGUGAGUCCUUAAGUUCUGUGAGGCUAAUGAUCAUUGUCUUGUACCAAUCCCUAGUUAUGUGGAAAAAAAUUCAGUUCCACAAAGCUUGCUGAUUUAGGAGAAACAUAGCCCUACUUUUUUGUUCUAUUAAUAGAAUGGAGGAUAUCUAUGCUGAUUUUGUAGUCUUCUAGUGCUAUCCAAAGUUCAGUAAAAAAGUGCCUCCUCUCUCUUAAAAUUAUUCUUCAUUAUGGUUGAAAUUUCUUCAUUAUCUGUGGCAGAUUAAGAAAGACAAGAUUACAAGGCUUGUUGUGCUGCCACUUUAUCCUCAAUUCUCUAUUUCUACAACUGGGUCAAGCAUCCGUGUUCUUGAAAGUAUCUUCAGGUUAAUUCUUGUUUCAGUUGGUAUCUUUUUCUGCAGUCUAUCGAAAUUGUUUUUCUCAAUUAAAUCCUCUAAAUUUUGAGUCAUCUGCCAGGGAAGAUGCAUAUCUGUCAAGGCUUCCUGUUUCUAUUAUACAAUGCUGGUAUCAACGACAAGGUUAUAUCAACUCUAUGGCUGACUUGAUUGAGGAAGAGCUGCAGAUUUUCUCUAAGCCCAAGGAGGUGGGUUUUGUUCCCGUUAUCUUGUUUUCUUUUUCCAUAAUAUUAUUCUUUGAAAUUUUAUUAUUUGCACCAUUAGUUGAGUUUUACUGCCGUAACAAAUGAGUUCCUAACUUUUUAGAGGAAUUCUAGGUGAUGAUAUUCUUCAGUGCCCAUGGAGUACCCGUUAGUUAUGUUGAGGAUGCUGGAGAUCCAUACAGAGAUCAGAUGGAGGAGUGCAUCUACUUAAUCAUGCAAGAGUUGAAAGCUAGAGGAAUCAGCAAUAAGCAUACUCUCGCUUACCAGGUUGGUCAUAAAAUUUGAGUUCUUAAGUUCAAGUUUCUGUUUCCAAGUGUUGCAUGAUUAUCGGCUCUAUGUCAGGCUGCUCUCUUUACUUUCUGCUUAACUGUUGAUUUUCUUCUCCUCCUCACUACAUAGGGGCUAAGUUUAUUUUGUGUUGCUCAACUCCUUCAAUUUGAUUAUUUUUCUUCAGAGUCGAGUUGGUCCUGUACAAUGGCUGAAACCAUACACUGAUGAAGUUCUUGUUGAGCUUGGCCAAAAGGGUGUAAAAAGUCUCCUUGCUGUUCCAGUAAGGUAUGUCAUUAAUAGUUAAAAUAGAAUUUGUGAUUGUUCUUGUCUUCAGUUUGCAUCAUGCUUCAUACUUCCACAUCAUUUCUCCCAUUUCAAUUUCUGGGUGUUAGUUUAUGGGAGAUUUUAGUUAGUCUUGAGCUUAUAAUGAUUAUCAUUUGUUAUUUGGUAGAGGCCUUAAUUGUUAAUAUGUUGUUUUGGCUUCAGUAUGAAUGAACUUUGACCCAUCUGCAAUUUGUGACCAUUUUGCAACUUGUAACAUUUUCUGGUCUGCAUGAUGGGGUGAAAGGUGGAUCAAAAUGUGAAUCUUUAUGAUCAGAUGCUAAUUAUGUCUUUAGAAUGCACUAUCUACAUGGGUCAUGGCUUAACCUUGGUCUAGUAGUUGUUUCAAAACAUUAUUCGUGAAUUUAGGAAGCAAAUCCCAUGUGAUUUUAUCAUUUUAAGAAAAUUUUUAGACAGUAUGUUUAACAUGUUUGCUACUCCAAUUUUUUUCAAAUUCCAGCUUUGUAAGCGAACACAUAGAAACACUUGAAGAGAUUGACAUGGAGUAUAAGCACCUGGCUCUUGAAUCUGGAAUCGAGAACUGGGGCCGAGUCCCUGCUCUGGGUUGCACCUCUUCUUUCAUCACAGAUCUGGCAGAUGCUGUGAUAGAAGCUCUACCUGCGGCAAAGGCCAUGACAACACAGAGCACCUCUAAGGAAUUCAACAUGGAUCCUGUGAACUAUGCUAUAAAAAUGUUCUUCGGAUCAAUCUUAGCAUUUGUUUUGCUCUUGUCACCGAAAAUGAUAUCAAAGUUCAAAAACCAGCUCUUUUGAAGGAUAUUAGGACACACUAAACCAUUGCGGACUCCAUCAUACUCGACACAGGCAGCCCUUACAGAGAAUGAAAGAUGAAACAUAAGAACACAGAUUUUUUUUAUUCAAGAAUCUCAAAUAUUCUCUCUUUUUUUUUUGCUUAUACCAAAGAUGAGAUUUUUGGGAUGUAACUUGUGUCACCGGCAUAUAGUAUUGAUUUGUGAAAUCUUUGAUUCCAGUAUAUUAUCUUUAUACAUUGUCUUAUUGGGAAGGCAUGAAUAUGACAGCAGUGUGUAACAAUAUACCAGUUGGGCAUCUUGCUUUUUGCAGGGGCCCUUAACGCUUGCCGAAUGUAUUACACCUUCUCAUUUCCCUUUAUCAGUUAAGGUUUGGUGUGUAAACCAAGUGCAACCCCAACUAAGAGCCUGUUUGGGACUGAUUCUAGUUAAAAAUUAGAAGCCGCUUCAGUAGAAACACAGUGGCUUGGCAUUUGGACAUAAAUUUUUACAAAAAAGAAAAAAUGAAAAAAAAAAAAGGGUUUCUAGUAUUUUUUGGCAAUAUAUUACAUAAUAAAAAA
rnacentral:lncRNA from 1 species